CAGUUCAGGAGUUGGCACGCUUGGAUCAUCGCAGGGGUGCUUACACUUUGCUAUAGCUUCUUCCAUUGAUAAUAUUGAACUCUGGUGCCUCAAGGAUUGUGACAGUAAAGAAUUGGUCCUGAAGAAUACCGCCAGCGUCAAUAAGCUUACGAGCAUGACUAGGAAGUGGUAUAGUGUGGCUGAGAUUCAUCCAGAUUGUGACACCAUUUUCCUGGUUUCAUGGGAAGGUGAUGCCUUGGCAGCUACGAUAUGCAACAUCAGAAAGUUGGUUGUAUCCUUAAUGUUGAGAUAAACAUAGGACAACGGCAGCGGUUUCUAUCCUAUGUUCCUCUGUUUUUAGAGUCAUUAGCAGAUGCAGAUGGGCAGUAGUGUGACCUCUAAAAAUUGGAUCUUUUGUCAGCUGAAGUACUUGUUUGUGUACCUCUGAAUCUGCUUGAAUCAUGCCGCCCAAUUUGCUGGUGCUUGCACUCCCAUUUGGUUGAUUUCCAGUUCAGAACAAUGCCUGGUAAACCUAUAGAUUAAGCAUAAUGUCAUUUCCGAAGAACAUUGUUACCCAUGUUCUUGUUUACCUAGCACUGGUUGUUGUUCUGGACAUGUAUUAGUUCCAUGGGGCUAUGUUAUUACUGUAAUCAGCCUUCUUGUCCAUAAUAAUCAAUUAUUAUGAUUAUCCCAAAUCCUAGUGCAGAUUGUCAACCUCUUAGUGUACUACUAAAAGUUUCAACCUGUGCAAUGUCUAGUUGACCUUAUUCAUUCAGUAUUUUAGUAAAACACUGCCUUUGAGCAAGUUCCUUUUAUAUAUGUUUUCUAUAGCUAAUGAAUUCAGUAGAGCCUUGGUUCUGUUAAUCCCAGAGAAAUUGCAUCAAUGCCAGUAAAAAAAAAAUUAACAUUGGAAUCUUUGACGAAAAGUUUUCCUACUGGGUGUAUGCACGUUUCGUCCGUUUUUGUUGUUUCAGAUGAUAAACCGAAGGUAUGUAGCAUAUAAGCUUGUGUUUCGCAUAUCCAAAUAGGAUUUUGGCAGGUCCCAGGACAUGUCAUUUACUAUUUUACGAAUGUAGUGACCCUAACAUAUAGGCUUGUCUGUUGGUUUGGACGCUUAGCGUUGUGCGCUCUUAGAAGCCAUAUAUAUUGAAGCCCUGGCAUUGCGGUGUCGAUGUGCCUUGUGGCUGUAUGCAUCGAACUAUACGUGGAAGGAAGAGAAAUCGCUGUGUACAUCGCCAGACUCCAAAAUUCUGUCAAAAAAUGAAAAUCAUAAUGUCAGUAUAAUGCUGAUACUGCACAACCAUGGAAACCUACAAGGUAGGAAAAAUUAAGCAAAUCAUCAUGUUGCCAGUGCUUCAUGGUUCGGUAAAGAGGCAAAAAAGCUGCCUGAAGCAAAUCGUUCAUUCUAUAGAGAGGAGGCAAAUUGUCAAAGCGUGGUUGCAGCUUCAGAACUGCAUACUCUUGUAUAAUCUCCAUGUCUGCUCUAAUUUUGGGGGUGCAGUACACCAGUAGCAGUGUAGCAGAAGCAGAUCGGACUAUUUCAGAGGUUUCUAUUUCUGAAGCUGCCCAAGGUAUGUGCGUACAAACAACAGCAUUUGGUAGCUUCUUUUCUUUGUGUCCUCUGUCUAUUCUGCAAAAAACUGCAAGUAAUUAAGUAUACUAAUUAAUGGUUAACAGUGGCCAAGCAUGCAUGAACGAAACAUGUUUUCCAUGUCGGCAGUAUCAAGAAAUUUUUAGCUAUUGGGUUAGAUCGAUUCAAUUUGCUGUUGUACAUUAAUCAUGAGUCCUGAAUGUGUAAUGCUACUGUUAAUUGUAUGUUGAAUGGUUUUUUUUUUAGCUAGUACUUGUUCAGUUGAACAAUUCAUGGUGUAUAUCUUAUUCGAUAUCACUGAUUGGAGGGGAUACUAGGUUGUGAAAUGGCAUUAGCCUGCCAAAAACAAUGAUAAGUAGCACGUUACAUCGCUUGAUCUGUCUGGGGAAUUCUGGGAAAAGAAAUAUGGUGGUCUUGUGAUAGUAUUAUAAUCACUUCACCCUGAAAUGAAUUAUUACAAUAGUACAUAUAGUAAUAUCCAUCAUACCAUAUCUCCGUGCUAGUCAUAUAUUACAGAGGGGUCCUAGAACGUGUUGGGUAUAGAACUAAUGGUCCCUGAUCCCAUGGUUACUUCUGUUGCUCUAGUCACAUUUGAUGAUGCUUAUAGAGAAAAAAAAUCAGUGAUGUGUGGUUUAUCAGAUGGUUUUUUAGGCCUACAAGAUGCUCAAUUAAAAUUUUGAAGUGGUUAGAAAAUAAUCUGCUCCAUGCUGCAAUCGAAGGUCCUUUGGUCUACUGUGGAGCAAACCAGGACUGAGGAGGUGCUGUCUAAGAUUUUACUAGGUAAAAGAAGAUAAUAAGUGUUUGUUUGUAGUUGAGUUUCUGUUCUAGUACUUGUGGAUGUUAGUUUUAAUCUGCUUUGAUUAGUUGGUAGGUGUUGUUCAUUACUCCUUGACAGGUACUGUAUGUGUAUUGGUGGUGGCACCAGUAGCUACUAUAUCUUCUUUUCAUCGGGCACCACUGAUUUUAAUGAAAAAGCAGGCCCUGUGCCUUUUGUCUAUAACAUAUAUAGUAUGCAAUUUCAUUCAUUUUUGGUGAAACUUAAAGUUUCAUUCUCCGCAAUUUACAACAACUUCAUUAACAAGUUCUAUAUUAAGAAUUGUAUCUGCAAUUUCACAGUAAGAGAAUGAAUGCAACAUUAUUUCUGUUUGUUUGAGCCACCGGUCCAUGCAUGCGUGUAAGUUAGUGAAAAUGCAACUUUAUUUAUCAAUUGGUUAUUUCCCAACCUGUCUUAAGAUAAUGGGAGUUUUCAGCACUGGGCACGCCUUUUUUUAUGAUGGGUGUAGUUCUGUAAGCAUGGGUUCGUUACUUUGUUUUAUGUUUUCUCUGAAAUCAUUUCAGUGUGGUUAUAUUAUUUCUUGAUGGCUUACAGUUUCUAGUAUUUUUUCUAGUGGCAUGAUGAGUAUAUGAUGACAACCAAGACAGAGACUCUGCAGCGUUCCCGACUUCAGAUAGGGUCACGAAUGCUUCGUCCGUCUAGGGGAAUUUUUGAUGCUAUUCUCACUCCCCUUUCAGGCUUUAUUCCUUGUGUUUUCCGUCUUCAUUCUUCUGUUAUUUUGAUUUAGGCGCUUGUAACUGUUAGAAGCAUUUAGCAAUAAAAAAUGCUUAAUCCGAGGCACUUGACAUUUUGCUAUUCAGGUAUGGGGGUGCACUGAGAUUUUUUUUUUUUGAAAGGGGAUCUCCCCGGCCUCUGCAUCAGAGUGAUGCAUACGGCCAUCUUAUUAACGAAAUAAAAGAUUCCAACAAGGUUUCAAAGUCUCCGACUGAAAAGUAAUAAAAAGACAGCUCACACAGAGCUAAAGAGGCUGGACACACAGACUGGCCAAGAUAAGACGCCACAACCGGCUGACUAAAGAUAGAUAGGUAAACUAAUUGCCUAUCCUAUUACAUGACCGCCAUCCAAACCGGUUGAAGAUAUCCCGAGCUACCAUCUCCCAGCGGAUAGAUCUAGUAACCAAAUGCUCCCUGGCCUCCAUCGGAGUGAGUAGCGACCAUGAACGGAUCACGGCCGUGGCUCGGAAAAUAACCUGCAAAAAGUGAAUACGUGAUGUUCUGUUAAAAACCAAAUCAUUUCUGCAAGUCCAGAUAGUCCACAACAAAGCGCAAACUCCAACACGAAUAUGUCUCGCUAAUUCAGGCUCAAUCCCAGUGAGCCAUGUCCCAAAUAACGUAGUGACAGAAUUCGGUGGAGUAAUAUUAAAAGCAAUGUGAACCGUCCGCCAAAGUACUCUGGCAAACGGGCAAUCAAAAAAGAGAUGUUUGAUCGUCUCGUCCCGAUCACAGAAGCUACACCUCGUAGGUCCUGUCCAAUUACGCUUAAUCAAGUUAUCCUUGGUUAAAAUAACCUGUUUAUGGACAAACCACAUAAACACUUUUAUUUUCAAAGGAACUUUGACAGCCCAAACAUGCUUGGAGGUAGGAAUGGAGCUCGAAUUAAUUACAUCAAUAUACAUUGAUUUAACCGUGAAUACUCCAGACCUAGUCAGUUUCCAGCGUAAUUCAUCGGAUUGUUGAGAAAGAUGAACAUCCAUUAGUCUCCGAACUAGACGGAGCCAAUCUUCCCAAUGAUUGCGCACUAACGACCGUCUGAACUGAAUAUUAAGGGGGAUGGAUUGAAACACCGUAGCAACGAACACCUCACGUCGUUGAACAAUGCGAUAUAAAGACGGAUAUUGAAUGGCCAAGGGUGUCUCGCCGAGCCAAGUAUCCUCCCAGAAGCGUGUACUAGCGCCGUUGCCAAUAACAAUCUUUGUCCUAUUAAACAGAGAUUGUUUGACUUUCAUCAAGAAUACAGACCUGAAUCCACGUCUCCGUUGAAUCCCAGUCGGCCACUGUGCUUGAUGCCUUUCUUGGUUUCUUGGCUAGGUUUCUCUCGGGAGUGAAUUACAAAACGCCAACAUGUGCAAACAUUAAAUGGGCUCUGGGAAUGGAUGUGUAGAAACAAAAGUUAUGUAGACUUUGGCAGAUCGGAUGAAUACCCUCACUAGAUUCAAGGUACUUGCUUAAGGAAUAAGGAGUAUUUGGCAUUUGCUUGAGGUUUCUCACUAUCCAUGAUAUACCACAAGAGGUUUUUCUCAAGUCAUCAUGGAUAGAUUGGUCGUUUUUCUGUCUUUUCAUUGGUAAGACAUGACAAAUUCGUGAAUUAAAGUACUUUCCAUCUUUCGACAUGAGCAAGACUAGCAUAUGCUGAGAAGCUAAGACAAGAAUAUCUGUUGCUCAUUAAAUCAAAUCAGAAACAUUGUGUGCUCAGCCAGCCUGAUGAUUACCUUUCCACUAAGAAUGGAGAUCGGAAUACACUCCUUUGCUCCGUUGAGGCCCGCUUGACUGUUGUGGUCCAUUACCUCCCUCCGUUUCCAAAUGACUGAGCAAUUUUCUAUCAGUGGUAAAUUGGAUCAGGCAUGCAUACAUACAUAUCUUUCAUCUUCCAUCAAACUGGCUAGGCUGGCUCCGUCGUGGGUAUAUCUGAAGAUACAAAAAGUAUGAAGGCUUUCGUGAAUGCACACUAUGCUCUGUUCUGUAAUAUUAUUCACUAGUUACCUGUUCAAGAAAUUGUUUGUGGACUCAUGUAGCAACUUUCUAGGAUUGAUGAUUUCUUGCAAAGAUUUGUGAUAUGUUUUCGUUUAGUGUUGAAGUAUGCAGUUGAAUAUUUUGGCUUCCCCGUUGGGGCAUUUUGAUCUAGUGGCCUGAUGAUUACCAUUGUUUUCAUCAAGAAUGGAGAUCUGAAUGCACUCCCGUGUUGAAGCAUGCUUGGCCACUCUGGUGGACGGCUAUUGCUAACUAUCUGCCACCACCACUGCUACCUGCCGAACUAUUCUGCCCUCCCGUACUGUUAAUUGCUUCCGCCAAGCUGUCUAAGUGUGCUCUGGGGGACAAAACUAAUAUGCUGAUGCAACAAGUAUGAAGGCUCGGCAGAUCGAAAUAACACUCCAACUUAAACUAUCUUGUCUAUUAAAAUGUUAAUGUUUUUAUGUAGUUUUUUUCAACCCUGCUUGCUGAAUGGUCAUGGGUCUUUCUGCUGAUGCUUUUGCAACACUGAUUUGCCGAACUGUCAUCUUUCUACUAUGCGAUGUUUGUUAUUUUUGCAACCUUGACUGCGGGAUGUUCAGGCCUUUCUGCAUUUUUUGUUAUUGCGUUAUGUACCUCUAUCAAACAUUGCUGUUGUUUCCUUGUGUAAUUUCAAUUGGGAUCACCAAAAUGUAUUAUUUUGCAGGCAUUUGAUAUGUGUGCAGGAUUACUGUCGGUCACUUGAAGAGCUAAAGCAGACAACUGAUCCAGAGAAAGGAAGAAGGCAAGGCAGGUAGGGCUGCUGUUGAGGUGCAAAUCGGCUGUUCAGUUGUGUAAAGGAGGACGAUCAUCCGUUACUAAGCUCCUUAGGAGGCAGGACUGCUGUUGAGGGCGCAUUAGGCGGCCAAUGGCCCCUUGCUGCAGCCGGCUCAGGUCAUCCCGACUAUGCUUAGGGCAGGAUCGAUGAACGGCUAUCACCUCUGAAUAUGAUGCAAUAAAGAAUAUGUUUCCCGUUAAAUAGACUACCGGAGAAUUUUUCGAGUUCCUUUGAGAGAAUCAGAUGCUAUCAAACGAUCGAGCUCUUCUAUGUACAAGAAUUAAUGACACAUCCAAGAUCAUAGGAGACAAGAACAGACAAAUCAAGGUGGUCCAAUCAAUCCCAAUCGAGUGCGUACAACACACGGUGGGUCUUAAUUAGUAAGCCCUUUAUAUAGAAAUUAAUAGCUGAUGUGUUAGGUUUAUUCGAUUUCCUGCGGUGCAUUAAUCACAAGUCUUCCUGAAUGGGUACGUAGUACUCCCUCAUUUCUGGUUUAUAGGGCUUGUCUUAAAAUUUUAGUUUUUCUAUUUUACAAGGCUCAAUUUGAUUGUUCCUCAUCACAAGUUCAGAUUCCAAAGUGCAUUAAAUCAUUACAUGUAAGUAUUAAGAGAAAAUUGACCAAUGCAUGUACUUUAUGCAUGCAUGCAUUGCAAUUAAUGCAUUGAUAAACAUAAUUUUUUGAGAAAAACAAAAACAUUAAUUGGGUGCUUUUGCAAACUACAAAAAGUAUUCCACCACUCACCAUCUACCUUGAUUGGUGAGAUUUUUGAAUUGAGCCCUAUAAACCGAAAAGGAGGGAAUACUCCUUUUCAUUAUACUCACUCCAUUUUUGUAUAGAAGGCCACUAUUAAAAUUACAAUUUGUAGCUAUACAAGGCCACUAACACCAAUCGAGGUAAAAUUGAUGAGGUUUGCCUCGUACUAGCAACCGGGGACAUUAAUACCCAUGCAUGCAUGUGGGAGUGAGAAGGUUGGUUUGCAUGCAUCAUAUUAAUCAACCAACAAGGAAUGAGAGAGUUGUCUUGUUGUGCGUUGGAGAGAAAAUACACAUUAAUUAACAUGGCAAGCGAGGAGAAAUGACUAGUUUGCAACAUUGCCUUAAGUAGCCAUUAAUAUCUACCUUGAUACCUGUAAUAUGACUUUGUGGCCUUGUAUACAAAAAUGGAGGGAGUAUAUCGAAUGGUUUCCUUCUAGCUAAGACUUAUUCAGUUGAGCAAUUCAUGGUCCUGUAUGCCAGUAAUUUUAUAUCAUGCAUGCCUACAUUAUUAUCAAAAAAGGCUUUCGCCCCGCUUUAUAUAUAAAGCAACGACCAAAAGUAUAAAUCCGGGAACAACACGCAACCACCCACACACCACACACACCCAAGGCAAGAUACAAGGGUGCCGAUGCACCGCAACACUACCCAAUCGACCACCAAGCACACUACCAAACACUUGGGUUCGACGAGGACCUUCCGAGACCUAGCCACCGAGAAGAAGUGAAGCGGGACAAUGGCGAAGCAUGGACUCCAAGGCGGUGCGUUCGAGAAGGGCUCUAUACUGAAAGUCGCCACCGCCCGAUCUCGGAGAUCAAGUUUUUACCCGGAGCAACAUGGAGAGAAGAGAACACCACGACGGAGCCUUCAUGAAGGAAACAACGCCCGCGACCGCCGCCACCGUCGGCCGGAGAAGACCGGGCAAGUUAUGUACUCCGGUGUUAACCCUCUACCAAACCACCAUGCUUCGCCAAACAUCACCAACCAUGCCACCCACGUGGCCAUGGCUGCCCGACCACACCCAAGACGCGCGCUCCGCCCACGAACACUGCGUCACCUGCCGCCAGGGCCGCCGCCCAGCAUCCAAGCAACUCCGUGAACACCCAAAGGCCUUGGCUUUGGCCUGACUGGCAGCCCCCGCCUAUGAAGAUGCCAGCAACCGCCCUGCCUCGAACAUCGCCAGAACCCCAACAAAGAGCACACAGCCGAGGAAAGGGGGAGGAGGAGCGGAUGCAUCCGUACCGGUGCACCCCUGCGCCGGCGACGGGUGGCCAUCGGGGCCUCCCAUCCCUCCUGAGAACUCCCCACCGGACACACGCCCGUGUCGCCUCACCAUGGCGCCCGCCGCAGCUCGACGCGAGGCCACCAACGGCAGCCCGCCCAACCAUCGACAAGGAGCGCGAAGCCAACCCGCACCCGCAGCCAAGAGCACACACCGGGAGAGCCACCCCGCGCCGCUCGCCGCCGUCCAGGGGCCGGAACAGGGGAGCCCUGACUGGAGGUCGGCCAGCACGCACCACCAGCGCGCGCGCCCGCCGCGAGCCCAACCACCGCACUGCACGCAGCAGCAAAAGCUCCCGCGCCCGCCCGUGAGGCGCCGCGCAUCGCCCGCGCCCGCCAGACUGCCAGAUCUCGCCGUGCCCAGACCUGGCCGCCACCGCAGCCACGAGCGCNNNNNNNNNNNNNNNNNNNNNNNNNNNNNNNNNNNNNNNNNNNNNNNNNNNNNNNNNNNNNNNNNNNNNNNNNNNNNNNNNNNNNNNNNNNNNNNNNNNNNNNNNNNNNNNNNNNNNNNNNNNNNNNNNNNNNNNNNNNNNNNNNNNNNNNNNNNNNNNNNNNNNNNNNNNNNNNNNNNNNNNNNNNNNNNNNNNNNNNNNNNNNNNNNNNNNNNNNNNNNNNNNNNNNNNNNNNNNNNNNNNNNNNNNNNNNNNNNNNNNNNNNNNNNNNNNNNNNNNNNNNNNNNNNNNNNNNNNNNNNNNNNNNNNNNNNNNNNNNNNNNNNNNNNNNNNNNNNNNNNNNNNNNNNNNNNNNNNNNNNNNNNNNNNNNNNNNNNNNNNNNNNNNNNNNNNNNNCGACGCGGUAUUCGAUAUCACUGAUUGGAGUAAUGACCAGAUUUAAUUAUUUUUGCAUGUGGAAUGCGUGGGGUGUAGGACUAAUGUCACGUGCCUGAUCCCACGGUUAGCUCUAUUGUUCUAGUCGCAUAUACUGAAAAAGACCCCAGUGUUGCGUGCUUUUUCAGAUGGUUUUUGUAGGCCUACAAGAUGCUCAAUUCAAAUUCAGAAGUGGUUACUGGAGUAAUUGUACAGGCAACAACCAUAGCCACGAUUUGGCAAUGCUGUUCCCUUCCCUCUGGCAGUUCUUAUGUUUCGGUUGGCAGCAAAUGUCUUCUCCAAAGCUAUAUGGGUCCUCUUGUUUGUAAACUAGAACUCAAAAGUUGUUCCACCCCUGCCUUUUGUUUAAAACAUACGUAGUGUGAAGUUUCAAUUUAAAACAUAUGUAGUUUCAAUUUAGAUAUUCUAGAUUUUGGACUAAAAUUAUCAUGUUAAAAAUCAUAUUUUAUAAUAUAUAUUUAUGUUUUUUUGCAUAAUUUGCACUCCGACUAAUUUAUGCAGCAAUAUGUUCGUACUCUGGAUAUUUUGCACUCCAGUCUAACUUAUGCAGCAAUAUUUUGGUACUCUGGCAGAAAUUUGCACCGCAGCACCAUUUACAUGCUGCAUGCAUUCUUGCACGAAAUAUAUGUGCCAAUUUGCGUAAAAAUAAUAAACAUUUUGUUUCUUCUGAAGGCAUCUCUUGAAGCCAACCAUGCCAAAUUAUCUGAAGGUCUGCUGCGGACUCAAAAUAAUAUACAUUUUCAGGUUAAAAAGAAUUUCUUCUGUUAUAAUAUAUUCUCAAGGCAGCUGGGUGAUACUUGGAGCUGUGCCAUGUUAUUCACGGCACCUGAAAAAAAUGAAGUCUGAUUUAAACCCUGACAUCAUAGAGCUCGUCAAAAACGAACCCUCACCUCUGAAUCCCUGAAAACUAUACCUUGUCCUCUCUAAUCUCGGUCAUUUUUAACCCUGCGGUCACAUCCAAACAGGGAUUUUUUAUUUGGCAUCGGGAAAGGCCGGGAUCGGUGGGUUAGGCAGCACAUGUGUGGGGUCCACUCGUCAGUAAGAGAAAAGAAAGAGGAUUCGAAAAAGAGACCUCUGUGUUGAACUGCGGAACGUGUGGACCAACCCAGCUAACGAGUUCUCCUCAGCUGCACCCGGGGUCAGUGAGGAAGGAAAAAUGUGCCUGGUGCAGCUUCGAUGCUGAAGCACUGUGGCUGCCUCGCGCGCUCACGGAUGUGCUAGGGCGAAUGGGUGUGCAGCAGUAUGGAAACCCACCCAGCGACGUGCGCUGCGUACAUGAUGAAGAAGAGGAAGUAGGUGGAGGGCAGCGCGGAAGCCCCGGCGGAGAGGUAUAUAUGCUGGCUCGCCGGUGCCAAGCCGACGUUGUACGUGGCUGAGCUGACGUCCAUGGAGACCUUGAGGUCCCCAACAACGGUGAUGCAGUUGGGGACGACGUUGUACCUAGCGAUGCACGAGCAGGUGAGACGGCCAAUGUAUGAAGCCGUCUACAAACAGUUGGAAGUCGGCGAGCGCCACGACGUCGCCAUCAGUACCCGCUAGGUACGCGAUCCUCACGUCUGUGGGCAAGUACGUGUACACACCUCUCGUAUCUUGGACUGCUCGUAGAUGCAUACCUCUGUGUUGAAGUAGCUAGCCUAUUGUUGAAUAAAUUAAAUGUCAUGAAGUUGAAAUCAUAUCAUGCCUAGUGGUAGCUUCACAUUGGGUUUAGAAAGUGAAAUCUUUUAAGGCUUGAUAAUCACAAUAUUGGUCAUACAAGAAAUUCACGAAUGAUUAGUACAAGUAAGAGAACUUUCACAUGCAAAUACACUAUCUAGGAAAUCUUUUGUGAUUGUGAGCCCCCGUCACAAUAUUAUAUGCCAAAAUAGUUGAUGCUGGACAAGGAAGACAACGUAAUAAUUCAUGUUUGUUCAUAUUCACAUAGAAGUUAUAUUGUCAUAGAUCCUUCAACAUGUGAUGCUUGCCUUCCAUCUUUGCUAGCCAAAAAUUCCGCACCAAGUAGAGAUACUACUUGUGCAUCCAAAAAUCCUUAAACCCAAAUCUUAUUUUCAAGAGUCCACCAUACCUACCUAAGGAUUGAGCAAGAUUCUUCAAGUAAGUUGUCAUCAGUGCAAUAAGGCAAUAAAAUUGCUUCUAAAAAGUGUUAGAUCAUUUGGUGUAAGAGAAAAUUGAGCAUUGUACGAACUUGUGAUGGCAAAGAAUAAAAGCAACAGACUGCUAUCAUAAGGGGCAAUAUAACGUGACGUUCUUUUGCACUAAGGGGUUGAGCAUACAAACAAAAGUCAAAGUUUUUCUCUCUAUUCCUUUUUAUUUUUCUCUUUUGGCAAGCAUCAUGUGGUGAGGAAAGAUCUAGGCACAUAUAUCCAGUUGGAUAUGGGUAGCAUGUGUUAUUAUUGUUGUUAUCACCCUUGAGGUGAAUACGUUGGGAGGUGAAAUUAUAAGUCCUAUCUUUCUAUGUGUCCGGUUGAAACGUUCUGCUCAUGUGUAUGCGGUGAGUGUUAGUAAUCACAGAAGACUAUAUGAUGGUUGAGUGUGUGGAGCUCUUACUUACACUGUUGAAUAAGUUGAAUUGCAAUUGCUUGGUGACUGAGAACAUAGGUUGUUGAGUUUUAAGAGAAUUCAUUGUUCGAAUCUUAACAUGUGAAUUGGUUGCUACUUUAACAUGAGAAGAAAUUUUAUGAGAAAAAAAUUGAUGUUAUGAUGCUAGGAAAAGUGAUUGAAAUUAUCAUUGAUCAGACUUGUGCACUUUGCUAGCACAUACUUCAUAAAUUAUUUCUUUUACCAUUUACCUACUCGAGGACGAGUAUGAAUUGAACUUGGGGAUGCUGAUACGUCUCCAACGUAUCUAUAAUUUAUGAAGUAUUCAUGUUGUUAUAUUAUCAUUCUUGGAUAUUUUACAAUCAUUUUAUAGCAACUUUUAUAUCAUUUUUGGGACUACCUUGUUGACCCAUUGCCCAGUGCUAGUUGCUGUUUUUUGCUUGUUUUUACAUCGCAGGAAAUUAAUAUCAAACGGAGUCCAAACACCGUGAAACUUUUUGUGGAUUUUUUUGGACCAGGGGACUCCCGAUGGGCCAGAGCAGUACCUGGGGGGUGCCCUGAGGGGGGCACAGUCCACCUGAGGGCGCUUGGGGGCUCAGGCGCGCCCAGGUGGGUUGUGCCCACCUCGGUGGCCUCCUGCACCCCCUCUUCGCCCUAUAAAUUUCCAAAUAUUUCAAAAACCCUCGGGGAAACCCUAGAUGAGAAGUUCCACCGCCGCAAGCCACUGUAGCCACCGAAAACCAAUCUAGACCCUGUUUCGACACUCCUCCGGAGGGGGAAAUCAUCACCGGUGGCCAUCUUCAUCAUCCCGGCGGCCACCACGAUGAGGAGGGAGUAGUCCACUCUCGGGGCUGAGGGUUUGUACCAGUAGCUAUGUGUUUAAUCUCUCUCUCUCUCUCUCUCUCGUCUUCUUGAGAUGUCAUGAUCUUGAUGUAUCGCGGGCUUUGUUAAUAUAGUCGGAUCAUAUGGUGUUUUCCCCUCUCUAUCUUGUUGUGAUGAAUUGAGUUUUUCCCUUCGAGAUUUCGUUGUCAUCGGAUUGAAUACUUUUAUGGAUUUGAGAGCACUUGAUAUAUGUCUUGCAUAUGAAUACUCGUGGUGACAAUGGGGUAUCGUAUUGAUUCACUUGAUAUAUGUUUUGGCACUCAACUCGCUGAUUCCCGAGUUGACAUUGGGGUAAUCUAUGCAUAGGGGUUGAUGCACGUUCUCAUCUUCUGUUUCUCCGGUAGAAAUCUUGGGGCACUCUUUGAGGUUCUUUGUUUUGCAUUGAGCCUUCGAGGCGAUGGAGUCAGCUAGGUGUUUGCUAACUCUCAGGAGCAACAGUGUCAAGUGGGGGCGGCAGCAUUGGAGGAAUUCAUUUUGGGUGGUGCUCCUCGAGUAUCGAGCCGUGACUUUCAAGGUGAAAACCUAAGGUUUGGCCCUCAUUGGUUGUGCCUGGCAAUUGCCUUGCUGAAGGAAUUGUUUUGAGAGCUCGGACUUCUUCCAGGUGAAAACCUAAGAUCCUGGAUCAAGCAACGAUGGUGCUUGUGCACUGUUUCCUUCUUGGAGGCGUUGCUUUUGAAGACCUUUUAUGUUUUCCGAGUGUUGCAUUUCGUGGUGGUUUGUGUGCGGCUACUGAGAUAAGUCGAUCGCCGUGGUGGGGCCUUUGUUUUUUCCUUUCUCUUCUAUUUUUUUUCUUUGGCCGUGUGCAUACUGGAUGUCAUUACGACAUUUUGUAGGUGCAGAGGCUGGGCGUAAUUGGUAUCUGCGCGAUAUUAUUGUAUUCCCCUUUAAUUUUUUUUAAAGAAUCAUGUAGAGCGAGGCCAUUGAUUGAGAAAAGGACAUAGCUUGUCGAUAGGUUCAAUCAGAUCCACAGUAUGUUGUUGUCGUUGGAUUGCUUUGUACUACAGAAAAAUAUGUGAUAUCGAUACUUAUCCCAGAUUGCUUGCAUUUGUUGCCAAACAUUAAGCCAUUGCUAUGCAUUUGCACGAUGCAUGCGCCAUUUACAUUUUUCGCCCGCCCCAGUAUAACAUUUCUCUAGUUUUGGGCACUAGCCCAAACUAGACAUUCGUAUAGAUUCUUAGAAAUUUGUGGGGGCACGUAUCUACCCAGUCGUGCAAGCAACUCUAUUGCCUCACGAUCUGCAAAGUCGUUGGAUCUUGUACAAAGGAUAAACAAGUCUUAAGUUAUUGCUUCUGAAACUUAUGAUUUUGUUGCUCGUAGGUUCGGAAACUUAUGAUUUUGUCGGACGCUCGUACUAAGUUUCAAAGCUGGAAGUUAAAACUUAUGAUUUUGUCGGACGAUUUUGUUGGUUGCUCCUACUAUGUUUCAAAAGUUAAAACUUAGCGAAAUUUUAAAAUUCAUCAAAACGUAUUCAAAAUGAAUGCUAUUUGAAAGUCCUCAUCACCAGAAACUCGAAUAUGCAAACCAAACUUAAGUUAGAAUUUUGAUUCCAAAGAUAUAGAAGAUUGAAAAUCAAAAGCAAAAAUGAUAAGGGGGUUGGUUGUUUGCCCCACCCCUACAUGGUACAAAUCCUUCCAUGUAGCUUCUAUCUAUUCUAAAAUUCAAUGUGAUACAGUAGAAUUUGAUAUAUUCAAUCUCUCUCUCUCUCGCACGCACACGCGCGCGCGCGCCAUAUGCGACAAAUUUGAUGCAGUAGUAUUCUGACGGGAUAUCAUCCUUUGCACAUGAUCGUGUCCAUAGCAAUGGUAGAUGAGCAGUCUGUAUCUAAUUAACAUCACAAGCAAAUGUACAGUUCCUUUCUCUCUCAUUUUCACGGCUAUAGCUAGGGCAGACGAGCAGUCCGUCUCAAACAUCACGCACAAGUCAGAAGCAAAAAGGCGUUUUGCUUCGUGGACUAAGCUGGUGUUUUUUUGUUUUGAGAAUUGUACGGGUUAAUUUUAGGUGUGAGAAUCGUACUAAGCUGGCAUGCUCAUCUUAUCAUUUUCAAGGCCGUUGAAGGCCAUAGUGGCCUAUUCGAAAGCCCAGGAAUAUGAGGCAUAGUGCUUGAUUAGAUUUUCUUGUUUAUCUCAAAAAAGAAAAGAUUAGAUUUUUCUUGUUAUAUGUCUGUAGAUGUUUGAAGAGCACUAGCCAUCAAACUACUGAUAUGUGGCUUUCUAUGAGACUACUCGAUGACCUUAGGAUUAAUACCAUGCUAUUCAUCCGAUCUAGUACUCCCUCCGUCCCGAAAUACUUAUCGCACAAAUAGAUAAAAUCAAAAGUAUCUAGAACUAAAAUACGUCUAGAUACAUCCAUUUCUCUGACAAGUAUUUCCGGACGGAGGGAGUAGAAAGUAAUCGAUCGGACGGUGAGCUGUCUCUUUCCUCCGACAAUUACGUGCCUCUGGUAACUGACCCUGUAGCAUGUCCUCUCGGCCGCUAACCUCUCAGUCCUCCACUAAUUACGCAAUGAGUUCGUUAAUUGAUCGUCCCCGGUCAUGGAAGCAUGAAGCAAGACACUGAAUAAUUGCUUCCAGCUUCGUUUCUAAUAUUUGCUUCCAAACCUAUAUCCUAGUAAAAUAUAAUCAAACAGUGAUUUAGUUCCUUCAAAUAGAAAACAUAUUUCCCCACUUGUUUCAAAACUAUAUAUAAACCGGGUGCUUCCAUCAACAAUAAAAUUGCUGCCAACCAAAUAGUACUGAAAUUGCAUGUGAAACAAUCUUUUAGUAUAAAGAAAAAAGUUGCUUUGCAAAGGAAUCACGUGGAAGCACAACUUGAUUGACGACGCACUGUUUGAAAAACAUAUUUCCGCUUGUUUCGGAAGCAUCAUCCUCGUGCUUCCGUCAACUAUAAAAUUGCUUCCAACAAAAUAAUAAUAGAAAUGCAUGUGAAACAAUCUUAUUCGCAUAAAGAAAAUGUUGCUUCACAAAGAAAUCACGUGGAACCACAACAUGAAUGAUGACGCAUUGUUAGAAAAAACAUAUUUCUGCUUGUUUCAGAAGCAAUCUCGUGCUUCCAUCGACUAUAAAAUUGCUUCCAACCAAAUAGUAAUAAAUAGCAAUUGAUACAAUCUUGUUAUAUAAGGAAUUUUUUUGCUUCACAAAUAAUGAAAGUAAUCACAUGGAAGUAAUGCUUCCAAACACAAAUCAUGCUUCCUAAUCUAUAGUUUCCGGCAGUGCUCCAUCCAACCAUGUCUGAGCUUGACGAUCUUCAUUUCUCCCACACAUCUUCGGGUGUCAACACCGGCGAGCAUCAACGCCAUUAAAGCGUCAAUGAUCUUGACCUGUGGCCAGCGAGUGUGCCAUGCUAGUUUGCUUCCAAACUGAUCUCACGUUACGAACCGUGCCUAGUAAUGAUCAUCAUUUAGGCUCACUGUCGGCAAGGCGUGUUCUUCCGCUGUUGUCAACGCUGCAGAAACUAAAAAAUGAGUUGUUUGAACUGAAUUCAAACACAACGCCUACAAAACAUUAGGAAGCAUGUAAAUGAAACAAGCUGGACAUAAUGUAGAAGCGCAUGUAUGAAACAUAUGAAGCAAACUAUACUUGGUGAAGAACUACAGCUAUCUAUGCAUGCGGCGAAUUGUAUGUGGGGAAGAAACACAAAUAUAGGGUCAGUUUGGAUCGAUGCCUGAACACCGUGCCUGGGCAAAUUGGGCGUCUAGAUCUAGCCUGAGAAGAUGUGAAAUAUUGCCUGGCCAGGCUGGCCUCGUGCAUGUGCGUUUGGUUGGAGUCCAUAGCUCUGCUGCUGUUUGUCAGAGUAUUUGCUGUGUGUCAGAGUUCUUAAAGUGUUUAAAUACUACCAGACUGCUACUGUAGCACCUCCAGGCACAAAGAAUGGGACGCCUGGCCAGGCUAAAUACCCUGCCUGGAUAAGCAACUUCUUUUCUUUCCUAUUUUUUAAUUGGACCAGGCUAAUCACAUGGCUAGGCCAGGUACGCAUCUUCUAUAUCAGGACACCAAACAAACAAGUAGCAGGCAGAGUACAGGCACCAACCAGGCCAGGCGUGUGACGGCGUGGAUAUUUGGAAGCAUAUAUACUCAUACAAUAUCAAAAUAGUAUCUGCAUGGACACAACAAAUUGAGCAAAAAAGAUCAUCCAACAUGGGCGUGGGCUGAUUCUUACGGCUACCGAUCCUCCCUGCAUCUAUUGAUCCUCCGGGUUGAUUGGUUAGGCAACCACACCAGCAGCCACCCCGGUUGGAGAUGGGCACCGUGACACGUACGGAAGGGUGGUGCUCUGGCGCGGUGGAUGGGAAAGAAGUGGGCGGUGAAGUGGCCGUGCUGCUCGACAACGAUGAGAGGAGAAGGCCCGUGCAUGCAAGGCCAUGGGAAAAGUGGAUCUGAGAGGUGCGUGGGUUGGCAGCGAGGAAAUCGGGAGGGAUAUGGGGAGCUUAAUUAGGGAGAAGUUACGUACCUAUCCAUGGGGGAUUUUUUUUUUGCACAAUAUGUGAACGCCAGAUCUCAAUUGAUUCGACAGCCAUCUAUUAGUCUGACGCUGGCCGUCUUAUCAGCCUAUAGAUAGGAAGUGUUUCCCGUAUAUAUACCUACAAAUAACAACCUUCCUUUUUGACCUCCUCAAACAUACUCACAAGUGCAUAUAGGCAUGGCCAGCUCGUCAGCGUUGGAGUUCACCGUGAGGAGGAAGCUUGCGGUGCUGGUGCCGCCCGCGGCCCCUACGCCGCGGGAGCUGAAGAGGCUCUCCGACAUCGACGACCAGGAUGGGCUCCGCUUCCAGGUCCCCAUCAUCCACUUCUUCCGGCAGCAUGACGGCUGGGACGACGACCCUGCGCCUGUACUACGCGGCGCCAUAGCGGCGGUGCUCGUGCACUACUACCCGUUCGCCGGGCGGCUGAGGGAGCUCGAGGGCCGCAAGCUCGCCGUCGACUGCACCGGUGAGGGCGUGCUGUUCGUCGAGGCUGAUGCCGACGUCCGCCUCGACCAGUUUGAUGCGGCCCUGGGGCCGCCCUUCCCGUGCCUCGACGAGCUCCUAUUCGACGUCCCCGGCUCCUGCGGUAUCCUCGACUGCCCGCUCCUCCUUUUCCAGGUAUGCUUUCCUCAACUUUCGGCUUUGGUAAACCUCAAAAAAACAGUCGAGACUUUUCAAAAAAAAAAAAUGCACUGGAUCAUAAACGGGAAAAUAAUGCAAUUUUCAGAAUCGGCCGAGACUAAGCCUCCUGCUUGCAUGCAGGUGACACGGCUCGCUUGCGGAGGCUUCGUCAUGGCUGUGAGGGUACAGCACACGAUGGCAGAUGCGGCGGGGAUGGUGCAGCUCCUGGGUGCUAUCGCGGAGCUGGCUCGGGGUGCGCCGGCGCCAACAGUGCAGCCGGUGUGGGGGCGCGAGCUGCUGCAGGCGCCGCUGCUGAAUGAUGAUGUACUACUCCCACCGCGCUUUGCGCACCGUGAGUACGAUGAUGUGAUGGACAUGAAUGACGCCAUCGUGCCCUUUGAAUUCAUGGUGCACCGCUCCUUCUUCAUUGGGUGGCGGGAGAUCUCCGCCAUCCGAUCCCACCUCCCGCCGGCUCUCAGUCACGAAGCUACCAACUUCGAGGUCAUCACGGGGUGCCUGUGGAGGUGCCGCACGACAGCUCUGGCCCCCCAUGCCGACGAGGAAAUGAGAAUGAUCUGUACCGUCAACAUCCGUGGCAAAAAAGACACUAUCAUCCCCGUCGGCUACUAUGGCAACGCCUUCGCUUCCCCGGUCGCCAUCUCCACUGCCGGUGACUUGCUCGCCAACCCUGUGAGCUACGCCGUGGAGCUCGUGAUGAAGGCGAAGCGGCAGGUGGAUGUGGAGUACAUCCUCUCCGUGGCAGCGCUCAUGGCACAACGCGGGCGGCCACACUUUGCGGUGGCGCGCGCCUACCUCGUGUCGGACGUGACCAAUGUUGGAAUCCGCGACCUUGACUUCGGCUGGGGCAAGCCGGUGUAUGCCGGUCCAGCAAAUGGCGGAGUCGUUGCCUUACCAGGCAUCGGCAGCUUCUUCAUUGCUGUAAGGAACGCCACGGGCGAGGAGGGUAUCACAGUCCCCGUGUGCAUGCCCGGCCCCACCAUGGACAAGUUUGUUAACGAGAUGGGCAAGCUCAUGCGCCCGGCAUUGGCUGACACGUUUUCCAAGAUGUGAUCUGCCAUCUGAGUUGAAUCGUCAUCUGGUAUCACAGUUUCAAUUGACCAUCAAAAUGACUACUUGUACCUAAAAUCUCGACCGGCUACAUGCUUGUGCGUUUAGUCACCUUUUUCUUUAGCAAACGAUGUAAGCAUGGCUUAAAUAAUUAAUAAAGAUAGCCAUGAUGGUCUGCCCCUCAAAUUGUGCUAUGCGUCGGCCGACGGUUCUUUUAAAAAGAUCUGCCCGCUCGACAGCCGAUAGAUCUGACGUUAUCCAACGACCCAGCUCCAUCCUCACUAUUGCAACAAAGACGGUGUUGCAGAAGCCUUUGUAACAAAGCUCGUGUUGUAGAAACAUUUGCAACAGAAUUUUUUUUCCAGCUUCAUCUUUUUGCAACAGAGAUGAUGUUGCGGAGAAAUCUUCUGCAACAUGAAUGAUGUUGCAGACUUUUUUUGUAAUGAAAGGAUGUCGCAGUGCCCCGUCGUUGUUGCCGUCGCUGUUUUCCAACUCCGCCGCUGUUCCAGAAACUCGUCGCGCGUGCGUCCGCACGGCCUGACGAGCAGGGGCGGCUUCCGCUACACGAGGUCGACCUGACAGUGUCGCAGAAACUUCUACGAUGGGGACCUCCGGUUUGGAUCACGCCGAGGCAGAUGCGGCAUGGCUCUUACCGUCGACACCUGGGUGGCUUCCACGGCGACCGCUCGGGCCAGCCGCCCCGCCAUGGUCGGGAGGCCACCGCCGGUGGAGGUUGUGUCGCCCUCGUUGCCCUCCCUCACGCGGCUCCUUCCUGGUGGGUCUGCAACAGACCGCUUGUUGCAGUCUGCCUUUUGAAACUGGUGCCCAGUUGCAAGAAUCUAGUAUGUGGCUAGCGUUUCAAUGAAGAUAAGGAUGAGAGAGAGAGAGAGGUGGUGCAUGGGCCCAUGACGACGCGUGGAAGACGGAGGACGCGACGGACGUCAGACAAAAGAUCGGUCGGUUGAGCACCAGCUUUUCCCAUACAUCUCUAUCAAUACCCAUAUAUAGUGUGGGAAUAACUUACGUUGUCAUCCAUUGGAUCUACUUCAUGUAACGGCUGAGAAUUGCAAACCCAAGAGUUGUAGCCUUCAGAUCAAUUCUUGUGUUGUACCGAUCCUUGUCAUGGCCUGCUCGGCGUGGACUCCCUAAAGCUUUCUACACAUAUUCAUUUUAUUUCCAUUUCAUGUUGAGUCUGAACAAGCAGCAAUAAAGAGAUUGGUCCAUAUCACAGGAGCACAAUUAAAAACUAUAUUAGGGGUGAGGAGAAAAAGCCGCGACAAAGAAAAAAACAUUGUAAACUAAUGAUAACCCAAGAGCAGGGGAUCAGAUAUAACAUUUUCGAUAAGUAAGACUGUCGAACCCAACGAGGAGUUAAAUUUAAGAUUAACAUUCUCUCAAGUUCUAUCAAACACUGAUACAACUCUACAUGCAAUGUUUUCUUUACCUAGAAAUAAGAAAUAAACUACUUUGUAGGUGUAAUGGAAUAUAUUUGUAAGAUAAUAAAGAACAUGUAAAUAAAAGUUAGGUGUUAUUUAAAUAAAAGUGAAAUAAAAUAAAUAUAGCGAUUGUGGAAAAGCGGUGGUUGGAUGUGCGGGGGAAUUGUCCCUAUGAAAUUGACAACUAAACAGAUAACCGCCAUUGCAGUUUUAUGUGCGGGAAAUGCCCCUCCUAUCCCUUUCUCGGAAGUUUAUGCACUUAUAGUUGGAACUACUAGUAAGUAUCUGCUACUACUAACAAGUCCAUUAAGGUAAGCCCGACCCUAGCAUUAAGAUAAAUUUGGUCCAUGUUCAUCCCAUAUGCAACGACUCACGAACUGGGGUUGAGGUUUCUAUCACUUCCGCAAUCCACCAUAAGCAAAUCAAUCACAUAUUGCAACACCCUAAAGCGUAAUCCACAUACGUGUACACGCAUAUGGUGGGCACCAAAGGACAAAAAAAACAUGUCACUCAAACCCAUCAUGAUCACCAAUUAACCUAUAGGACAAAAAGAAAUUACUCACACAUAAUAGCGAUGAGGAAAUACAUUGGAUAAAAUCUAUAACAUCAAGAACCACAUUCAAGUAGAGGGUUACAGCGGGUUGCGGGAGAGUGGACCGCUGAAUAAAGAGGGAGGAAGGUGAGGGAGGUGUUGAUGAAGACGGCGAAGUUGAUGGAGAUGGUCGCCAUGACGAUGGUUCCCCUGGCGGCUCUCUNNNNNNNNNNNNNNNNNNNNNNNNNNNNNNNNNNNNNNNNNNNNNNNNNNNNNNNNNNNNNNNNNNNNNNNNNNNNNNNNNNNNNNNNNNNNNNNNNNNNNNNNNNNNNNNNNNNNNNNNNNNNNNNNNNNNNNNNNNNNNNNNNNNNNNNNNNNNNNNNNNNNNNNNNNNNNNNNNNNNNNNNNNNNNNNNNNNNNNNNNNNNNNNNNNNNNNNNNNNNNNNNNNNNNNNNNNNNNNNNNNNNNNNNNNNNNNNNNNNNNNNNNNNNNNNNNNNNNNNNNNNNNNNNNNNNNNNNNNNNNNNNNNNNNNNNNNNNNNNNNNNNNNNNNNNNNNNNNNNNNNNNNNNNNNNNNNNNNNNNNNNNNNNNNNNNNNNNNNNNNNNNNNNNNNNNNNNNNNNNNNNNNNNNNNNNNNNNNNNNNNNNNNNNNNNNNNNNNNNNNNNNNNNNNNNNNNNNNNNNNNCUAAAUAAAAAUAAUAUAAAUUAUUGCCAAAAGUAUAUAAAAGUGGUAUGAUAAUAGUAUGAAAUAAUUAAAAAGUUAUAGAUACUUCGGAGGUGUGUCAGCUAACAUGGAUGAACUGAGCUUGCUUAGACGGUGUGCUCUUUGUGGUGGAACGUGUCGACGAGGAUUAAGUACUAGACUUGGCAUUGGUGCUCGCAUUUUUCUGGAUUUAUUUCAGACUUUUCAGUGAUAUUCGUUCUCUGGGAGGAGACGUUCUCGUCGACUAUAGAAACGCUUGUAGUGACUUUGCACUGGAUGUUAUUCUGGAGAUGCAUGUAUUUGUUUCAUGGGGCUAAAUUAUACUGCAAUCGGCCUUCUUGUCCAUAGCAAUCAGACUAUGAUUAUCCUAAAUCCUAGUGCAUAUUGUCAACCUGCUAGUGUACUACUAAAAGUUUCAGUCAGACUGGUUACAGGUGCCAUGUCUAGUUGACCUUAUUCAUUCAGUAUUUUGUUAAAACACUGCCUUUGAGCAAGUUCUUUUUAUAUAUGUUUGCUGUAGCUAAUGAAUUCACUGAAGGCUUGGAUCUGUUAAUCACGGAGAAAUUGCAUCAAUGUCAGUGAAUUAAAAUAACAGUAGCUAAUGUUUGGUCCGUUUUUGUUUCAGAUGAUAAACCGAAGGUAUUGUCAUAUAAGCUUGUGUUACACAUAUGCAAAUAGGAUUUUUGAAGGUGCCAAGACAUGGCAUUGUGUUAGAUAUGUAGUGACCAUAACAUAUAGGCUUGUCUGGUUGUUUAAACGGUUAGCAUUGUGCGUCUUGGCAGCCAUAUAUUGUGACCCUGGUAAUGCAGUGUCGAUGUGCUUUGUGACUGUACGCAUCAAAGCGGUACCUGGCAAGGAAGGAAAAUCGUUGUGUACAUUGACAGACUCCAAAGUUUUGUCAAAAAUGAAAAUCAUAAUGUCAGUAUCUCGUUGAUAUCUGCACAAACUACAAUGGGAACCUGCAAGGUUGUAAAAAAUAUCUUUAGAAAAGUGAAACAAAUCAAUGUUGCCAGUGCUUCAUGGUUCGGUAAAGACACAAAAAAGCUGCCUGAAGCAAAGGCCCCUGCAGACAGUAUGAAGACAAUGGGCAACGAAUUGUUCAUUACUUAGAGAGGAGGAAAAUUCCCUGGCUCCAUUUCAUGGGUGCGGUAGGAGUGUGGCAGAAGUAGAUCGGAUUAUUCCGGUGAUUUCAAUCCAAGUUCAUUAUUCUGCCAAACACUGCAUGUAAUUAAGGAGUACUAAUGGUUAACAGUCGCAAGAAAUCAUUAGCCGAUGGGCAAGAUUGAUUCAGUUUGCUACUGUGCAUUAAUCAUGACUUCAUGAGUCUUCCUGAAUGCAUAGUACUCCUGUUCGUUGUAUGUCAAAUGGUUUUCUUUUAGCUAGGUGUCAUUCAGUUGAGCGAUUCAUGGUCGUGUACGCCAAUAUAUAUUUGUAGAUCAUGCAUGUAUAUCACUGAUUGGAGGGGGUACUAGCCUCCACCUGCUGCUGCUACUUCCACCACCACCACCGGUGUUGCCUGCAUGCUUGAACUACUUCACUCCAUCUUCUUCUGAAUUUUGUGCACAUACUUCACUGUAUGUUUGACCCACCUGUAUGUAAACAUUUUUUUUGUAACCGUUGGCCAAAGCUUUGCCUCAUUCUAGAAUUAAUGUUAUUGGAUUGAUUUUAUCUCAGUAUUCUGGUUUUGGGGUACAAUUUGGUGAAAGAUAUAGAGGGAAGAGGGUAGGAGACUUGGGAGCAGAGCCUCCACUUGAAGGAUUAUUUGGUCCAGACGUCUUGAGCGUAGCUGACUUGAUGGCUGGUGGACCCACCACUAAUCUUUGGGCUGCCUCCCCUUGCCUGAACCAUCGUCGCUUGAUUCAUCACUUGUUGGCUGCUCUGUUUCAGCGCUGGCUUGCUCUGCUUCAGGGACUGACAGUGGUCCAUCUUGGAUGAAGCAGUUUUGUAUUGCUAUCUUUCUGAAGAAUGCAAUCUCACAAGCUUUUGACCAGGGAUCCAUUUGGCACCUCCUUGUAGCAGAAUCUCUACAAGGAGAGGGGGGGAAACCUGGUAGUGUUUUGACAAUAACAAAACUUUUUGUUACAAAAGGAAAAAGUAAAUUAUUAGAGCAGAAUCUACUUUUUGUGUAUUUCAGAAGUUCAUACCUCUCUUUGUACUUUGCUCUGAUCUCUCGACCACGACUGGGUUCAGUUCAAACACGGCCUAAAGCCAGAAAUGAAUAGAUGUGGUGAGUAAGAACAUCAUUCCCUUUCCCAUCCAAUUUGUGCGACUGGCAAAAUAGUUGGACAAGGCAGGAAUACCCAGUGGAGUACACCAUAAUUAUCUGACCAGAGUUAUGAACAUUGACAGAGAUAACCAGAGUGUUGUGGAGAUCAUGACGUCUAUUGUAGGUUGCUUGGAAGACAUGCAGUUCCAUCGUUAACCCAGUUGAGUGGAACGGGGUUUUUUCACCCCGCUUUAUAAAUAGAAAAACCAACCAGUCCAUACAACGAGUAGCACACAAGCGAAAUAAAACGUCUGCUGGGGCCUCUGCGCAAGCAUGCCCUUGAUUUUUUUUUGUUCAACACACAUGGCAAAUUAGUUUACACGAGUAGAUUUCCAAUUAGCUAUAAACUAUUCAUGGCAAAUUUUUUUCAUGUUCUUGCCAUGUUCACUUUUAUAAGAUCUUGUACUAUGUUCUCAACUACUUUUACAUGCCAUUUUUUUUGCAUUGACCAUGGCAACUAUAUGUUUUUUUAUUCAACAGACAUGGAAAAUUCGUUUACAAGUAGGUUUCGUAUUAGCUAUAAACUAUUCAUGGCAAUUCAUUUUUUUUUCAUGUUCUUGCCAUGUUCACUUUUAUAAGUUCUUUUUUAGUUGACAUUUAUAAGUUCGUCUCCUAUGUGUUGAACAAACUAUUUUACAUGGCAUUUUAGUUUUUGCAAUGACCAUGGCAAAAGAAAAAUUGUAUUGACCAUGGGAAAAUUGCAAAAGGUCACAUGGCAAAUUGAUAACAUUUUAUUCCAUUAAACACGAAAAUUGCGUAAAUGUUCAUAAUUGUUAAGAUUUUAAAAACAUUUAAUGCUCACCUUUGCAACUAUAUGUUUUUUUGUUGAAGAAACAUGGAAAAUUAGUUUACCAUGGCAAUCAUUUAUUUCGCCAUGUUUUUUUCUGUUGAAGUUGCCAUUGUCCCAUUUUGAUUAUCUUGGUAAAUUUUUAUCUUCAAGGAUGAUAGUGUUUUAAAUUAUAAUAUCAGACUUUUUCUAUCCAAAAUGUUGACCACAAAAAUCACUGCCACGCUGUACCAAUAUUAAGCCCGUUUUCAAAGAUUUGCCAUGCAUUUUAGAGAGAAAAUUCACGAUUUUACAUUGUUUUUUUUUGCCAUAACCAUGCAUCUAGUAUCAAACAUUUUUCUUGUUAUAUAUCAUCUCAAUCUUGUGCGCUGUUUGUACCCCUCACGUUUUGUACUUUCUGACACUAAUGGUAUUAUUAUAUGACAUAAGAAGACUAUGUGUGCAGGUUUUUCAUUUUUCUGAUUUUUUUGAAUUUAUUAUGCUCAUUUGAAUUCUGGUCAAACCUAUCUUUGACUGACUCCAAACCCCUCCCAAACCUCGCCGAACAGUGACCGUUCAUCUAACCCUAGCGCUGAACAAGGACCAUCGAUCUAACCCUUCUAGAAGGAAUCUGCGGGGAGGAGGAGGGCGAUCCACGAGAUGCAAUCUGAUUGGCUGUCCGCUUUUUUUCUCUCAACACGGAUAGUGGGAGCGCUGGAUGGACCGUUGGGCCGUCUCGCGGUCCGGGCCUGUGACCGUUGUUAAUGCCCCGUCUCAGCCUUUCCAGACCUGCAUGCAUGGGAAGCAAGGCGAGCGACGUGGGCAUGCAUGCGCGGGCGAGCAACAUGGGCAUGCAUGCGCGGGCGAGCGACGUGGCCAUGCACCCCUUGAUUUAGAUGUAUGCAGUGAUUCAGAUGCACCGUAGUCGCUCAGAGGCACGCACGUGCCCGGAUACAAACGCCCCAUCGUUUCAGUGUAAAAUGUAACGGAUUCACACGCACGCGCCCGGAUACACACGCCCCAUCGUUUCAGUGUAAAACAUAACGGAUUCGCACGCACGCGCUCGGAUUCACACACGCACCAUUCAUUCAUUCGCAACCCUUUUCUCUUCCUUCCCCACUCACACGCCUAUUUAUAUUCCUCUCUUCCUCUCCCACUCACCACCCAAGCAAGAUCCAUUGUCUCCACUUCAAACACCCAGUCCAUCCUCUCCGAGAAUUCCAAGCACCAACUGAAGAUGCAGUACAACGGGCCGACGACCUUCCUUCGUCCUCCUACCGUGUAGGAGCUGCGCUACCCGCCGGGUGUCCUUGUGGAGAGCACGCUCCGUGUGUGGGUGCAAUCCAGGUGGAGGGGGUCCAUCGAGCUCACACGCGACUUCCUCACCGCCGGCUUUGCCCACCUCCCACGGGGCUCGCCUAGGAUGUUUACCCUCAACGAGGUUCGUGACUGUGCCGACACCCUCAAACUGCUCACGCUCACCUUCGCCAACCCGUUUGACGCGCGCGAGCUCCUCGGCGAAGUGUUUUGGUGCGGCCGCGAGUCCAUCUUCUUCACGGUGUACAACAUCUUCAUCAAUAUCGACUGCAUCUUCCCCACCGAAAACCAGAUGCACUCCAUUCCCUACUACGAGGAGUGAAGUUGAAGACGGUGGUGAAGGGGCGCGACCAAGGUGGAAGAAAGGUCAAGAUGAAGAUGUUCAAGAAGGAUGCGAGCCCAGAGUGAAUUUGUUGGUCAAGCUCGUCAUGUUUUAGUUUUAUCGUUUUUAUUUUGUUGUUUUUCUAUGUCGUACAUGCCGUUUCGUGUCCCUGGACUUAUCUAUGUAGGGUACCCAUCUAUGUAAUUAAGGGUACCGUGGUUUGCAUCUUAUUUAUCUAAGUUAUAUGUGUGUUUAAAAAUGUCCGUGCCCAAAGAGAUCAUUUGUGUGUGUUGAAAAAUGUUCGUGCCCAAAGAUCAAAGUGGUUAAGCUUGUAAAGGAUUUUGUGACCACGGAAGCAUGCAAAUUUCUUUCCUUUAAACCCUAAACCAAGUCAUGAACUAACAUGCACAUUUCUCCCCUUUAAACCCUAAACCAAGUGCCACUAUAACCGGAAUCAUGUGGUAGUGCAAACAUGCAUUUCUAAAAAUUCAGUACAAAACAAAGGAAAACCACUCUCACGCGUGUGCAAACAUUCAGUACAAACAUGCGUUUUGAACCCUAAACCAAGUCAUGGGCUCACUAUGUAUAGAUUAUUUCCCUUUCCAUGUCAAAGUCUUUCCAUCUGCCCUAUCGGUUACCAAUGCAGCCCUAAACGCCACAAACCCAUGCGGUCUUGGGUUUGAGUCCCAGCUGCACCAUUUUUGUUCAUUUCCACCAUUCUCAUUUUUUUAGACAAAUUAUUUUUUCGAGCACGCAAGAGAUCUGAGUACCGUUAUAUUAAGAAAAAAAAUGGGACAAUGACCCAUACAACACCACUCGCACAACCUAUUGCUUUUUUGUUCAUUUUCCACCCUUCUCAUUUUUUUAGAGAGAAUCCACCCUUCUCAUUUGCCCACCCCGAAUGGGCCUAAUUGGAUGGUGUUGGCCCAUUAGUCUAGCCAACACUGGGCUCUUGGCUCUGAAUUUGGCCCCUAGAGAAACCUUUUUUUACAUAAAGGCAGAGCAGAGAGCUGCAUUAAUUUCAUUGAUCAAAGUUUCUGAAUUUCUCAUUUCUUCUCCCAUUUUUCAACAUUUUUUCAUACAAUUACAAGCUUACAAAUUCCUCCCAAAUUAAUGCCUUUCCAUACAAUUUGAACAUUACGCCUAGUGCGAUUAGCAUACCUACAAAUGCCCAACUGUAAUUGCAAAUGGGUAUUUGUGCUUGAUCUUUGAGCUUCCUUAUCUUCUGGUUCAACCUCCUAAGCUUAACAGCUACCUCUCUGUCAUUGCGUGCUCCGCCCUCCGUCUCUUCUUCCGGAGCUCGUGCUGCGACCGAUGCCGCUCGUGGCAGGAUGGGCAACCAUUCUUCGUGCUCUUCUAACAGUUCAGUCAUCAAAGUCUUGGCCAGAGCAUCGACCCAAAGGAAGAAACAUUUCAUCUGCAUGAACGCCAAAUAGAUCAACCGUAUUGCUCAAGUAUCCCGACCACGAAAAUGGUGCAAUUGCCCCGAUUCUUACCCCAUUCUCGCUGCACACGUAGAACGGACGAUUAUGGUUCUUCGGUGUGCGCGAAACCAUCCGAUCAACCUCCGCUCGGCACCACGGACAGAGGAAGAUCGACAUCUCCACGCGCGCCGGAAUCUUGAUCCGCGGGGUGGCGCGGGAGCUAGAAGAUGACAUUGAGCUCGGGACGGAAGGGGAUCUCAACGCCGCCGCGCCCUCCACAGCAAUCUUCCCACCGCCCGGAGAUGAAGGGGAUCUUCAUGCCGCCCUCUCGGUCGCCUGCACCCUGCUCCUAGCUACCAACAGUGGUCGCCACCCACCUCUGCGCGUGUCCGCCUCCCACCCCGUCCCCCGCUUGGCUGAUUCAUUGCUCACCGUUGCGAGCGUCGGGGGCGCGCCGCCGCUUUUAUCGCACACCCGUGGCCAGCAACGGCUCUCUGCUGGGUCCCAUAAGACACAAGAGCAACGGUUCUCUGCUUGGUCCCACAAGCCACGAGAGCAACAACCAGCAACGGUCUGAUCCUGUAGCGCGUCUCCGCCUGCUUCCUGGUCCCACCUGUAAGGGCCGAGUCAAACACGUUGACCUGACGGAGACGUCACGGAACGAGUUGGUGCGCACAGACUAGGGGCUAUUGCCUUUGCCCCCAUGUGAAUGCAAGUUGCUCAUUCAUCAACAGUUACCACUAUCAGAAAAACUCCAGCAUACUGAUUUCUUUCACAUGCACGCUGCUAUUUUUACAAGAGUACAUACUCCAAUUUUAAUGGCAUCGAUGCAAAUUCUCUCUGAUUAAUAGAUUGAGAGCUCUACUGAAUUCAUUAGCUACGGCAAACACACAUACAAAACCUUUCUCAAAGGCAGUGUUUUGCAAAAACACUGAAUGAAUAAGGUCAACUGGUACCCAUAAUAACCGAUUCUGAUUGAACCUUUUAGUACACUAGCAGGUUCACAAUCUCCACUAGGAUUUAGGAUAACCAUAAUAACCGAUUGUUAUGGAAAGGAAGACCAGAUACGGUAUAAUUUAGCCCCAUGGAACUAAUACUUGUCCAGAACAAGAGACAUGGCUAGGUAAACAAGAACAAAGCUAACAAGGCUUAGUCUGUAGGUUCACCAGGAAUUUGCUCUGAACUGAAAAUCAAGCUAGCAGGCGUGCAAGCAUCAGCAAACUGAGCAGCAUAAUUCAAGUUGAUUCCAAAGCACACAAACAAAUUCUUCAGCUGACAGAAGAGCCAAUUCUUGGAGGAAGCGCAAGCAUGGCUUGAAGGUAAAGCUGCCGCCCAUCUGCAUCUACUAAUGACUCCGAGAAUAACCGAUUCGGGGCUGUAAAAAUGUUUAAUGUUCAUGCACUAUUCUGACCCGAUUUGUCUUUUUUGCUGUGAGCUGCUCAGAAGUUCAAAUGAUCUAAAAUUUAGAGCGAACCUCACGUGAUAAUUGUCAACCAUUCAAAAAUAAUGAAAUUUUUUGAUUUUCGUUUGAUUUUUUUCCUGGCCAGGUGCAGCUGAGCCUGGGCACCGGAACGCGGCACUCGUGUUGUGUAUUAUUUUUCACAAGACUAAGGAAACGGAUAUGGCACAGUGACCCGGUUUCUUCCUUCUGGGAGCGGGCAAUGAAGUGUUCUUCUGCAGUUGGUGUCCCUCCAGGGAACUUCGCCUUCCCUCUGGAGCCCACUGUUGCCGCAGGUGUUAGCAUUAGUACUUCAAGUUGUGUUUCUUUUCUUAUUUUGUUUGCCUGUGAGGCCGGUUUGUUGAUAGCUGUUUGUAGGCACUCUGUAUCUUUUGCCGCUUUGUUUUCAUCUUUGCUUGUUUGUAUGUUGCAGUGUAAUUCUGACCUGUUGAUGACUUUAUUAAUUGAAAGCCAGAUGUACUCGAGCCUUCGUUCUAAAAAAGAGAAUGAUAAAUACGUCUAUAACUUUAGAGAGGACCAUGAAUGAUAUUAAAGGGCUUGCUAAACAUUGUGCUAUGAAUGGAACUUUGUUAGAUCUCAGUCGGCUGAGAUCUAGCAAAACCGACGCUAUAAUUUGCGGUCAUCGCUCAUCACUCUAUGGAAUAGCAAAUCUGCUUGAAGGCUUGUACGUGCUCGUGGUCAAGAGCCACGAACAGAUGGGCGCCACCCUUGGCAGCGCACGACGGCACCAAGAUCAUUACUCCAUCGAUGGGAAGGUCCGGCGAUAGGAAGGCGCACGGCGGCCCACCGCCGAAGUCAAGGUUAUGAAAGCCAAACCCGAGCCAGCUAUCCACCUCCAGGUCAGGGCAGAACGCCAUGCCCGGCGUUGCUGCCGUGGACGCUAGUUUCAUGUCGCGCUUUGCCUCCCCGAAGUCCACGAACGACUGGAUGUACUCGUCAUUCACGCGCGCAACGGCGUCGCGGAUAACGCCGACCACGGUGGGGUAGCUGGAGGACAGGAGAUCCUGGACCCGCAUCCUCGGUAACGCCCAGAGGACCAUGUUUCCGAAGAAGUCCAUGGGCACCGGAGGCUUGGCCCGGCCUCGGCAGUUUACGGCGACCCUCACCUGCGUGAAAUCAUCCGGGGCCAGGUCGCGCGCCGCCGUGACCUUCUUCCAUGCGUGCGCAAGGAGGCACUGGAACGUGCUGCAUGGCGCCCCCACACGGGCCUUGAGCUCAGCGACGAACUCGCCCGGGAAGUGCAGCGCCAGGUUCUUGAUCCUGUCCAAGGGGAGCACUCUGUAGGAGCGGCUGGAGCUGUGCUCGCCCUUGAACUCGAUGCUUCCGUGAUCGAACGCCGGCAACGGCGGGCUGCGUGGGUUGUCGGUGGCUCCACGGUCGAGGAACGGCGACGGCAGGGCAGCGGAAAUUUUUUUUUUUGAAACAAGGCAAAAGAUUUGCCAUUUUCAUUGAUUAAGAGAGAAGUUUUAACAGGAACCCGCAAGGCGGGAGAAUGGAGUCUACUCUCGCGGCAUUACAUUACAGAGGUGUCUAGCGCUUGCAAGCGCCCAAAUACGAGCCUCCUCCUUUAUCCUAGCAGUGACCAUGGUCACCGUGGUAAUGACAUUCCUAAAAACUCCUGCAUUGAGCUCAUUCCAGAGUUCCCAGGAAACAAGCAUGAGCAUGGAGGCCAGAGCCUUCCUCGGGGGCCCCCUAUCUAGGAUAGUCUUGAACCACCAUUCCUUUACAGAAAUUUCGUAACGCCAGCCCGCAAUGAUAGCACUGUUUAUGCCGAUCCAUGAAGCCACAUUAGCCCAAACGCGUUGGGAAAAUCUGCAUUGGAAUAGGAGAUGUGGUGCAGAUUCAGUAACUUACUUGCAUAAAGGGCAGAGCCCACAAUUGGGCCAGCCCCGACGCUGCAGCCUGUCCGCUGUCCAAACACGAUUCUGGAUGACGAGCCAAGCAAAAAACUUGCACUUGGGAGGAGCCCAAGCUUUCCAAACGGACAUGUUCAUGUUGCUCCUGAGAUGGCCCUCGAACUGCGCCAUGUAGGCCGAAGAAGCGGAAUACUCGCCACUUGUAGUGAGCUUCCAUAGGAUAGUAUCACGGACACCCGCAACAAGGUUGAUCGUAGACACCCUUUCCCAAAGGAGGGCGAACUCCUGGAUGUGCCCCAAGGAUAGGCCGUGCUGGGUGUUUAUUUGGCUGACCCAGAAAUUGUUCAGGAGUGCCUUUUGGACUGUGCACGUCUUUUUCUUAGAGAUGUCGUAGAGAGCGGGUGCAAUGUCUUUCGGCCUGAUCCCAUCCAGCCAAGAGGAGUUCCAGAAGCUCGCGCUGCAACCGUCGCCGAUGUGAACCAUGGUGGCAGCCGCAAAAAUGUCUCUGUCCUUGUCAGUACAUGGUGUUCCAGUGCCUAGCCAAAGCUUAGGGGGGUCUGCCCAUUCAUACCAAAGCCAACGAAGACGCAAGGCGGUUGCAAAUUUCUCGAGGUUGAGCACUCCUAGCCCAUCAUAAAUCCUUGGCUUACAACAAGUUCCCAAUUAACUUUGCAUUUUCUUCCCAUGACCUUGUCACAACCUGCCCACAGAUAUGCGCGUCUCAAACUAUCAAUCUUCUUCCUCACCUCCACCGGUAAAUCAAGGGGUGUCAGAUGGUAGAUUGCAAUGGCCGUGAGCACGGCCUUGACGAGGACAAUACAACUAGGGGUGGCCACGUGCUUGGCCGCCCAUGGCGGGAGCUUGCCGGCGACCUUGUCCUCUAAAUAUUGGAAAUGUAUCCUUUUGAGUCUUCUAUCUGAGAGGGGCAGCCCCAAAUAUCGCACUGGGAAGCCGGAGCGAACUGCUGGAAAGUCAUGUAGAACAUCCUGAAGGUUGAUGCCCUCACAACGGAUAGGCGCAACGAGACUCUUUGCACAAUUGGUGACCAAGCCAGUGACCUCCCCAAAAGAGGCCAAUGUCGACGGCAAGAAUUGAAUAUCACUUUUAGUGGGUGCAACGAAGAUGGCAGCAUCAUCGGCGUACAAGGACGCACGGAUCAGUCUUUCUCUGAGCGGAUGCAAGCUCCCUUGGGCGGUGGCUUUGGCAAGUAUGUGGUGUAGGGGGUCAAUAGCAAGGACAAGGAGGAGCGGCGAGAGCGGGUCCCCUUGCCGAAGGCCUUGUCCAUGUCUGGUCGGGUUGCCGGGAAUACCGUUAAGUAGCACACGGGAGGAGGCUGUGGAGAGGAGCGUCGAAACCCAAUCACGGAAGUGACUUGGGAAGCCCAGGUGUCGAAGCAAAUCCAUUAAAUAGUUCCAUCUAACCGAAUCGAAGGCCUUUUUUAUAUCGAGCUUGAAAAGGAGGGUAGGGGAUUUCGUGCGGUGAAAGCGUCUGGCCAAGUUUCUGAUAUACAUAAAGUUGUCGUGGAUACUUCUCCUUUUGAUGAAAGCAUUUUGUGCAUUCGAGACUAGGUUGGGCAUGUGAGGGGCUAAGCGAGAGGCCAUCAUUUUAGCGAUGAUUUUGGCAACCGCAUGAAUGAGGCUAAUUAGUCUGAAAUCCGAAAUGUCCUCGGCCCGUCUUUUUUCGGGAUUAGUGCGGACGGCGGUGGCCCAGGAGGCGGAGAAGCCGCUCAUGGACUGGCCAUCGGCGACCUGGUGAUGGCUGGCCAUGCCGAUCACAAGCCCGCCGCACGUGUACCGCGUCAGCUGCACCUGGAAGAUAGGCUCGUCCACAUGUUCCUGCACAUGACCAAGAACUGCAUGCUCAGCCUUCGUGUCAACAUGGAUCCUGUGCACCUUUGGAAAAAGAGAACACUCUGUAUGCCACGCCUCCAUCUACUACUACGGACGUACGUACCUUCUCCGCUUUUGGGUAUAGCUCGGCGAUAUGGGCGGAGGCGUCAUGCGCUAACGCCGUAGCGAGGUCCGCCCGGGCGGUAGCCUCAAUGACUAGCACCCCGGCGUUGUUGAGGUGGAGGAACUUCCUUCCGUUGUUGUCGACGGCGAACCUCCCUGCCAGGUGUGGGAACCUUGCGACGGUGGCGAGGAGGCCGUCCUUGAGCGUGCCGUUGGUAGGCGCCGGCGAGCUCCACACGAAGACCGUCGGGAUGUACCCGUCGGUGGAGGCGCGGUCGAAGACGGUGAUGGGAACCUUCUUGGCGCCGCCCCAUGCUGACUCCGGUGAAGACCUCAGCACUGCCUUCCGUGUGAUCUCCACGCUCACUGCCAUUGUUGGUUGGAAGCUUGCAAGAUAACGAAGAAUUAUACUGGCAUGGCAUGUGAAUGUGAUCCCCGUUCCUUUGUGAGUUUGCCGGUCCAUAUAUUGGCGUGUGCUUGCGUAUGUAUGUAGAGGAGAGAAGUGUACAUCGUAACUACUACUGUACUUUAAUUAGCGACUCUCAACUUCGAAACCAAAGUUUAUCUUGUAGUCUUUCUUUUCCUUUUAUGACUUGGUUAUUAAGCUAUGGUUUUUCUCGUUUUAGUGGCCUGCGUGCCUUGCAUUAUACUCCCUCCGUUCCUAAAUAUUUGUCUUUCUAGACAUUUCAAAUGGCUACCACAUACGGAUGUAUGUAGACAUAUUUUAGAAUGUAGAUUCAUUCAUUUUGCUUCAUAUGUAGUCAUUUGUUGAAAUAUCUAGAAAGACAAAUAUUUAGAAACGGAUAGGAGUAUAUAGGAAGAGAGACUACAAUCAUGCAUGGUCCAAAGAAAUACACUACAAAAUUCCACAAUUAAUAAAUAAGAAAAUACCGACCAUCGAGAUAAAAUACCAUAUUAUUCCGGGUAGUACCGUAGUAAAUAUUUUAUUAGAUCAUGAAAUUACCAAUAUUGCAUGCGUGUUUGUGCUGGCCACUUUGCUAGUUGCUUUAAUAAAAUAAGAGAGAGAGCAAUUAGACUAGCCACAAUGGAGAGUAACAUAUACUAGUAACAUACACAUAUCAUUAGACUAUGUUACUACCUUCAUAGUGGACAGUAACAUAAGUAUGCUAACAUGCAAAGCUUCAUUUAUUAUGUUAUAGACUCAUAUUGCAUUGGAACAUAUGAUGUUACAGUAACUAGCUAAGUUACUACAACUCCCUCUCUCCUCAUUAACUCAUUGCCACAUAAGCAAAUUUGCUGAGUCGGACUUGAUGUUACUGCUGAAGUUACUCCCACUGUGGCUAGUCUUAGAAACGGCGGAGUUCCCACCUGUUUGGCCGGUUUGAACAGACGGGUUUGGUGGUCAGUCCAUCCUCGGUGUCGCCAAUAAGUAACGUGCCAACAGUUAAUGAAGUGGCACGCAUAUGGGUGUGGCCAAUAGCAGCGACCUUUGAGUGCAGAGUGCUUUUAGGUACAGUAAUUGCUACAGUAUGUGAACGAAAUGGGGCUCACGCUGCAUGGGCCUGGCAACGCCACUGGGUGUGGGUGUGCAGAUCUGAAAGACCGAGACCUUGACUUAGAUGAGCUCGUCACCAAUCUCGAUGUCAAGUCAGUCUGUUCCUGGUUGUGGCACGUGCUGCCGUGUUUUAUAUUACCGCCGCGACCCCCGAUUUGAAGGUCGCGCAAAUAAAACUACCUUAACGCUUGGAAGAAACAAAUUGCUACCUCCAUCAUGGUUUAUAUUGUUUAUUAUGAUGUCUAAACUACAUCAAACUUUUUAAAGAAAAUUGUGGGAACAAAGUUUUGAAAUUAUUCGUGUUUAUAGACAAAAAUACGAGCAACAACACUAUUUAAUUUGUAUCACUAGCUAUAUCGUGAACUGUAUGCUUUCAUAAUGUAUUUAUGGGUAUUAUAAUUUGAUUUUUUUAGAUCGUAUAUUUUGAUUAUUCUUGUAUAGUCUAUGAUCUAAAAACUAACUUACAAACAGGUUUGAAUGACGGUCCAGCAAUAGGAUAGGUGUAUAGUCAUCUUAUCCUAUUUUCACCAGUUGUGAUAAGUAUUUUUUAGCUUUUCUGCAGUUCAUUUAAGACCUUGUUGUGAACCUGGUACUUUGUUCAAUAAAAUGACUGUGUGCAUCAUGAUGCAGAGACCGGGGGGACAUCCUCCUUUUCGGAUAAAUAAUUUGUUUUUGAAGAUGUCAGCCUAUGAUAACGUGUUUAGCAAUGGCUCGGCUCGUCAACUAAACUAGUGGCUACCAGAUAUUGACUAAUUAUGGUAUAAAUGACUCGUCAACUAAACAAGUGUUUUUUUGGUGAAAACUGAUUUUUUUUUUGGCGAGAGGCGAGUGGUUAUGGCUAAUAGUAUGCCUCUUUUUUUGGCGGGUCUAUAAUACAUACUCUUAGCUAGCCAAUGGAGAUGGCUCAAAUUAACAUAUAUUAUUUGCUAACCACCAUGUGAUGCUGCCCUGGUUUUAAUAUUCUUCAAGGUGGGGUCUGGAGCCAAACGCCUGAAACAUCAAUCUGGUUUAAUUUGAACAGUUUUUCAACCAAGAUGCUGAGUUAUUUUUUUCCGACAAAGGAUGAAUUUUAUUGACUCAUAAUGAUGCAUCAAGAGAAUACCCAACACAAUAAACACACACGGCCUCCGCAUAGCUAGGAUGCCCACAACCAACAUCAACUCACACAUAAACACGCCGACAAACUAGCAAAGUCAUAUUAGACCAAAGCUAUGCAUAGGUGAGGAAAAAAAACUCCAAAGUAACCAGAUACACGAUCGGCAAACAACAGUAAUCACCAUAUCCGCACCUACCAUUUCAUGACACCACAAGGGCGACGAGGUUCUUCAAUAGUAACGCCUUCAGGAAGGGAGUGACACUCAAGCGUAGUCGUCACAGGAUCCAACCACCAAAGUCAGACUCUAGGUUUUCAACCUGAAGAAUCAAUCCAUGCAUAUCCGAGCAAUGCCUUCAACAAGGUAGCGACAUAAAAAAAACAGCGCUGCUCAUCGAGCUGCCACGGUCCACCUCCCAGUAAAGAGCUCGAUGCACGCCGGCCCCCAAGGCCUAAUCCGACCGGAAACCGACCCGCACACAGCAGAUAGGGAUGCUCCCGCAGGACAACAAGGAGAAAGCAUGAUGGAGUGCACGGAUCCGCGUCGGAGGACAUCAGAGGCGCGAGCAACCACAUGAUCCAUGUGUUGGAGCACUGGAUAUAGGUAGCUAGCCACCAGGGGUGCAGCCGCUCAUCGGUGGCAUACCUUGCACAUGGGACGAAGUGGAGGGGCCGCGCAAGGACCGGGCGAGCUCGAAGGCACCCGCCGCCACCGGCCACUGGAUGGGGCUUUGCCCUGGCGGCGUCGGCCGCCGGCGGCGGGGUAGAACAGCGGUAUAGGAGACUAGAGCGGCGGCGGCAAAGGACACGCCCUGGCUUCAGGCCAACCCUAUUGCUGAAGUAGAAAGCAUCAUAUUUCGGUUUUUCCAACACUUGAUCAGGAACCGGGCGCAGAAAUUCCUUGAAGAGAAGGGGAUACCUACAACCAAUGCCUAAAUAAAGGCAUAUGUCGAAAAGUGCAACUACUAAUAGAUUCAGUAAAGGAAGGCCCGGAAGGGGCUGAGCUACUGCCAGAAAUAGAAGAGGACGAAUAGUAGAAGAGGACUCAAGCAGGUUUGGUCCUAUUUAUCUGAUGUGUUCUUAGAACCUACUACCCUCCCUCCUAAAAGACCAUGUGAUCAUCAGAUUCACCUCACGUUAGUCAACCAGUGAAUCAAAGGCCUUAUAGGUAUUAACAGCACGGGAUGAAAUUGAAGCCAUAAUCAAGGAGUUACUCUUGAAUGGCACUCUACAACCUAGUUCAUGAGUGGUUCGUGGGAUUUUGUCCUCGCUCAGACAAGCGGUUGACCUCACAGUCUUAAUUUUAUCCUUGUCGAUGAAGACCAAAAGUUAAUCAAUCUUUGAACAGAUGACCACAGUGCAUGUGUACCGAUCAGCCAGCCCUAUUAUCUUAGGAGGUCAAGGAUUUGUGCUGCCCCCGCAUCUUGUCAGCGGGGAUCGGUCAAUGAGCUAGCCCUCGGUCAAUAAAAUUUGGGCUAGCCGCUUAUAAAGUUUAUUUUAACUCUGAUCUAUUCAUUAAACAUUAUAACAGUACAAGAAUUCAAAAAGCAACAAAACUUACAUCCAUGUUCGUAGACCACCUAGCGACGACUACAAACUCUGAAGCGGCCGAAGAUGCACCGCCAUCAUCAUCCCUCCCCGCCGGAGUCGGGCAAAACUUAUUUUGGUAUGACCAGUGCACCAGAACGACAACCGCUGCUGAAGAAGAUAAGCAUAGAUCGGGAGGAUCCAACCCGCAGAUGAUUCCAGACUGGAUCCAAAAAAAUCCAUUGAAGUCUAGCAUCGAUCGAAUCCCCAUGCUCAACAAAUUACCAUUAGAAGAAUACAUACAAAGCUAAGAGCAUCUCCAACGGCCGCACAAAAAUUUCGCACCCAAUAAAAGUUAUAGCGCGCCACUUUAGCACUUUUAAUGCGCCGGGACCAAAAUCACUUCAGUAGACGCCCAAAAAACAUACAGUGCAAGUUGUGAAGCGUGCGCAAUCCGGAGCCCGAAAUAUGAUGCGCGCAAUAGCGUUUUUCAGCGCGCGCCCUAAACUUUUUAGCGCUACAACAUCUGCUAGAGCUGUUCAGCGCCAAAAAAACAAAAUUUUAGUGCGUGGGCCUUUUUUUGGGCGCCUGUUGGAGAUGCUCUAAGAGUGAUCCCAUGCUCAAUACGUGGUGCUGAAGAGAGAAAGAGUGAUCCCAUGCUCAACAGCAUCACGGCCGAGUGAUCCCAUGCUCAACAGCAUCACGGCCGGGUCCAUUUUCUAGUCGGCCCAAACAGUAAGUACUACUCUAGCAACAGCAUAAAUAUCAAAGUAGGAGUAACACUUUUUUUUUUCAGGGUGUUGGAGAGUAACACUUAUCAUGUCGACCAUCCAUCGAGAAUACGUACAAUGCAUGCACAUGUCUCACCACAAAUAUCUCCGGAGGCACGUGAGCAACGGGAGUGGAGCUCACUGUUCGUCACUAUACCGUACGUACGGCCGCCACCUUAUAUGCUGCAUCGGCGCCACUUUGCCCCAGCACCAGCACCAGCUCCAUUCAGCAUGGGCGCGCCGGACACAUCAUGGGUGUUCGCGGACCUCGCCGUCGCCGACAGCUCCAGGUACAGUACCCGCUCGCGGCUGCUCCUCACGGGGCUCUCCUUCGCCAUCGGCAUCCUCACCCUCCUCCUCUACCUCGCCGUCUCCUAUGCCUGCCGCCGCCGCCGCCGUUGCCGCCGUCAGCGCGGCGCUGGCGCGGGUGCAGGUGCGAAGGACCAGGAGGCCGGCAUGAGCGACGCGGCGAUCGUGUACGAGCAGGCCGACGCGCAGUCGGCGCCCAUGGACUGCGCGGUGUGCCUCGGGCAGGUGGAGGCCGGCGAGAAGCUGCGUCGGCUCCCCAAGUGCGCGCAUCUGUUCCACGCCGACUGUGUCCACGCCUGGCUGCAAGCGCACUCCACCUGCCCCAUGUGCCGCGCCGCCACCACUGGCAGCACCCCGGCCACGGCAGCGGCGGCAGAGGCGCUGCCACCUGGUGUGGUUGCAGCUGGAAGCACGCCGCCUGCCUUGAACGGAUGAAUUGAACCACACUGACCGGAGAAUAGCUAGAGUGAUGGAUAGACUAGCGACGCUGACUGGAGAAUAGCCAUAGUGUGGUCAUGGCUGCGGCCACGGUGCGUGUACAGGAGUAUGUGCGACGUCGAGUGUGCUUGUAUUACUGUUUUUUUAGGGAAAGUGUGCUUGUAUUACUGGCUCCGUUUCAUAGUGCUCAUACAUAUUUUUUCACAAGAAAAAAAGGCUUCAUAAAUUUUGAUCAAAUUUAUAGAGAAAAAUAUCCAUCUUUACAAUAUCAAAUAAAUAUAAUAUGCCAAACGGCUCCGCUCGAUGUCUCGAACCCGAUCCUAACCUGGCGCCGUCAUGGCCGCGUCGCCGCCUGGCUUACCGAAAGCCCGACCGAACGACACUUUUCAGGAUCUCCACGUGCAAGCCCGACAGAAUGCUCGAAAGCCCUGCCUGAAAUCAUGGAAAAGAGAAGCAUGAGCCUGGCCCGAACUUCCUUUCGGGGUGGAAAAUUAGGCUCGUGCCGGGCUCGGGCUGGGUCGUUAGGUCGGGCUGUCCAUGCCCUGGUUUACUCCUAUUCGUGAUGUGUUGAGGAAUUCGCCGCCCCGCACCGACCCACCGUCGGACCGGUUAGUGCACCUGGGGGCUUGGCGCAACCUCUCCUAUCUCCUCCUCCCUCCUCCCCCAGACGGUCACCCUCCGACCUUCUCUCGACGAUUCGGAUGACAAGGAGCAGGAUGCUCAGAAGGUGUUUGAUGCAAUACCCGAGAAGUAAUUUUGGAUCCAAUUCGUCAAUUUUAGUCGUAUGCAACUUGUGUUUUGUGUAGAUGGCAUUGAACUCACAAUUCGCGUAGAUGGGCUCGAUUGUGGAGGCGUAUUUGAAGAUUCUUCAACUUCAGAUGAUUCCGAUGAUGAUUUGUUCCAAGACGAUGACUCGGAGGAGAUUGUGCUGAUGUUAACUCAAUGUGGGUAGUGGGAAACAAGAAGAGUAAGCGUCCGGUCGUGUGAAGAUUCCUUAAAAAAGAUCGGCCGACAAUGCACCACUACUAGGGAAAACCUUAUACACAAAACUUUAGCUGUAGCGCGUGUUAAAAAAGCAUGCUGGUGCUAAGUAGCAGUAGCGCGCCGGUGUAAACGGCGCUACAGAUACAAUUGUAGCAGUAGCGCGCCUGAAGAUAAAAGCGCUACUACUAAAAUUCCCACGGCUUAGCCGAUAGGCUACACAUAGUAGUAGCGAUCUACGUAGAACAGCGCUACCGCUACUUGCUUUGUAGCAGCACGUUUACGAUGAAACGCGCUACUGCUAAAAGAAAUAAAAUUAAAUGGAAAGGAAAUAAAAAAGUAAAUGAAAAUGAAAGAAAUAAAAAGAGGUGAAAGGAAAAAAAUUAAAUGUGAAGAAAAAUAAAUGAAAAAGGAGAAAAAAGAGAAAGGAGUAGCAGUAGCGCGUAUCGAGGAAAACGCUGUAGCUAGCUUAGCAGUAGCGCACUUCCUGGAACGCGCUACUGCUACUUCUGACUUAACCGCGCGGUCGUUCUUCCCCACGACCACUUUCCCCAAAUCCAACUCCUCCGCUGUCGCCGCCGCCGUCGCCCGUCGGCCGCCGCGCGCUUUCCCAUCGCUCUCCACACACCCUAGACGCCGCCCCCGACCCCGGAUUCGACNNNNNNNNNNNNNNNNNNNNNNNNNNNNNNNNNNNNNNNNNNNNNNNNNNNNNNNNNNNNNNNNNNNNNNNNNNNNNNNNNNNNNNNNNNNNNNNNNNNNNNNNNNNNNNNNNNNNNNNNNNNNNNNNNNNNNNNNNNNNNNNNNNNNNNNNNNNNNNNNNNNNNNNNNNNNNNNNNNNNNNNNNNNNNNNNNNNNNNNNNNNNNNNNNNNNNNNNNNNNNNNNNNNNNNNNNNNNNNNNNNNNNNNNNNNNNNNNNNNNNNNNNNNNNNNNNNNNNNNNNNNNNNNNNNNNNNNNNNNNNNNNNNNNNNNNNNNNNNNNNNNNNNNNNNNNNCCCCCGACCUCGACGCCGCCCUCCGCCGCGCGCCCGAGCCCCGACCCCGACCUCGACUCCGUCUGCCCCUCCCUCGCCGCAGGCACCUGAGGUGAGCACGCCUGCUCCUCCCCCUCCCCUACCUCUGCCUAGCUAGGUUUCUUCAAAUUUUAGUUGCAUCAAAUUAGUUAGGGUUCAUCUAUGGGUGGAAAUGAAUCGGAUACGGAUGCGGCUCAGAUGUUUUCUUAGAUGAUGUUUUUUUAGAUGAUGAAUAAACACUAUUGUAAUGCAUAAUAAAACGAGUAAAAUUUGACCACUUAUUUCACUUUUAAGUUGGAUUAUUGGAAUAUCCGCUACCACUUUCCACCCCUAGGUUCAUCAAAUUAGAUGGUAAUUAGGGCAGUAGUUCCUAGGUACUAAUUAGUUAGUAAGAACUAGGUACUAGUUUAUUUUAUUUAUAGUAAAUUUAAUUUUAGUAAGAACUAGUUGAAUUAAUAGAACUAGUUAGUAAGAACUUGUUGUUGUUUUUUUAGUUAAAGCAAUUUUUCCCGCAUCUAUGUCGACGAUGCCUAUCCCGCAUCCUCCGAGUGGCCUAUGUUUUGCCGGAGUGUUGAUUCAUUUCCGUUCCGGAAAAUUUCCGGCGCUCGAUAUGUCCUAUUUUAGCAAAGGUCAUGCCGGAUUUUUCCGUGAAUUUGGCAUGACUUGUGCCAGAAUAUGUAGGAAAUAUCGAGUGCCCCGGAUUUGUGUGUUGAGUAUCCUGGUAGUUGUCUUUGAUCGAUUUUCAAUUAAUGUUUCAACUAUGAACAUAGGAAAUGUCUGACGACAAAAAGGAUUGCAAAUACUACGAAGACGAGCGUGGCCUGUGCGACGGAAUCUUCCUAGAUGAUGAUAGGCGCUUCAGCAUCAAGCUGGACGAGAACUUCGAAGUGGAUACAGUAAGUCACAACGACUAGUCUUUUUUCGUAGUUAAGCAUGACAUCUGCUUCAUUUUCUUCAACUUAUAAUUUAAUUUUUUUACUAUUCUACUGGCGUAUCCCCUGCCAUGCAAGAGUUUUUGUCUUGGAUAAGAUAGGUUUCAGUCGUAUGGAGGUAAAGAAAGUUUACUUGAAGACCGAGCAUGGUUGUAUUUUCCACGCAAAAUUAUACAACGCAGACGACUACACCUAUUUUGGAUGCAAAACUUGACGAGCACUAUGUAAGACUUAUGCAUUUGAGCCUGAUAUGGUUAUCACCUUUGACAUUCGUCCGGAAGAUGAUAUUGAAGGUAAUAUCGACAUCUGGGUCGAUGUGCAGGCGCCUCCAGUUAUACCAUUAUGUGAGUUUCUCAACCAUAUUUAUGUCUUUGAUAUUUUUUAUUCAAAAAUAGUUGCAACUAAUUUCUAUUGUCAGCUUAUUUCCGUUCAAGCAAACAUGUCCAGCGCUUGGUAGACAGGACCUACUACUGUCCCGGGGCUGAACUAAACUGCGAGGAGAUAAGUCAUUAUGUUUCAUGGCUUGAGGAUCUUCAUACUGUCAAGACAAAUUUUCUUCCUGCACUUUGAAAUGUUAGUACUGAAAGCGUGCGACCAAUAGCGUUCGUACUGAACUACGGUCACAUCUAUUUAGGAAAGAUGGUAAGAUUUUUACUAUUUUUCCUCGGUGCAUCUUUUGCAUACAUUAUUUUUUAAGCUAAACUUCAGUGCUAAGUAUGUUACUAUACGAUGUUCUUCAACAGGGACUCCCGAUGAAUGUUGUGCCUCAUGGGAUCGAGACUAAAGGUACCAUGAGUAUUGUUCGCUUACGACCAAGAUAUCCUACAAUGCACUUUAGUGCAUUCAGGAUUUCUAAUAGCGAGGAAUGCUUAAUAGUGAAAGACUGGACCAAAUUUGUGAAGGAGGAGUGCAGAGAAGUACUAGGGGGCAGCAAUCAGAAGCGCAGCCCACGAUUAGGAGACAGGUUCAUCUGCAUGCUCCAACUUGAUGAAGGAGGGGUGCUACACAUGUUUUAUGUUAUUUUACCUGAGAGAGAGCAGCAGGAGUGAUUAACUAGCUAGAAAUGAGUUUGAAGAUGAUGAUGUGCUACACUAUGACUAUGAUGAUUAAAUAGCUAGUGUUGGUGGUAAUGACUAUGACGAUUAUUAUUAGCUAGUGUUGGUGGUGAUUAGAUAGCUACCGCAUCUAGUGUUGGUAGUGAUUAGCUAGCUAGAAUGAGUUUGAAGAUGAUGCGGUGCUACACUAUGAUUAUGGUGAUUAAAUAAUUAUUGUUGGUGGUAAUGGCUAUGAUGAUGAUUGAAUAGCUUGUGCUGGCGGAUUAGAUUCAAGUGGAGGCAACAUGUGGUGCACAUCGAAAGUACUACUAAUCCGAACUAGAUCAAGUUUGGAUUAGUAGUAUACUUUUGACAUGCACCACAUAUUGCCUCCACUUGAACCUAAUCCACCUUCAUUUGACACAGUGUUAUGGACAUAAUGAUAUAAACCUCAUAAUUGGUAUUCUACGGCAUAUAAAUACACUAAAAAUAAAUAAAAAUUGAAAAAAAUACUAGUAGCGAUGGAUAGUAAACACGCUGCUACUAGCUAGAUGAGCAGCAGCGCGGGAGAGAACAAGCGCUGCGGCUAUGUGUCUUAGCAGUAGCGCGUGUCGCAUGCGCUACUGCUAAGUAAUAGGUGUAGCGCCUUAUUAGUUGCGCGGCAGCCCGCGCUACUAGUGGGCAUUAAACCCGCGCUACUACUAGGGUUUUCCCUAGUAGUGCACGGCUCAUCCAUGAUUACUUUGUGGAGAACCCCGUGUACCCUCUGCAUCUUUUCCGGUUACGCUUCAAAAUGUCGUGGGAGCUAUUUGUGUGCAUCACUAGUUUUGUGGGAGCUAUUUCAUCUUUAUCAUUUGUUGCAUUUAAUCCCUAUGCCAUGUUUGAAUUUGAAUUUGAAAAUAUGAAAUUAUGGAUUUAAAAUGUUGUUGAAAGAUGAAAGUUUGGCUUAUAUUUAAGCGAAAUUGGAGUUGAAAUAAUGUAUAUACACACACAUAGGAGAAAUAGGAAAAUAAAAAUUAUAAAAUCUUCAUUUCUUAGGGAAUCUAAAAUAGGAGUAAUCUUCUAUAUCUAAAUAGCUAGCCCCUACUAACAUACACAUACGCCAAGUCAUCAUGCAAACAUGCAUGAAAAAGGCUCACCUCAACAUGCAAACAUACAUGAGAAAAGACCAGCUCAAUUAUUAGGUACAAUAAAUCAUAUCUUUUUUUAGUUUUAGUUCUGUUGGAAAUAUGCCCUAGACGCAAUAGUAUUGUAUUAUUAUAUUUCUAUUUUCAUAAUUAAAAGUUUAUAAUCCAUGCUAUAACUGCUAUGAUUCUGGGAUAUGCGAUUCAGUGGAAAACUCAUAUACACAUGUGAAAUGAUAAACGAUAUAAUAUAGGUUCUCGGUCUUGCCUCUAAGACUGGCUCAAGUGUUGUUGAUGGUCAUGUUUUCCGGAUCUUAGGAUACCAAGUGUAACGAUAAUCCUAACACAACAUUUAGAGUGUGACGUUAGAAGAACGAUCAUAUUGAAAUCGAUCCAAUCUUGUUUGUUAUACUUUGAGAUAAUAUCAUCUGCAAUCAAUGGUUAUAACACAGAGUGUUAGCGUAUGUUUCAGGUCAUCAGACAAUGAGAGUAUCGUAGUUAGUUCCUACUCUACGGUGGACAUUGGGUUUGCUCAAACGUCAUAUGUAAUAACGACGACUUGCAGAUUAAUCGAAAAGUUUGAUAAGGGACUGGAUAACUCAAGAGUGGGAUUUGCUACACUGACGAUGGAGAGAUAUUCUUAGGACCGUCUCGGUGUGACGGAAUCCAUCAUCGUCUGGCCAGCCACAGGUGACUACAUCACGGGAAUGCCGAAACACUUCAACGAGAAAGAAAAACAAAACCGGCAAUGGGAUCAGCAAUAUAGUGAGCAUGUGCAUGCAUGACUCAGAAGGAUACCGAGGCAUGCCGGCAGUGGCGUAGCCAGGAUUUUCGGCCAGGGUGGUCCAAUUGAUAUAUACAAUAUUUAUAUAAAAAACAUACCAAUAUUAGCAGAGGCAGAGCUAUGUGUGUUAAUAUGAGGGGGCCAAUGCCCCCCCUCUCCCCCAGCUUUAAACUUAAGGAAAAUUUAUAACCUUUGCCCCCCCCAGAACACUCAUGGUUUAUGCCCUCCGCGGGAAGAGGUACAUGGUCUGUUUGGUUUGGCACUCCGAGCAAUCUACCAAAAAAAUUGACGUUGACUUCACUGUUGGCCUCUAUUGGACCUUGUUCAAUUUUUUGGUUCGCCCCAGCCCCAACAAUUUUUCCUGUUGGUUUAUAGCCAAUGACCGGCGGCAGUUAUCCUCUGGCAAUUAUUUGACGCGCCAAUAUUAGCAUAUAGCAAGCACAGGAAGGAUCCAAACUGACCAGUCGUCUUGCUCCGCCAUUGCAUGCUAGUAUAGAAUUUAUCAAUAGAAUGUAUGUGUAAGUUUAAUUUUUGCAACAAUUCUACAAUAAAAACCCCUCAUAGUUAAACUUUGAAGGCAAAAUCAAACUUUGAAUUGAAAACAUAAAUCAUAUUUUAAAUUGGAAAGGUAUGAACUCGGUGGAGUUCCUGCCUCGGUGUUUAGCUCUACCCUGUGCAUGCAUUACUAGCCAUCUGCCUCGCUGGCACUCCUCUGCCUUAUGCCUACCUGGCGAAAUGCAUCAUCGGCUUCUGUCAUGCUGAACGCUAGGGUUCGCCGUCACGGUGUGGUUUUGUUGGAGACUUCGAGUGAUCAAUUCCAUCCUCUAGCGUACAAGAAAACUGCUUUAAGCAUACGAGCGAAUGUUUCAUGGGUAAAGAGUACACCUAGAACGUAGGAAGAAACGAGGGAGCUAAUUAUCAGAUUCAUAGUUUUUGAGCUUAGGCCUUAGGUAUGCACUGUGGCCUGAUUAAUUUUUCUUACAGGUAUACUGAAGUACCGGGCCGAUGUACAGGUUGGUCCAUGGACCACCCUGUCCACCCUCCAGCUACGCCACGUCAUGCCGGGUUUUGUAAAGUAUCGCCAAGUAAAGGGAACAUCUCUUGAUAACCAAAGGUUCACUCGAACGUCAUUCAUGUAAUCAUAAGGAUCGAUAUGGAUGUCCAUGAUUCCGAUAUCGGUCAUUGAAGGAAGUGGUUUCGUUCAUAUCUACAAUUUACCGAACCUACGGGGUCAAACGAUCUGUUGAGUGUUAGUAGGACGAGAGUAUUGAGGAUUUAUUUGUUGAAUCUUUUCAUUAAUAUUCAGAAUGGUUUCGAGAGGAACCGAAAGCGUUUCAUGGUCACUGGAAGGGUUUUCGAGUUUAUCUGGCAAUACCGGGUAUAUCCAAAAAAUAAUAUAUAGGUGGAAAAUGUUUUCAGUGAUGUUAAAUUAUAUAUAAAAAGGUCUAGUACUUAUUAGAAGUAUUUUAUAUAUAAUUAAAUAUCAAGGGGUCUUAAAAGGCCAAGAGGUGGAAGGAAAUUUGGGCCACAAAGGACCAAAUGGAUGUGCCGCCCCCCUUUCCUUUNNNNNNNNNNNNNNNNNNNNNNNNNNNNNNNNNNNNNNNNNNNNNNNNNNNNNNNNNNNNNNNNNNNNNNNNNNNNNNNNNNNNNNNNNNNNNNNNNNNNNNNNNNNNNNNNNNNNNNNNNNNNNNNNNNNNNNNNNNNNNNNNNNNNNNNNNNNNNNNNNNNNNNNNNNNNNNNNNNNNNNNNNNNNNNNNNNNNNNNNNNNNNNNNNNNNNNNNNNNNNNNNNNNNNNNNNNNNNNNNNNNNNNNNNNNNNNNNNNNNNNNNNNNNNNNNNNNNNNNNNNNNNNNNNNNNNNNNNNNNNNNNNNNNNNNNNNNNNNNNNNNNNNNNNNNNNNNNNNNNNNNNNNNNNNNNNNNNNNNNNNNNNNNNNNNNNNNNNNNNNNNNNNNNNNNNNNNNNNNNNNNNNNNNNNNNNNNNNNNNNNNNNNNNNNNNNAAUUUCUCCCCUCUUGUCCGGCGCCCCACGGAGGGACUUUCCCUCCUUGGUAUAUACUUGAGUUAUUCACCACAAUUGAAUACACAAGUUUUGGAGCCUCAUCUUGUUUAUCUGGUUCGGGUUCUAGUUGGUCCUAGUUGACUAAUCAUAGUUAGAUCUAGUUCCUCUGAUCCUCAUAAUUAAAAGUCCAGUGUGGUUCUAAUCUUCUCCCUCCAAUUCUCCGGCGAUGAUUAACUCUGGAUGGCGAAGCGCUGCCGGAUCGUGAAGACUGUACUCUUGCAACCAAGUAGAGAAGUCGUGCUUUCGAUUUUCUGUUCGAGUGAUCGUUCAAGGGCGGUUCACGGGAUCGUCAUCAACGGUUCGAGGGACUCCAAGUACGAUCUACACCGACUCGUCUUCUUCCGCUGCUACUCCAGAGUCGGGAAUGAUCGUUGAUCUAAACCCUAUAUGCAUCUUCAUAUUGUUUUUGGGUGAUCGUUAGGCGAAUUUUUUUAUUUCCAUUACGUUUCCCAACAAAUUCUCCUAUUAUUCAUCCAAAUAUUCAUGUUCAAAUUAUGACAUAUCAUGAAAAUAUAUUGCAACCAAUCCCCGGCAGUUGGGUUUGUCCUUCGACAUCUCUACACUGCGCGCCGAGCAACAUCGGCUCGUGAAGGCGGGAUCUGGUGUAGAGCAGAUUAAUGCAGACUUUGCUAAGGACGCUGAAAUGAUGGAGAACUUUACAGAAAGGGUUGGUAGCCAGCAAGGUGAAGACUAUGAUUGCACUCAGGAUCCUGAAGAUUUUGCUAGAAGGCUCGGGAUUAGCACUGAGAGAAUUAAAGAGAUUGAGGCUGAAGUGGAAGAGGAGUUGUUGGCUGAGGAACAUUGCAACCUAAGGCAUGAGCCGCAUGACAAGGAGAACCUAACCCCUACCGUGGUUAAAACAGCCUGUGCUAUUUCACCUCCUGGAAGAACUGUUGCGACGAAGCAGACCUCCUUCUCUAACAGGGUACAAGGGGUGGUGUUGAAUCCUUUGCAAGAUCUUGGGGCGGCUGAUAUUACCAAGCAACAAAAGUUGAGGGAAGCUGAAGCUAGGGUCCAAAAGGCUAAAGAAAAGGCAGCUCUAGAUGAGGCGGCGAGGAGAAGAAGUGACAGGAACAAACACAAAGAGGAGGUGCAGACUAUGGACAAAGCUACUGACAUGGCAAGGAGGAAGAAUCUGGAGACCACAGGUAUGGCUCCUACAGAUUCAAAUACUGCUCCCAAUAUACCUACUGUUUUAAAUACACUACCUAGUUUUAUUUCGCACAUUACGCAAUGCAUUGGUGUUAGCUUAGGCAAGACUCCUGAGGAAAUAGAUAGCACUAUUUCUAUGAUCAAGAGCUUAGAAAAAACUAGGAGUGACUUAUAUCUUGCCAAUAUGAGAAAGAAGACUAAUGUGGAAGAUAGGGAUGAAGAGUCAAAACUGGGAAGUUUUGACCCUGAUACCAUUAGAAACCUUGUAUCUGACUCAGAAUGUGAAUCUGUGGACGAUGAAGAGCUUAGAGAUGAAUUAAUUCUUUUAUCUUCGUUAUAUAAAUCCAAACUAAAGCAGACUUGCGCUGGAGGUGUCAGCGUCAAGCCAAAGGUCAAGUGUGGUGCAACAAAAAAGUAAUCUGUUUUUAUGGCUGGUGUUUUCUGGAAUGCUAGAGGGUUAGGUGAACCUGAAAAAAGAAGGUUUCUUAAAGAAAUUGUUGGAAUUAAACACGAACACAGCCUCCCAAUAUUGAUACGUGUCCAAGUUGAUAAUGUAUGUACAUAUCCGAGUAGUGCUAGAGUUAGCCUCCGAGUAGGAUUGGUCUUGUUAGCUGCUAGCGCUAUUUAUAUACGUGCAACCAGCCUUGUAAACUUGUACCGAUCAGAAGCAAUAAAGAAUCAGGAACGUCACGUUCCUGUGGCAAUACCUUGGCUUUGUGUGCGUGGUGGCGUUUGGCUUCCGGCCGGCUGGCCGUAGUGUACGCUCACGUAUUUCUCGUGUUGCUUGCCGUAGCUAUCGAUCAGGAGUUCAUCGACUAGCAGAAGGCUCCCUUUGCACUUUGGUACAUCGUGCAUCUCGGCGUAAAGUAUUUCAUCGGGCUGAGCCAGCUUGGGGCAGGAACCAAAACAGUCAGCGUCGUUUGCUUCGUCGUCGUUCGUCAUCGGUCGUAUCACCGUCGCCGGAAAGUACACGGCGUCGGGUCUGGGCCAACAAUUGGUAUCAGAGCCAGGUUGGUCUUCUAGUAACGGAGGAUCAUGGCGGAUGACGAUAAGAACAAGCAACUGGCAGAAUACUCCGGUGCGACUAAAGUAUUUGCUGCUCCGGCGAGUUCGUCGUACCCAUGAUUUGAUCGCGAGAACUUCGGGGUCUGGAAGGCCCUCAUGGAGUGUGGUCUCCGCGCCAACGAGCUAUGUGACGCAGUCGACCCAGGAGGCAACGCGUUCAAGAAGGAGGGAGCCGAGCACCGGAAGGAUCGGCAGGCGGCGUCGGCUAUUUAGUCGGUGAUGCCGAUGGAUGUCCUCCAACACCUGAUCGCCAAAGAAACGGCGAAGGAAGCGUGGGAUACCUUGAAGCUCAUGUUCGAGGGACACACCCGCGUCAAGCAAGCCAAUCUCCAAACUCUCCUAAGGAACUAUGAGACUUUGGUCAUGGGCGACAAUGAGUCUGUGGAUGCGUUCGCUUCACGGGUAGCUACUCUCGUCAAUCGGAUUCGCGCUCUUGGAGAAAACCUAACGGAGACCUCGGUUGUCCGGCGGUUCUUGCGCGCGGCCCCUCCCCGGUACCUGCAAAUUGUUACGGCGAUCGAGCAGUGCGUCGAUCUCACGACUCUCUCCAUCGACGAUCUCGUCGGACGGUACAAGGCUCACGACGAGCGGAUGCUGUACAGUCUUGGGGACGGGAGGAACGACGAGCUUGUGAUGCUCACAAGGGCGCAGUGGGUCGCUUUGUCAAAGGAAAAGCAAGACGGAUCCACGAGCAGCAGCAAGAUGAAGGGGAAGCAGCGUUCGGUGAGAAAGAACUUUGCCGACUCGGAUGACGACUCAGACGAUGAGGCUGUACCACCACCGAGGAGGAAGUUUGACAUCAGGAAAGUGAGGUGUUAUAACUGUGGCCUCCUCGGCCACUUCGAGGCUGACUGUGAGGAAGCACCGAAGCAGAAGGCACUCAUGACCCAGCAAGGAGAUGAUGGAGACAUGAUGUUGAUGUGUAAACUGGUGGACGACGAGGAUCCAGACUCUCAAGCGUUGACUAAAGAAAUUGUCGAGCUUGCGGAAGAAAAAGUUUGCCAUCAUCUUCAUGGUUCGGAAACUCGUAUCUAUGCUACAGAUGCGGGGGUGGUUCCGAAGCUUAUGUCGAUGCUAUGGGCAUAAGUGCCAACUUUGCUGCAGCAGAUGCAGCGAUAGCUGCGUGUGCUCGACCAUGGAGAAGUAAUCUUUGUGCCGUUCAGAGGUCCAUAGGUGGCCACAAAAAUAACACUGGACAUGGUGUCUCGCUGAGUAGGCCGAAAGCACCGGCCGCAGGCACCAAAGCUGGAUCCCUUGUGCGGAGUAAGGGCGCCUCGCACCCAGCAGCGAGUGCUGCACAAGGAGCCUCCAAGGCAGCUACGUGUGGUGGCCUAGCCACAAGACAAGUCUCGCAUGGUGGGCUACAAACAAGUCUAGCAGGAGGGCUUGGUGGCUCACGUGGUGAGCUAGGGCCAUCUACACCUAGUGACGUUGCAAGUGAUCCAGGAGAUAUGCAAGGUUCAUUACCAGCACAUGUACGUACAGUUUUGCCAUGCUUGGCCACUAUAAUGCAAGAAGAUGGGAACGGCAAGGUAACAUCCGUACCCGGGAAUGAAAGUCUAGCUUUGCCAAAAGCAAUGUGCGAAGCAAACGGUGAGGAGUUACUCCUGAAGGUACAAGGAGCCAUGCAAAUAAUGUCGUCUCCGAAGGCACAAGAGACGAGGACAACGCCACCGACACCUAUACUGCUACAACCGGUGUUACACCUAUGUUCGGAGAAGACUCUUCGGACGAUUGACCCGGCAAAAGUGAAAGGGAGUGGGCGACGGUGUCUAGCAAGCGCCGAGGAACCGGCGAAAUUUGAGGACGCAAAUACGGAGAAGUGUUGGCGUCAUACUAUGAAAGAAGAGUUGGGGUCGAUCCGUGACAAUAAUGCAUGGGAGCUUAUGGAUCUUCCCAACGAUGAAAAGGCUAUGGAGCUCAAGUGGGAAUUCAAGGUCAAGAAAGAUGUUGAAGGGUGCAUGAAGCACAAAGCGAGGUUUGUAGCCAAAGAGUAUGUGCAAGAGGAAGCUGUGGACUUCGAAGAAGUGUUCGUUCCCAUUGCAAAGAUGGAGUCGGUGAGAUUACUCAUCGCUCUCGCGGCUCAGGAAUCAUGGAAAAUACAUCACAUGGAUGUAAACUCCGCGUUUUUGAAUGGCGAGAUAGAAGGAGAUGUGUAUGUGAAUCAACCAUCGGAUUUCAUCAAAGAGGGAGAAGAGCAUAAGGUACUGAAGUCACACAAAAUCUUGUAUGGGCUAUGCCAAGGACCUCGGGAGUGGAACAACAAACUUGAUCGGACAUUGUUUUCUCUUGGAUUUGAGAAAGCCCCAAUAGAGCAUGCAAUGUACAAGCAAGGUGAAGGGAGGGAUCGUCUACUAGUUGGCAUCUACGUCGACGACCUAUUAAUUACUGGAGCAGAUGAAGAAGUGAUUGCAAAGUUCAAGCUACAGAUGAAAGAGCUUUUCAAGAUGGAUGAUCUAGGUCUUUUGCGCUACUACCCCGGGAUAGAGGUACAUCAAAAGACGGAGGGGGUCACACUAUGCCAGGAGGCAUACACAAGAAAGGUACUUGAAAGCCCUGUCAUGAGAGAUUGCAAUCCAGUUGACGCUCUAAUGGAACCUCGUCUAGCGCUGAGCAAGAAAAGUAAAGCACCCGUAGUUGAUGCAAUAGAGUAUAUUGCAGCGGCCACUGCGAUGCGUCAAGGUGUGUGGCUAAGGAAGCUACACGGUGAUCUCACGGGUCGAGAUCCGGAACAAGUGGUGCUCAAUGUUGAUAGCAAGUCUGAAAGUUUUCUACGUGAGGAUCCAGUGCGGCAGGAUAGGAGCAAGCACAUUGAUACGGUGUAUCACUACAUAAAGGACUGCGUAGGAGAAGGUAAGAUGAAGGUCAACUACGGUUGCACCGAUGAUCAGAUGGCGGACAUGCUAAGCAAGGCUUUGGAUCGAGAGAAGUUCUUGAAGAUGCGAAGAAGGAUCGGCGUCGGAGCUGUGACAUGACGACGUCGUGUUUAGGGGGGUGAUUGUUGGAAUUAAACACGAACACAGCCUCCAAUAUUGAUACGUGUCCAAGUUGAUAAUGUAUGUACGUAUCCGAGUAGUGCUAGAGUUAGCCUCCGAGUAGGAUUGGUCUUGUUAGCUGCUAGUGCUAUUUAUAUACGUGCAACCAGCCUUGUAAACUUGUACGAUCAGAAGCAAUAAAGAAUCAGGAACGUCACGUUCCUAUGGCAAUACCUUGGCUUUGUGUGCGUGAUGGCGUUUGGCUUCCGGCCGGCUGGCCGUAGUGUACGCUCACGUAUUUCUCGUGUUGCUUGCCGUAGCUAUCGAUCAGGAGUUCAUCGACUAGCAGAAGGCUACCUUUGCACUUUGGUACAUCGUGCAUCUCGGUGUAAAGUAUUUCGUCGGGCUGAGCCAGCUUGGGGCAGGAACCAAAACAGUCAGCGUCGCUUUGCUUCGUCGUCGUUCGUCGUCGGUCGUAUCACCGUCGCCGGAAAGUACACGGCGUCGGGUCUGGGCCAACAGAAAUCAUUUCUGAGCAUGCUUUAGAGUUCAUUUGUAUUCAGGAGACUAAGAAAAGUGAUUUUUCUGAUCCUUGGUUAGCUAGUAUCGGUGGCAGAUUUACUUUCAUUUGGCUUUGGCAACCCUCUGUAGGAGCCUCGGGUGGGCUCCUCAUGGGUGUCAGAGAUGACCUGUUUGAGGUCGACACGUGCACUGCUAGUAGGUUUUUUACUAGAAUGAUCAUUAUGGAUAAGAGAUCGGGUUUCAAGUGGACUUUGAUCAAUGUGUACGGGGCUGCUCAUACCAAAGACAAGAAGGACUUCCUGAUCGAUUUUGUCCAUAUGUUAGGUCAUAAUAAAUUACCCCUUGUUAUUGGUGGUGAUUUCAAUAUCAUUAGGAGGAUCAAUGAGAGAAGUAGAGCUAAAAAACUCCCUAUUUGGUCUUUUUACUUUAAUUCCAUCAUUGUUCAUUGGGGGCUAAAAGAGUUAGAGCUCUCAGGGAGGAGCUUUACUUGGUCUAAUAACCAGGACGACCCCUUGUAUGUGAAACUAGAUAGGAUUCUUGUUAGCCCAUCUUGGGAACAGCAUUUUCCUUUAGUUACGGUCAGGACAAUCGUUAGGGGUGUCUCUGAUCAUGCUGCUCUUUUGGUACAUACUGGAGUUGUAAAUGCUGUAGCUACCAGGCCUUUUAAAUUUGAGCUUUGCUGGCUUGUCACAGAUGAGUUGCCGGCCGUUGUUUCUACAAUUUGGAACUCUAUCGCUCCUAAAAAAAAAGCCUCAAAUGGUGGCAGGCUAUUAUGAGAAAAUUAAGAAGCGGGCUCAAGGGUUGGAACCUUAAUGUUGAGGGUAGUUACAGGAGAAAGAAGAGUUUUAUUAUUAAUGCUUUAGAUAUUCUUGAUAAGAAGUGUGAGCUUGCUGGUGUAUCAGCAGCUGACUAUGUGCAAAGAAAUAGUUUGCAAAAUGAUUUGAAUAAAAUUCUUAGAGAGGAAGAAAUAAAAUGGUACCAACGCUCGAAGGAGAGGGAUAUCAAAGAAGGGGAUAGCAACACUAAGUAUUUUAUGAUUAAGGCUAGUGGGCGGAAGCGCAAGAGUAAAAUCUUUCGACUUAUCCAGGAUGAAGGGGUCAUCCAGGGGGAUGAUAACUUGCUCAAAUAUGCAACUAAUUUUUAUAAAGACUUAUUUGGUCACAUAGAUUUACCUCCUAUUUCUCUGUGUAUACCUCUUGAUGAUGUUUUCUUAGAAGAGGAUAAGGUUGAGCUCAGUUGCAAAUUUACUAUGGAUGAAGUAAAAAAUGCGUUAUUUUCUAUGAAGCGCAACAGAGCAGCUGCCCAGGACGGCUUUCCUGCCGAGUUCUUUCAAUUUUUCUAGAACCUCAUUUGUAACGAUCUCCUUAGGCUUUUUCAUGACUUUUAUGAGGGCAAGAUUAACAUUUCAAGGCUUAACUAUGGUGUAAUCACUUUGCUUGAUAAGGGGCAGGGGGCUGAUAGGAUUCAAAUGUACCGCCCCAUUUGUAUGCUGAACGUACCUUUUAAAUUUUUUACAAAAGUUCUUAACAAUAGAGCUAUGAAAAUUGCUGAUAAAACAAUUUCUAAAGCUCAAUCUGCGUUUAUAAAGGGUCGCUACAUCCGGGACAAUGUGCUUAUGCUUCAUGAAGCUAUCCACUCUUUACAUAGAAAUAAAUGUUCUGCUGUGCUUUUUAAGGUUGAUUUCGAAAAAGCUUACGAUAAAAUUAAUUGGAGUUUCAUGCUUGAUGUCCUAAAGAUGAAAGGCUUCCCUGAACGUUUUGUCCAGUGGACAAAAGAUGUCGUUAGUAAUGGAAAGGUUGCCAUCACUAUUAAUGAUGUUAUUGGCCCGUAUAUUGUUACUAGGAAGGGUUUGAGGCAAGGGGACCCGUUUUCCCCCUUGCUUUUCAAUUUGGCGGCUGAUGUUCUUGCUACCCUGGUGCAAAGGGCGCAAGAACAAGGAUUUAUCAAGGGAGUUUGCCUAGGUUGUAUGUAGGAGGUCUAAAUAUUUUGCAAUAUGCGGACGAUACUAUUUUCUGUUUUGAAGAUGGCCUUGAGGGGGCUAGGAACCUCAAAAUUAUUCUAUGUGUUUUUGAGCAUUUGACCGGUCUGAAGAUUAAUUUCUUAAAAAGUGAAAUUUUCAUUUUCGAUAAAGCUUUGGAGAAACAAGCUAAUUAUGCCGGCAUUUUUACUUGUGCUAUUGGGGGCUUGCCUUUUAGGUAUUUAGGUCUUCCCCUGCAUUAUAAAAAGCUUUGUAAUGCUGACUAGAAGCCAGCGGAAGAAAAAGUAGAGAAAGGAGCUGCAACAUGGCAGGGGGUCUUUUAUCAAUGGGUGGUAGGCUUAUCCGCACUGAAACUUGCGUGAGCAACAUCAUUAGUCAUUUACUUAACUUUUUCCGUCUACCAAAAGGAGUAGGCAAAAGAAUCGAUUUCUUUCGAGCUCGGGUGCUUUGGCAAGAGAAAGAGGGGGUUAGGAAGUUUCAUCUAGUUAACUGGCUUGAUGUUUGUCAACCUAGAGACCAAGGGGGGUUGGGUGUUACUAAUCUGGAUAUCAAGAAUAUUAGUCUUUUGUGUAAAUGGCUUUGGAGACUUGAGAAUGAAGAUGGGGAUUGGCAGGAGAUGAUUAGAGCAGAGUAUUUGAAGAGGAAAACUUUGUCUCAAUGUGAGUCAUCUCCUGCCAACUCUCAUUUCUGGAAUGGUAUCAUGAGUGUUAAAGAUAUCUUUUACAACUGUUGUCAAAGAAUUGUUGGAGAUGGGCGUAAAACUAGAUUUUGGGAAGAUGCUUGGAUUCACAACAAGCCUCUCUGUCAACUUUUUCCUCGCUUGUACAAACUUACUUUCCAUCAAAACAUUACGGUUGCUAAAGCAUUUGAACAAGAUUUUAACUGCAUUAGAUUUAGUAGAUGUUUAUAUGGGGAGACAUUGGAUAUGUGGAAUAAACUUCUGGAUAUGUGCAGUCAGGUUGUUCUGAGUGAGGAACCUGACAAAGCCAAAUGGCUUUUGAAUAGCUCUGGUCAGUUCUCUGUUAAAUCUCUUUAUCAAUAUAUUAUUGCUAGGAGAGUAGUGUUCCCUUUUAAGUUUCUGGAAACUGAAGGUACCUUUGAAAAUUAAGGCUUUUAUAUGGUUAGUUACAAAGGGAGGAACCUGGCCAAGGACAACUUGUGUAAAAAAGGCUGGAAAGGCACCAACAAAUAUGAAUUUUGUGAUGCCAAUGAAUGUAUUGAUCAUCUGUUUUUCACGUGCUCUUUUGCUCGGUUUCUUUGGAAUGUAGUUGGGAGUGCUUUGGGAAAUCCCCAAACACCCCUGUCAUUCUUUGACUUUUGCCAGAAUUGGCUUCCUAAGUAUACUGGGAAAGAUAGAACGGUUAUAUCUAUUGGUACGACUGCUUUUGUUGUGGUUGAUCUGGAAAUCAAGAAAUAAAUCUUGCUUUCAAAGUUCUUUACCUAAGGAUCCUACUGAUAUUAUCUUUUCCUUAUGUUAUGUGUUGGAUUCGUGGGGUGUGCUACAGAAAAGAGGGGUGCAAAAAACUCUUUAGGAAGUGACCAAGAGGUUGGCCCAGAUAGCGAGGGAUGUCUUCAAGCGUGCUUACGGCUGGGGCCCUACUGUACGGAGGCUCUGUUGAUCAAGUGUUGAUAGAUGUAGCAUUUGCGAUGAUCCCUCUUGUUCUUCUGCUAUAGCACCCGGUAGGUGCAGAGUUUGCUAUCUCAGGUUGUAGGAGUUUAUUUCCCUGUUGCAAAAAUGUGAGGCAACAUAUUUAGCGACGGUGCUUUGGAGCAUUCUUUUGUGGAAGCAUCCUGUAGGUGCAGUUGAAGUGCCUUGCUACCUCUUGAGCACAGCGUUGGUUUUCCCUUGAAGAGGAAAGGGUGAUGCAGCAAAGUAGCGUAAGUAUUUCCCUUAGUUUUUGAGAACCAAGGUAUCAAUCCAGCAGGAGGCCACACGCAAGUCCCACGCACCUACACAAACAAAUAAGAACCUUGCAACCAACGCGACAAAGGGGUUGUAAAUCCCUUCACGGCCACUUGCAAAAGUGAGAUCUGAUAGAGAUGAUAAGAUAAUAUUUUGGUAUUUUUAUGAUAAAGACUAAAAUUAAAGAAAGCAAAAUAAAGUAGAUCGGAAACUUAUAUGAUGGAAAAUAGACCCGGAGGCCAUAGGUUUCACUAGUGGCUUCUCUCAAGAUAGCAUAAGUAUUACGGUGGGUGAACAAAUUACUGUCGAGCAAUUGAUAGAAUUGAGCAUGGUUAUGAGAAUAUCUAGGCAUGAUCAUGUAUAUAGGCAUCACGUCCGCGACAAGUAGACCAAAACGAUUCUGCAUCUACUACUAUUACUCCACACGUCGACCGCUAUCCAGCAUGCAUCUAGAGUAUUAAGUUCAUAAGAACAGACGCAUUAGGCAAGAUGACAUGAUGUAGAGGGAUAAACUCAAGCAAUAUGAUAUAAACCCCAUCUUUUUAUCCUCGAUGGCAACAAUACAAUACGUGUCGUUUCCCCUUCUGUCACUGGGAUCGAGCAACGCAAGAUUGAACCCAAAGCUAAGAACUUCUCCCAUUGCAAGAAAGAUCAAUCUAGUAGGCCAAGCCAAACUGAUAAUUCUAAGAGACUUGCAAAGAUAACCAAUCACACAUAAAAGAAUUCAUAGGAGAUUCAAAUAUUGUUCAUAGAUAAUCCUGAUCAUAAACCUACAAUUCAUCGGAUCUUGACAAACACACCGCAAAAGAAGAUUACUACGAAUAGAUCUCCAAGAAAUCAAGGAGAACUUUGUAUUGAGAUCCAAAGAGAGAGAAGAAGCCAUCUAGCUAAUUACUAUGGACCUGAAGGUCUGAGGUAAACUACUCACACAUCAUCCAUGAUCAAUGCCCCCUCCGGCGGAGCGCCGGAAAAGGCCCCAAGAUGGGAUCUCACGGGUACAGAAGGUUGCGGCGGUGGAAAUAGGGUUUCGUGGUGCUCCUGGAUGUUUUCGGGGUACGUAGGUAUAUAUAGGAGGAAGAAGUAGGUCGGUGGAGCUACGAGGGGCCCAUGAGGGUGGGGGCGCACCCAGGGGGCAGGCGCGCCUCCCUGCCUCGUGGCCUCCUCGUUUAUUGCUUGACGUCCACUCCAAGUCCUCUGGAUCACGUUUGUUCCGAAAAUCACGUUCCCGAAGGUUUCAUUCCGUUUGGACUCCGUUUGAUAUUCCUUUUCUGCGAAACACUGAAAUAGGCAAAAAAAGCAGCAAUUUGGGCUGGACCUCCGGUUAGUAGGUUAGUCCCAAAAAUAAUAUAAAAGUGUAUGAUAAAGCCCAUGUAAUCAUCAUAAAUAGGAGGCAUGCUUUUAUCAAAAUAAAUUUUCUCAUCAAAACUUGGGGGACUAAAAAUAUCAUCUUCAUCAAACAUAGCAUCCCCAAGCUUGUGGCUUUGCAUAUCAUUAGCAUCAUGGAUAUUCAAAGAAUUCAUACUAACAACAUUGCAAUCAUUCUCACCAUUCAAAGAUUUAGUGCCAAACAUUUUAAUGCAUUCUUCCUCUGGCAAUUGAGCACAAUUAUCGGAAUCCUUAUUUUCACGGAAGACAUUAAAAAGAUGAAGCACAUGAGGCACCCUCAAUUCUAUUUUUUUGUAGUUUUCUUUUAUAGACCAAACUAGUGAUAAAACAAGAAACUAAAAGAUUCAGUUGCAAGAUCUACAGAUAUACCUUCAAGCACUAACCUCCCCGGCAACGGCGCCACAAAAGAGCUUAGUUGACGGGGUGUUAGUGCCGCUUACCUAGCCUCACCGGCAACGGCGCCAGAAAAGAGCUUGAUGUCUACUACACAACCUUCUUCUUGUAGACGUUGUUGGGCCUCCAAGUGCAGAGGUUUGUAGGACAUUAGCAAAUUUCCCACAAGUGGAUGACCUGAUAAACCCGUGGGAGGCGUAGGAUGAAGAUGGUCUCUCUCAAACAACCCUGCAGCCAAAUAACAAAGAGUCUCUUGUGUCCCCAACACACCCAAUACAAUGGUAAAUUGUAUAGGUGCACUAGUUCGGCGAAGAGAUGGUGAUACAAGUGCAAUAUGGAUGGUAGAUAUAGGUUUUUGUAAUCUGAAAAAUAUAAAAACAGCAAGGUAACUAAUGAUAAAAGUGAGAGUAAACGGUAUCGCAAUGCUUCGAAACAAGUCCUAGGGUUCAUACUUUCACUAGUGAAAUUUCUCUCAACAAUAAUAACAUAAUUGGAUCAUAUAACUAUCCCUCAACAUGCAACAAAGAGUCACUCCAAAGUCACUAAUAGCGGAGAACAAACGAAGAGAUUAUUGUAGGGUAUGAAACCACCUCAAAGUUAUUCUUUCUGAUCGAUCUAUUCAAGAGUCCGUAGUAAAAUAACACGAAGCUAUUCUUUCCGUUCGAUCUAUCCUAGAGUUUGUACUAGAAUAACACCUUAAGACAAAAAUCAACCAAAACCCUAAUGUCACCUAGAUACUCCAAUGUCACCUCAAGUAUCCAUCGGUAUGAUUAUACGAUAUGCAUCACACAAUCUCAGAUUCAUCUAUUCAACCAACACAAAGAACUUCAAAGAGUGCCCCAAAGUUUCUACCGGAAAGUCAACACGAAAACGUGUGCCAACCCCUAUGCAUAAGUUCACAAGGUCACAGAACCCGCAAGUUGAUCACCAAAACAUACAUCAAGUAGAUCACAUGAAUAUCCCAUUGUCACCACAGAUAAGCAGAUGCAAGACAUACAUCAAGUGUUCUCAAAUCCUUCAAGACUCAAUCCAAUAAGAUAACUUCAAAGGGAAAACUCAAUCCAUUACAAGAAGAUAGAGGGGGAGAAGCAUCAUAAGAUCCAACUAUAAUGCAAAGCUCGCGAUACAUCAAGAUAGUGCCAUAUCAAGAACACGAGAGAGAGAGAGAGAGAUCAAACACAUAGCUACUGGUACAUACCCUCAGCCCCGAGGGUGAACUACUCCCUCCUCAUCGUGGAGAGCGUCGGGAUGAUGAAGAUGGCCACCGGUGAUGAUUCCCCCCUCCGGCAGGGUGCCGGAACAGGGUCCCGAUUGGUUUUUGGUGGCUACAGAGGCUUGCGGCGGCGGAACUCCUGAUUUAGGUUUCUUUCUGGGGGUUUCUGUAUUUAUAGGAAUUUUUGGCGUCGGUCUCAUGUCAGGGGGGUCUCCGAGUCGUCCACGAGGCUGGGGGGCGCGCCCAGGGGGUAGGGCGCACCCUCCACCCUCGUGGACGGCUCGGGACUCUUCUGGUCCCUCUCCGAUGCUCCGUGGGCUUCUUCUGGUCCAUAAAAAAUCGUCAAAAAUUGGUACGUCAAUUGGACUCCGUUUGGUAUUCCUUUUCUUCAAAACUCAAAAACAAGGAAAACAGAAACUUGCACUGGGCUCUAGGUUAAUAGGUUAGUCCAAAAAAUUAUAUAAAAUAGCAUAUAAAUGCAUAUAAAACAUCCUAGAUGGAUACUAUAAUAGCAUGGAACAAUAAAAAAUUAUAGAUACGUUGGAGACGUAUCAAGAGUUAAUAUGUGUACAUACCAAUACAAUUAAUACAUCAAUUAGCUUGUCAGCACAUGCUUAAUUAAUAUAUAUGCCUUGCCGGACUUUGCAACAGCUCCUUCCUCUAUUCGCUCACCAGAGCCGUCAUCACGGUCUUCUUCUUCCACCGGCAUUCGGUCAACGGAGCCAUCAUUAUCAUGUCCUUCCACCUUCAUUGUUCGAUCACCGGAGCCUGCUUCACCCUCUCCUUCCAGACCACGAUCGGUGUCGUUGAGAAACGACAAGAUCUACAUCAGCUCCUCCGCGGAUGAUGUCCCCCAACAACUCUUCUUCUUCGAAGUCUCUUUGUUGAUCCAUAGUUUCUGCAAAUAUUACAACAUGGCAAUUAAUAUACAAACAUGAGAGAUGGAUAUAUUAGUGGCAGAUGGGUGGCCUCGACAAUGCUUCUAGGGUUUGGGGUGGGCUCGGCAAUGCUUCUAGGGUUUGGGGUGGCCUCGACAACGCAUCUAGGGUUUGGGCCGGACCGCCUCUCUCAUGAAUGUCCGACGUCCGGACCGACAAGGGAUUUAACAAAAUGAUGCCAUUUAGGAUGUGCAGAAAAUGGUCCCUAUUUUUCAUGAUCUCAUCUACCCUUCUAUAUGUCAUGUUGUCUAGUGUCAAAGGAUUCAAGAAAACCAUGGUUUCAUCAUUAGCCGGAAGUAAAAGGUGAUACGUCCAUUUUGCAUCAUGCUUUUAUAUCAAUAUUUAUUGCGUUAUGGGCUGUUAUUACACAUUAUGUCACAAUACUUAUGCCUUUUCUCUCUUAUUUUACAAGGUUUACAUGAAGAGGGAGAAUGCCGGCAGCUGGAAUUCAGGGCUGGAAAAGGAGCAAAUAUUGGAGACCUAUUCUGCACAACUCCAAAAGUCCUGAAACUCCACGAAAGUCAGUUUUGGAAUAUAUUAAAAAUAUUGGGUGAAAAAAGCACCAGAGGGGGGCCACCCACCGUCCACGAGGGUGGAGGGCGCGCCCUACCCCCUAGGCGCGCCCCCUGCCUCAUGGGCCACCUGGAAGCCCCCCGAUGCCCAUCUUCUGCUAUAAGGUGUCUUUUGCCCUGGAAAAAAAUCAGAAGGAAGCUUUCGGGACAAAGCGCCGCCGUCUCGAGGCGGAACCUUGGCGGAACCAAUCUAGGGCUCCCGCGGAGCUGUUCUGCCGGGGAAACAUCCCUCCGGGAGGGGGAAAUUGUCACCAUCGUCAUCACCAUCGAUCCUCUCAUCGGGAGGGGGUCAAUCUACAUCAACAUCUUCACCAGCACCAUCUCCUCUCAAACCCAAGUUCAUCUCUUUUAUCCGAUCUUUGUCUCAAAACCUCAGAUUGGUACCUGUGGGUUGCUAGUAGUGUUGAUUACUCCUUGUAGUUGAUGCUAGUUGGUUUAUUCGGUGGAAGAUUAUAUGUUCAGAUCCUUUAUGCACAUUAAUACCCCUCUGGUUAUGGACAUGAAUAUGAUUUCUGAGUAUUUACGUUUGUUCCUGAGGACAUGGGAGAAGUCUUGUUAUAAGUAGUCAUGUGAAUUUGGUAUUCGUUCGAUAUUUUGAUGAGAUGUAUGUUGUCUUUCCUCUGCUGGUGUUAUGUGAACAUCGACUACAUGACACUUCAACAUUGUUUGGGCCUAGGGGAAGGCAUUGGGAAGUAAUAAGUAGAUGAUGGGUUGCUAGAGUGACAGAAGCUUAAACCCUAGUUUAUGCGUUGCUUCGUAAGGGGCUGAUUUGGAUCCAUAUGUUUCAUGCUAUGGUUAGGUUUACCUUAAUUCUUCUUUUGUAGUUGCGGAUGCUUGCAAGAGGGGUUAAUCAUAAGUGGGAUGCUUGUCCAAGGAAGGGCAGUACCCAAGCACCGGUCCACCCACAUAUCAAAUUAUCAAGGUAACGAACGCGAAUCAUAUGAGCAUGAUGAAAACUAGCUUGACGAUAAUUCCCAUGUGUCCUCGGGAGCGCUUUUCCUUAUAUAAGAGUUUGUCCAGGCUUGUCCUUUGCUACAAAAAGGAUUGUGCCACCUUGCUGCACCUUGUUUACUUUUGUUACUUGUUACCUGUUACGAAUUACCUCAUCACAAAACUAUCUGUUACCGGUAAUUUCAGUGCUUGCAUAGAAUACCUUCCUGAAAACUGCUUGUCAUUUCCUUCUGCUCCUCGUUGGGUUCGACACUCUUACUUAUCGAAAGGACUACGAUAGAUCCCCUAUAUUUGUGGGUCAUCAAGUCUCUUUUCUUGCGCCAUUAACGGGGAGUGAAGCGCCUUUGGUAGGUGGAAUUUGGUAAGGAAAAAUUUAUAUAGUGUGCUGAAAUUUACUGUCACUUGUUACUAAGGAAACUAAUCCUUUGAGGGGCUUGUUCGGGGUAUCUUCACCCCGACCAGUAGAGCAAAGAGUUGAUCCUCAACCUACUGAACCUACUAAAAAUGUAUAGUUUGAAAUUCCUUCUGGUAUGAUAGAGAAACUGCUAGCUAAUCCUUUUACAGGAGAUGGAACAUUACAUCCCGAUAUGCACCUAAUCUAUGUGGAUGAAGUUUGUGGAUUUUUUAGGCUUGCAGGUAUGCCCGAGGAUGUUAUCAAGAAGAAGGUCUUCCCUUUAUCUUUGAAGGGAAAGGCAUUGACAUGGUUUAGGCUAUGUGAUGAUAUUGGAUCAUGGAACUACAACCGAUUGAAAUUGGAAUUUCAUCAGAAGUUUUAUCCUAUGCAUGUGGUUCAUCAUGAUCGUAAUUAUAUAUAUAAUUUUUGGCCUCGUGAAGGAGAAAGAAUCGCUCAAGCUUGGGGGAGGCUUAAGUCAAUGUUAUAUUCAUGCCCCAACCAUGAGCUCUCAAGAGAAAUUAUUAUUCAAAAAAUUUAUGCUCGGCUUUCUCUCAACAAUCGCUCCAUGCUCGAUACUUCUUGUACUGGUUCUUUUAUGAUGAAGACUAUUGAAUUCAAAUGGGAUUUAUUGGAAAGAAUUAAACACAACUCUAAAGAUUGGGAUCUUGACGAAGGUAAGGAGUCAGGUAUAACACCUAAGUUUGAUUGUGUUAAAUCUUUUAUGGAUACCGAUGCUUUUCGUGAAUUUAGCACUAAGUAUGGACUUGACUCUGAGAUAGUAGCUUCUUUCUGUGAAUCAUUUGCUACUCAUGUUGAUCUCCCUAAGGAGAAGUGGUUUAAAUAUCACCCUCCCAUGGAAGUAAAAGUAGUUGAACCUAUUAAAGUUUAAGAAAAGACUAUCACUUAUAAUGUUGAUCCUAUUGUUCCUACCGCUUAUAUUGAGAAACCACCCUUCCCAGUUAGAAUAAAGAAUCAUGCUAAAGCUUCAACUGUGGUUCGUAAGAGUAAAGCUAGAACACCUACACCCUCUGAGCAAAUUAAAGUUGAACCUAGUAUUGCUAUGGUUAAGGAUCUCUUGGUCGAUAAUAUUGAUGAGCAUGUUAUUUACAUCUGUGAUGAAGCUUCUAGAAUUGCUAGACCUGAUAAUAAAGCUAAACAUAGACCUGUUGUUGGCAUGCCUGUUGUUUCUGUUAAGAUAGGAGAUCAUUGUUAUCAUGUCUUAUGUGAUAUGGGUUCUAGUGCGAGUGCAAUACCUCAUUCCUUAUACACAGAAAUUAUGCAUGAUAUUGCACCUACUGAGAUAGAAGAUAUUGAUGUUACUAUUAAGCUUGCCAAUAGAGAUACUAUUUCACCAGUUGGGAUUGUUAGAGAUGUUGAUGUCUUGUGUGGGAAAGUUAAAUAUCCUACUGAUUUUCUUGUUCUUGGUUCCCCACAAGAUGACUUUUGUCCCAUUAUAUUUGGUAGACCCUUCUUGAAUACUGUUAAUGCUAAGAUAGACUGCGAAAAUGAUAUUGUUACUGUUGGUUUAGGGGAUAUGUCUCAUGAUAUAAAUUUUACUAAAUUUCGUAGACAACCCCAUGAUAAACAAUUGCCUAGUAAAGAUGAAAUUAUUGGUCUUGCUUCUAUUGACGUGCCUCCUAAUGAUCCUUUAGAACAAUAUUUGCUUGACCAUGAAAAUGAUAUGUUCAUGAAUGAAAGAAGGGAAAUAGAUGAAGUAUUCUUUAAACAGGGACCUCUUCUAAAACAGAACUUGCCUAUUGAAAUCCUAGGAGAUCCUCCUCCACCCAAGGGUCAUCCCGUGUUUGAGCUUAAACCAUUACCUGAUACUCUUAAAAUAUGCUUAUCUUGAUGAAAACAAGAUAUAUCAUGUUAUUAUUAGUGAUAACCUUUCAGAGCAAGAAGAAGAGAAAUUAUUGAAAACUCCGAAGAAGCACCGUGCUGCUAUUGGAUAUACUCUUGAUGAUCUUAAGGGCGUUAGUCCCACUAUGCCAGCACAAAAUAAAAUUGGAGAAAGACGCUAAACCGGUUGUUGAUCACCAACGAAGGUUAAAUCCUAAGAUGAAAGAAGUGGUAAGAAAUGAAAUACUAAAGCUUCUGGAGGCAGGUAUAAUUUAUCCUGUUGCUGAUAGUCAGUGGGUAAGUCCUGUCCAUUGUGACCCUAAGAAGGGAGGUAUUAUUGUUGUUCCUAAUGAUAAAGACAAAUUGAUCCCACAGAGAAUUGUUACAAGUUAAAGAAUGGUAAUUGAUUUCUGCAAAUUAAAUAAACUAGUAGAAAGGAUCAUUACCCUUUACCUUUUAUUUAUCAAAUGCUAGAAAGAUUAUCCAAACAUACACAUUUUUACUUUCUAGACGGUUACUCUGGUUUCUCUCAAAUACCUGUGUCAAAAAAGGAUAAGGAAAAGACCUCUUUUACUUGCCCUUUCGGUACCUUUGCUUAUAGACGUAUGCCUUUUGGUUUAUGUAAUGCACCUGCUACCUUUCAAAAUGUAUGACUGCUAUAUUCUCUGACUUCCGUGAAAAGAUUGUUGAGGUUUUCAUGGAUAAUUUUUUCGUGUAUGGAACUUCUUUUGAUGAUUGCUUAAGCAACCUUGAUCGAGUUUUGCAGAGAUGUGAAGAAACUAAUAUUCUCUUGAAUUGGGAGAAGUGCCACUUUAUGGUUAAUGAAGGUAUUGUCUUGGUGCACAAAAUUUCUGAAAGAGGUAUUGAAGUUGAUAAAGCUAAAGUUGAUGCUAUUGAAAAGAUGCCGUGUCCUAAGGACAUUAAAGGUAUAAGAAGUUUCCUUGGUCAUGUUGGUUUUUAUAGGAGGUUCAUUAAAGACUUCUCUAAAAUUUCUAGGCCUCUGACUAAUCUCUUACAAAAAGAUGUUCCUUUUAUCUUUGAUGAUGAUUGUGUAGAAGCAUUUGAAAUACUUAAGAAAACCUUGAUUUCUGCACCUAUUGUCCAGCCACCUGAUUGGAAUUUACCCUUUAAAAUUAUGUGAGAUGCUAGUGAUUAUGCUGUAGGCGCUGUUCUAGGACAAAGAGUUGAUAAGAAAUUAAAUGUUAUCCAAUAUGCUAGUAAAACUCUAGACAGUGCCCAGAGAAAUUAUGCUACUACUGAAAAAUAAUUUUUAGCAGUUGUAUUUGCUUGUGAUAAGUUCAGACCUUAUAUUGUUGAUUCUAAAGUAACUGUUCACACUGAUCAUGCUACUAUUAAAUAUCUUAUGGAAAAGAAAGAUUCUAAACCUAGACUUAUUAGACGGGUUCUUUUGCUACAAGAAUUUGAUUUGCAUAUUUUUGAUAGAAAGGGAGCUGAGAACCCCGUUGCAGACAACUUAUCUAGGUUAGAGAAUGUUCUUGAUGACCCACUACCUAUUGCUAUAGCUUUCCUGAUGAACAAUUAGCUGUCAUAAAUGCUUCUCGUACUGCUCCAUGGUAUGCUGAUUAUACUAAUUACAUUGUUGCUAAAUUUAUACCACCUAGUUGUUGGGGAACAUAGUAAUUUCAAAAAAAUUCCUACGCCCACGCAAGAUCAUGGUGAUGCAUAGCGACAAGAGGGGAGAGUGUUGUCUACGUACCCUCGUAGACCGUAAGCGGAAGCGUUUAUCAACGUGAUUGAUGUAGUCGUACGUCUUCACGAUCCGACCGAUCCAAGUACCGAACGCACGGCACCUCCGAGUUCUGCACACAUUCGGCUCGGUGACGUCCUCGCCUUCUCGAUCCAGCAAGAGGGGUGAAGUAGUAGAUGAGUUCCGGCAGCACGACGACGUGGUGACGGUGUUGGUGAAGAACAAUCUUCGCAGGGCUUCGCCUAAGCACUACGAAAACUAUGACGGAGGAUAAACUAGAGGAGACGGGGUUGCCGGCACACGGCUUGGUGUUUCUUGAUGUGUCUUGGGUGCUAGCCCUGCCCCUCUAUUUAUAUGUUGAGCCAUGGGGUCGAAACUUGGAGCAAAAGCCUCCUCAAAGUCGGUUUUGCCCGAAAGGCAAGAGUCCCACUCGGACUCCAGGACCAAACGCCACAAUCCUUGGCGUCUGGCCCAGACGCCAUGGGCCUUGGCGUCUGGCCCAGGGCCAGACGCCUGGAUCUCCGGCGUUGGCCCCCUGGCCUCUGCAAAACUCCUUUUCCACCAACUUAUAGCCCCGUGGGCCUGACCCCUUGGCCUAACCAUAUCAUCCAAUAUAUGAAUCUUUACCUCCGGACCAUUCCAGAGCUGCUCGUCAUGUCCGUGAUCUUAUCCGGGACUCCGAACAACAUUCGGUCACCAACAUACAUAACUCAUAUAAUACUAUAUCGUCAACGAACGUUAAACGUGUGGACCCUACGGGUUCGAGAACUAUGUAGACAUGACCGAGACACUUCUCUGGUCAAUAACCAACAGCGGAACCUGGAUGCCCAUAUUUGCUCCUACAUAUUCUACGAAGAUCUUUAUCGGUCAGACCGCAUAACAACAUACGUUGUUCCCUUUGUCAUCGGUAUGUCACUUGCCCGAGAUUCGAUCGUAGGUAUCUCAAUACCUAGUUCAAUCUUUUUACCGGCAAGUCUCUUUGCUCGUUCCGUAAUACAUCACCCCGCAACUAACUCAUUAGUUGCAAUGCUUGCAAGGCUUAUAGUGAUGUGCAUUACCGAGUGGGCCCAGAGAUACCUCUCCGACAAUCGGAGUGACAAAUCUUAAUCUCGAAAUACGCCAACCCAACAAGUACCUUUGGAGACACCUGUAGAGCACCUUUAUAAUCAGCCAGUUACGUUGUGACGUUGGGUAGCACACAAAGUGUUCCUCUGGUAAACGGGAGUUGCAUAAUUUCAUAGUCAUAGGAACAUGUAUAAGGCAUGAAGAAAGCAAUAGCAACAUACUAAACGAUCGAGUGCUAAGCUAACAGAAUGGGUCAAGUCAAUCCCAUCAUUCUCCUAAUAAUGUGAUCCCGUUAAUCAAAUGACAACUCAUGUCAAUGGCUAGGAAACUUAACCAUCUUUGAUUAACGAGCUAGUCAAGUAGAGGCAUACUAGUGACACUUUGUUUGUCUAUGUAUUCACACAUGUAUUAUGUUUCCGGUUAAUACAAUUCUAGCAUGAAUAAUAAACAUUUAUCAUGAAAUAAGGAAAUAAAUAAUAACUUUAUUAUUGCCUCUAGGGCAUAUUUCCUUCACUAGUUUCACAUACCAGCAAAAGAUUUUUAUUUUAUGAUUUAAGACAUUACUUUUGGGAUGACCCACACCUUUAUAAGGAAGGAGUAGAUGGUGUUAUUAGACGUUGUGUACCUGAGCAUGAACAGGAACAGCUCCUACGCAAGUGUCACUCCGAGGCAUAUGGAGGACACCAGGCCGGAGAUAGAACUGCACAUAAGGUAUUGCAAUCCGGUUUUUAUUGGCCUACUCUCUUCAAACAUGCCCGUAAGUUUGUCUUGUCUUGCGAUGAAUGUCAAAGAAUUGGUAAUAUUAUUAGACGUCAAGAAAUGCCUAUGAACUAUUCACUUGUUACUGAACCAUUUGAUGUUUGGGGCUUUGAUUAUAUGGGACCGUUUCCUUCCUCUAAUGGGUAUACACAUAUCUUAGUUGCUGUUGAUUACGUUAGCAAGUGGGUAUAAGCUAUUCCAACUAGUAGUGCUGGUCAUAACACCUCUAUUAAGAUGCUUAAAGAAGUUAUUUUUCCGAGGUCUGGAGUCCCUAGAUACUUAAUGACUGAUGGUGGUUCGCAUUUUAUUCAUGGUGCUUUUCGUAAAAUGCUUGCUAAGUAUGAUGUUAAUCAUAGAAUUGCAUCUCCAUACCACCCACAGUCUAGUGGUCAAGUAGAACUGAGUAAUAGAGAGACUAAAUUAAUUUUGCAAAAGACUGUUAAUAGAUCUAGAAAGAAUUGGUCCAAGAAGCUUGAUGAUGCAUUAUGGGCCUAUAGAACUGCAUAUAAAAAUCCUAUGGGUAUAUCUCCGUAUAAAAUGGUUUAUGGAAAAGCAUGUCACUUACCUCUUGAACUAGAACAUAAGGCAUAUUGGGCCAUUAAAGAGCUCAAUUAUGAUUUCAAACUUGCCAGUGAGAAGAGACUAUUUGACAUUAGCUCACUUGAUUAGUGGAGAACCCAUGCCUAUGAGAAUGCCAAACUGUUUAAAGAAAAGGUUAAAAUAUGGCAUCACAAAAGGAUACAGAAGCGUGAGUUUAAUGUAGGUGAUUAUGUUUUGUUAUACAAUUCUCGUUUAAGAUUUUUGCAGGAAAACUCCUCUCUAAAUGGGAAGGUCCUUACAUUAUUGAGGAGGUCUAUUGUUCCGGUGCCAUAAAAAUCAAUAACUUCGAAGGCACAAAUCCGAAGGUGGUGAACGGUCAAAGAAUCAAACAUUAUAUCGCAGGUAAUCCAAUAAAUGUUGAAACCAAUGUUAUUGACACCGUAACGCUGGAGGAGUACAUAAGGGACACUUUCGAGAACGUUUCAGACUCCGAAAAGGAAUAGGUAUGUGGUACGGUAAGUAAACCGACUCCGAAACAAUUCUAAUAGCAAUUUUUCUCCGUUUUGGAAUAUUUAAAAAAAUAGGGAAAUAAGAAGUAGUCCGAAAGGGACACGAGGCAUCCAUAAGGGUGGAGGGCACUCCCUACACCCCUGGGCGCGCAUCCCUGCCUCGUGGGCACCUCGUGUGCCCUCCGGACUCCGUCUUCUUGCACGAUGCUUCUUUUGGUCGGUAAAAAUUCAUUAUGUAAUCUCCCGAAGGUUUUGACCACUGUACCACGCAAAUAUCCUCUGUGUUUGUUUUGAGUUGUUUCUAUAGCAGAUUUAGAGCAAGCUGUCAUCUCAAGACUCCGACGAAGAGAGCUAUGUCUCACAUCGCAUUGCUGACCCAAAGACCUAUGGCCGGGGACCUAUCUCCUUAUGGUCGAACUACGGAUGAUGAGGUGGAUACUCAUUUGAUGAGGAUCGAUGAUUCAAGUUCGGAGGAGGAGGAUGUUCCUCUACCUCAGCCUGGGGAUAUGCACGUGAAAUUCAAGAAGUCUAGUCUCCCUAAGAGAGCUAACCGAUCUAUUCCUUCUCAUUUUCGGCAAAAAAGCAAUGGAGAUUUAUGUGAAAAGAUCUUGAAGCUGGAGUUGGAGGUCGAUGAUUUGAAGGAGGAAAUUGCUCUCCUCAACUACAAUAUGAAAAUGCUGAACGCACAAUUGUCAUCACCACCACCAUAUUCUCCACCACCAAAGGAGAACUGAGUAUCGGGUAUGGGCACUCCCCUUGGCAACUGCCAAGCUUGGGGGAGGUGCCCUGGUAUCGUAUCACCAUCACACUUCUAUCUUUACCGCUUUUCUUAGUUCGAUCCUUUUGGUUAUAUCUUGAUCUAGUAGAAUAAAGUUUAGUAUGAUCCUUAUCUAUGUAAUCAUGUCCGUGAGCUAUAUACAAUAAAGAUUAGUCUUGAGACGAGGGCUUGGUUAUGUUGCUAUGAUCUUGAGGGACUAAAAGAAAAAAGAAAGAAUAAAAAGAAAUAACGAGAUCAUAUUGGUCUUGUGGAGAAUAAUGACUUCACAUAUAAAGAGUAUGAUGAAUAAAAGUUGUUGAGAGUUGACAAACAUAGUUUUGGUCAUCGUUGCAAUUAAUAUGAAGUAAUAAAGAAAGAGAGGUUUUCACAUAUAAAUAUACUAUCUUGGACAUCUUUUAUGAUUGUGAGCACUCAUUAAAAUAUGACAUGCUAAAAAGUUGAUGUUGGACAAGGAAGACAACGUAAUGGUUUAUGUUUUCUUAUAUCCGAAAUAAAGUAUAUUGUCAUGGAUCAUCCAACAUGUUGAGCUUGUCUUUCCCCCUCAUGCUAGCCAAAUUCUUUGCACCAAGUAGAGAUACUACUUGUGCUUCCAAAUAUCCUUAAACCCAGUUUUGCCAUGAGAGUCCACCAUAUCUACCUAUGGAUUGAGUAAGAUCCUUCAAGUAAGUUGUCAUUCUUGCAACCAAUAAAAAUUGCUCUCUAAAUAUAUAUGAUCUAUUAGUGUGGAGAAAAUAAGCUUUAUAAGAGCUUGUGAUAUGGAAGAAAUAAAAGCGGCGGACUGCAUAAUAAAGGUCCCUAUCACAAGUGGCAAUAUAAAGUGACGUUCAUUUGCAUUAAGAUUUUGUGCAUCCAACCAUAAAAGCACAUGACAACCUCUGCUUCCCUCUGCGAAGGGCCUAUCUUUUAUUUUUGUCUUAUACCUUAUACAAGAGUCAUGGUGAUCUUCACCUUUCCUUUUUACACUUUAUCUUUUGGCAAGCACUGUGUGUUGGAAAGAUCCUGAUAUGUAUAUAUCAAAUUGGAUGUGGGUUUCCAUAAAGCAUUAUUGUUGACGUUACCCUUGAGGUAAAAGGUUGGGAGGCAAAACUAUAAGCCCCUAUCUUUCUCUGUGUCCGAUUAAAACUUCAUACCCAUAAGUAUUGCGUGAGUGUUAGCAAUUGUGAAAGACUAAAUGAUAGUUGAGUAUGUGGACUUGCUGAAAAGCUCUUAUAUUGACUCUUUCCGAUGUUAUGAUAAAUUGCAAUUGCUUCAAUGACUGAGAUCAUAGUUUGUUAAUUUUCAAUGAAGUUUUUGAUUCAUACUUUACAUUGUGAAUAGAUUGUUAUUUCAACAUAAGAAAUCAUAUGACAAUAUAUAUAUAUUUUAUCGAUACCUCUAUCUGUAAACAUGUGGACGUACUUUUCGAUAUCGGCUUCCGCUUGAGGACAAGCGAGGUCUAAGCAUGGGGGAGUUGAUACGUCCAUUUUGCAUCAUGCUUUUAUAUCGAUAUUUAUUGUGUUAUGGGCUGUUAUUACACAUUAUGUCACAAUACGUAUGCCUUUUCUCUCUUAUUUUACAAGGUUUACAUGAAGAGUGAGAAUGCCGACAGCUGGAAUUCUGGGCUGGAAAAGGAGCAAAUAUUAGAGAACUAUUCUACACAACUCCAAAAUUCCUGAAACUCCACGAAAGUCAGUUUUGGAAUAUACUAAAAAUAUUGGGCGAAGAAAGCACCAGAGGGGGGCCACCCACCGUCCAUGAGGGUGGAGUGCGCGCCCUAUCCCCCUGGGCGCGCCCCUGCCUUGUGGGCCACCUGGAAGGCCCCCGAGGCCCAUCUUCUGGUAUAAGGUUUGUUUUGCCCUGGAAAAAAUCAGAAGGAAGCUUUCGGGACAAAGCGCCGCCGUCUCGAGGUGGAACCUUGGCGGAACCAAUCUAGGGCUCCGGCGGAGCUAUUCUGCCGGGGAAACAUCCCUCCGGGAGGGGGAAAUCGUCACCAUCGCAAUCACCAUCAAUCCUCUCAUCAGGAGGGGGUCAAUCUCCAUCAACAUCUUCACCAACACCAUCUCCUCUCAGACCCUAGUUCAUCUCCUUGUAUCCGAUCUUUAUCUCAAAACCUCAGAUUUGUACCUGUGGGUUGCUAGUAGUUAUGAUUACUCCUUGUAGUUGAUGCUAGUUGGUUUAUUCGGUGGAAGAUUAUAUGUUCAGAUCCUUUAUGAACAUUAAUAGCCCUCUGAUUAUGAACAUGAAUAUGAUUUGUGAGUAGUUACAUUUGUUCCUGAGGACAUGGGAGAAGUCUUGUUAUAAGUAGUCAUGUGAAUUUGGUAUUCGUUCGAUAUUUUGAUGAGAUGCAUGUUGUCUUUCCUCUGCUGGUGUUAUGUGAACGUCAACUACAUGACACUUCACCAUUAUUUGGGCCUAGGGGAAGGCAUUGGGAAGUAAUAAGUAGAUGAUGGGUUGUUAGAGUGACAGAAGCUUAAACCCUAGUUUAUGCGUUGCUUCGUAAGGGGAUGAUUUGGAUCCAUAUGUUUCAUGCUAUGGUUAGGUUUACCUUAAUUCUUCUUUCCUAGUUGCGGAUGCUUGCGAGAGGGGUUAAUCAUAAUUGGGAUGCUUGUACAAGGAAGGGCAGUUCCCAAGCACCGGUCCACCCACAUAUCAAAUUAUCAAAGUAAAAAACACGAAUCAUAUGAGCAUGAUGAAAACUAGCUUGACGAUAAUUCCCAUGUGUCCUCGGGACUGCUUUUCCUUGUAUAAGAGUUUGUCCAGGCUUGUCCUUUGCUACAAAAAGGAUUGGUCUACCUUGCUGCACCUUGUUUACUUUUGUUACUUGUUACCCGUUACGAAUUACCUCAUCACAAAACUAUCUGUUACCGAUAAUUUCAGUGCUUGUAGAGAAUACCUUACUGAAAACUGCUUGCCAUUUCUUUCUGCUCCUCGUUGGGUUUGACACUCUUACUUAUCGAAAGGCCUACGAUACAUCCCCUAUACUUGUGGGCCAUUAGCAGGCGCAUGAUGGUAUGAAGCUCUCCAAAAUUAUUUUGGAACAGAGUCCUGAUAGGAUAAUUUGCUUUUUGGUAUGAAGUUCAUUAAGAGCCUUUCGAAUAUCACUAUUUGGAUGGCCUUUGCUGAACUUCGUACAAAAAGGUGAAUUAUCCUAUCAGGACUCCGUUCCAAAACAAUUUUGGAGAGCUUCAUACUAUCAUGCGCCUGUUACUUCCGGCCAAUUAUGAAACCAUGGAUUUCUUCAAUACUUUGACACAAGAGAACGUGCACAUAUAGAAUGGUAGAUGAGAUCAGGAAAAAUAUGGAUCAACUUAAUUAUGCACAUCCAUAAUGGGGGCAUUCUUGAUAAAUCUCUUAUAAAUCUCGACAGAGUUUGUCGGGUAGGGGUGGGAGGGGGUAGGGGACCAACAUCAUUUUUUUUCUAGGGUUUGGGUGUCCUCGGGAGUUGGUCGAGCGNNNNNNNNNNNNNNNNNNNNNNNNNNNNNNNNNNNNNNNNNNNNNNNNNNNNNNNNNNNNNNNNNNNNNNNNNNNNNNNNNNNNNNNNNNNNNNNNNNNNNNNNNNNNNNNNNNNNNNNNNNNNNNNNNNNNNNNNNNNNNNNNNNNNNNNNNNNNNNNNNNNNNNNNNNNNNNNNNNNNNNNNNNNNNNNNNNNNNNNNNNNNNNNNNNNNNNNNNNNNNNNNNCCCCCCCCUCAUGUCGAAGUUAUCAGGGAGGGGGUAUAUCGACAACGACAUACCCGAGAAAAAAUAAGAAGAUGAAGAAGAAGAAAAAAAAGAGGACAAGAAGAAAGGACUAGAGGAGAAGAUCAAAGAAAAAAAAGAAGAAAAAAAGGAGGAGAAGAAGAAGGAAUAGAGGAGAAGAAGAAAAAAUAGAAUAAUAGUGAUGUAUAUGUAUAUGUAUCAGUACGCGAAGUUGCAGCUAUGGUGAACUUUUAAUCUAAAUAAAACCCAAAGUCUAAACGACGCCCUAAGGGCUGUAUAUAUGGAGGAAGAGGGGGGAAUUUCGUGGCCCUUGGAGGAGGGGUCCGAAACCAACCCUAAUUCUUGUUUCCCCACACAUACGGACUCUAAAAACAGCCUAUAAUCAAGUAUUUCGAAAUUACAUGGGUCUGGCCCAAUAAUAAGGUGACACAACACCUAUAAUAGUCUCUAGACGAAAUUUAUGAAGUGGCAUCUUGUAUAUUUCGUCCAAGGCUUCACGCACUCAUUAUGGUGGCUUCAAAGUCCUGAAAUCAUCACUUGUAACUCCGUUUUUGUUCCCCUUGCGCAUGCCAUCAUCUCCAUGCUUGAUCUUGCUCCAAUGAUCAUCCUUCUUGUCCAAGCUAGGCCCUUCAUUUGUAAGCAAGACAAAUGUAUCCAAUUUAGGCAGCAUCAUAUUCUUGUGAACAUUAGAAUCAUUACCAAGAAACGAAAGUACCUGAAAUUUUAAUUGGCGUGCGCAAGCUCUAGUAAUUGGUCCUGUAUAUGUAUCAGUAGGCGCUGUGGGUGUAACUUUGUUAGUGAUGUCCUCGUCAUCCUCGCCUUCUUGAAUUGAAGUCGUCCUCGACGGAAGCUCAUCUUCCUCACCCAAGUAUGGCUUCAAAUCUGCAAUGUUAAAAGUGGGACUAACCCAAAAUUUGCAGGAAACUCAAGUUUAUAUGCAUUAUCAUUUAUUUUUUCUAACACCUUAAAAGGACCAUCAACACGUGGCAUUAGCUUUGACUUUUGCCAAUUAGGAAACAUAUCCUUACGCAAAUGUAACCCAACAAGAUCUCCAGGUGCAAAGACAACACAUUUUCUACCCUUAUCUCCAACAUGUUUAUAUUUAGCAUUCAUGCGCUCAAUAUUUUCCUUAGUUAACUCAUGCAUCUUUAAGAUCAAUUCAGCACAUUGUUUAGCAUCAAAAUUAACCUUCUCGAAAGAUGGAAGAGGCAACCAAUCAAUAGGUGCAGGAGGUAGGAAACCAUACACAAUUUCAAAAGGGUACAUCUUAGUAGUAGAAUGCAGUGACCGAUUAUAAGCAAAUUCAAUAUGAGGCAAACAUUCUUCCCACAUUUUCUUGUUAUUCUUCAAAACAGCCCUAAGCAUGGUAGACAAUGUUCUAUUGACUACUUCAGUUUGUCCAUCAGUUUGGGGAUGACAUGUAAUACUAAAAAGCAGUUUAGUCCCCAACUUAGCCCAUAAACAUCUCCAAGAGUGGCUAAGUAAUUUAGUAUAACGAUCUGAAACAAUAGUAUUUGGCACACCAUGCAAGCGAAUAAUUUCACGAAAGAACAAAUCAACAACAUUAACAGGAUCAUCGCUUUUAUGACAUGGUAUAAAGUGUGCCAUGUUCGAGAACCUAUCCACGAUAACAAAUAUGCUAUCCCUCCCCUUCUUUCUUCGAGGUAAACCUAAAACAAAGUCCAUAGAUAUAUCCUCCCAAGGAACACUAGGUACAGGUAAAGGCAUAUAUAAACCAUGAGGAUUGAGUCGUGACUUAGCUUUUUGACAUGUAGUGCAGCGAGCAACAAAAUGCUCAACAUCCUGUCUCAUCUUUGGCCAAAAGAAAUGUGUAGCAAGUAUAUCCUCCGUCUUCUUCACACCAAAGUGUCCCAUUAGUCCUCCUCCAUGCGCCUCCUGCAACAACAAAAGACGAACGGAACUAGCUGGAAUGCAUAGCUUGUUAGCACGAAACAGAAAUCCAUCGUUAACGACGAACUUGUUCCAAGUUCUCCCUUCCUUACAAUUCUACAAUACAUCGUUAAAUUCAGUAUCAUGCACAUAUUGAUCUUUGAUGGUCUCCAAACCAAUUAUUUUAAAGUCAAGUUGUGAAAGCAUAGUAUAACGACGAGACAAUGCAUCAACAAUAACAUUUUCUUUACCCUUCUUAUGUUUAAUGACAUAAGGGAAAGUCUCAAUGAAUUCAACCCAUUUAGCAUGUGUACGGUUCAGUUUUGCUUGACUUUUAAUGUAUUUCAAAGAUUCAUGAUCAGAAUGUAUAACAAAUUCCUUGGGCCAUAAAUAAUGUUGCCAUGUUUCUAAGGUCCGAACAAGGGCAUAUAAUUCUUUAUCAUAAGUAGAAUAGUUCAGACUAGGCCCACUCAAUUUUUCAGAAAAGUAUGCAACAGGUUUGCAUCUUGUAAUAACACACCUCCUAAUCCAAUUCCACUAGCAUCACGUUCAAGCUCAAACGUCUAAUUAAAAUCAGGAAGUUGGAGUAAAGGAGCAUGUGUCAACUUAUCUUUCAACACCAUGAAGGCUUCUUCCUGUGCGGUAUCCCAAACAAAAGGCACAUCCUUCUUUGUAAGCUCAUUGAGAAGUGCAGCAAUGGUGUUAAAUUCUCUCACAAAACGCCUAUAGAAUCCAGCGAGACCAAGAAAACUCCUCACUUGUGUGACCGUUUUGGGCUGCAGCCAACUCUCAAUAGGUUCAAUAUUUUCUUUAUCAACUUCAAUUCCCUGUGGAGUAACAACAUAGACAAGAAAGGAUACGUGGUCGGUGCAAAAGGUGCACUUCCCAAGGUUACCAAACAAACGUGCAUCACGUAGAGCAAUAAAAAUAGCACGUAAAUGUUCCAAAUGUUCCUCCAAAGAUCUGCUAUAAAUCAGUAUAUCGUCAAAAUAGACUACCACAAAUAGUCCAAUGAAUGCACAUAAAACUUCGUUCAUUAAUCUCAUGAAAGUACUAGGUGAAUUAGUUAACCCAAAAGGCAUGACUAACCACUCAUAUAAUCCAAACUUAGUUUUAAAUGUUGUUUUCCAUUCAUCUCCCAAUUUCAUACGAAUUUGAUCGUAUCCACUACGCAAAUCAACUUUGGAGAAUAUUGUGGAGCCACGCAAUUCAUCAGGCAUGUCAUCUAGCCUAGGAAUAGGAUAACGAUAACGUAUAGUGAUAUUAUAAAUGCCUCUACAGUCAACGCACAUACGCGAUGUACCAUCCUUUUUUGGCACUAAAAUGACAGGAACAGCACAAGGACUAAAGGAUUCACGUAUAUAACCUUUGUCGAGAAGCUCCUGUUCUUGAGUAUAAUCUCCUUCGUCUCCUCUGGAUUGGUACGGUAUGGUGCACGGUUGGGUAAUGAUGCACCGGGAAUUAAGUCAAUCUGAUGCUCACUCCCUCGAAUGGUUGGUAAUCCCGGUGGCACGUCUUGUGGAAAGACAUCAGCGAACUCCUGCAAAAUGUUAGUGACAGCAGGAGGCAAAGAGGAAGGCACGUCCUCGAAUGAAAAUAAUGCCUCUUUGCACACAAAAGCAUAGCAAACAGAUUUGCUGAAAUCUAGCUCAUCAAUAUCAGACUUGGUGGCAAGUAAACAUGCACUUUUCAAUUUAAUUUCAGAAGCAACACUAGAUGGUUUAUUAUUAGGCUUCAUUUGUUGCUCAAAUUCUUUUGCCACAAUCUGAUUUUCACUCUUAUUUUUCUCAUGUUUUGCUUUAUUAGCUCUAUUAAUAUCAUCUUUCAAAAUGGAAUCAAGAGUAAUAGGAAGCAAAGUAAUAUUUUUAUCCUUGUGAACAAGAGUAUACUGAUUGUUUCUACCAUGGUGUACAAUUUUUUUAUCAAAUUACCACGGUCUACCAAGUAAUAAGGAACAUGUUUUCAUAGGUACCACAUCACAAUCAACAUAAUCAACAUAUGUAGUGAUACUAAAAUGCACACGAAUAAUACGUGUUACCUAAACCUUGCCGCUGUUGUUGAACCAUUGGAUGUACUAAGGAUGUGGACGUGGUCUUGUGGUGAGAGAUAGCUUCUCCACCAUCUCCAUGCUAGCCAAGUUGUUGCAGCUCCCUCCAUCUAUGAUGACGCGAACAGAACGUUCCUUCACAACUCCCUUUGUAUGGAACAAAUUAUGCCUCUGAUUUUGCUCAGCUUGUGUGACCUGCACACUCAAAACACGUUGAGCAAAUAAACAUUCAUACUUGUCAGCGUCUUCAGGAGGCAUGUAUUGCGUCUCAUGAUCAGAAUCAUCUCCACCGUGUUCUUCACGUGUAAUAAGAGCCAAAGUCUCCUCAUCAUAGACACUAGCGGACUCAUAACCACCAUCCUCAGUAGCAAUCAUCACACGCUGAGAUUUGCAUUCCCUCGCAUAAUGACCUCUUCCCUUACAACGACGACAAAUAAUAUCACUUGUGUGCCCUGUUGAUGCCAUGGAAGAAGAAGAGCUCUGUACAGGCCUGACAGGUGUGCUCUUGGUAGAUAGUGUGGUUGUACCUGCUUUCUUGUAUCAGGACUGGAGGUGGCAGCUGAUGGAGGUGCCGAUGCAGUAGAAUGUGUGGAAGUAGAGGAUGCACGCGGUGUCCAUGAGGAAGGUCGACCUGCAGAAAAGUUAGUUCAUGCCAAUGCCUGUCGAUCCUGCACUUCACGUUCAGCUUUACAACCAAGAUGGAAUAAACGAGUGAUAUUAUUAUACUCCUUAUACUCUAGAAUGGUCUGAGUCUCUCUAUUUAAUCCACCCAUAAAACGUGCAAGCAUAGCUUCAUUAUCAUCAACAAUACCACAUCUAAUCAUGCCAGUUUGUAAUUCUGAUAAUAUUCCUCUACAGAUUUUUUUCCUUGUCUUAAACGCUUCAAUUUUUGAAGUAAUUCACGUUGAUAAUAUCGUGGAACCAAACGAGUACGCAUAGCAGUUUUCAAAGCAGCCCAAGUAGUUGGAAUAUUAUUCGAAUAUAAUCUACGAUGUUCAGACCACCACACACAAGCAAAACUAGUGAAAGCACAAAGUGCAGCAGCAACACGUCUCUCCUCGGGAUAUUCUAAACAUGUAAAACGUUGUUCGGUUUCUAACUCCCAAGUAAGAUAUAUAUCAGGAACGUAUCUACCCUCAAAUGGUGGAAUAUUCAAUUUUAGUUUAGGGAGAUGGUCAUGAUCUCGUACCUGAGGGGGAGCCCUACCAUUGCAAUUAUUUGCAUGUGGACGACCUAGUUGUUGUGGUGCUGGUGGUUGCACGUAGUUCUGAUUUUGAUCAACCUCAUCCUUGUAAUCUCCCGCAUAAUCCUCCUCCUCCUCAUUAGCAGCAGGAGCCACAGAGGUAUCAACAGCAGCACCAACAGUUUGGCCAGGCUCAAGAGGGACACGACUCGCUCGGUAGAGGGCUGUUUUGCGACGUGGAGGUAGUCGUCGUCGUCGUUGUUGUUGUUGUUGUUGUUGCUGUUGUUGUUGCAGAGGUGAGCCUAGGACACUAAUAAAAUCACUGCGCAUCACGUAAACAAGGGAGGAGCACACUCUGAUUUUUUUUCACUGUUUGUUUGCACUUUUUUCCUCUUUUUUUCCACAACAAUUUUUUUUCGAAAAAGUCUACAAAUGGUCUAAAAACUGCCUAGCCAGAAUUUUCUAGACUUAGUUUUUUUUAAACUGGAACUAUUUUUCAUGUACGGGUAGCACGAUAGUUCGGGAGUCAUACUCUGUCACGACUCGGAGUAUGGCGUGAUUUGGAAAUCCAAAACAGAGUAACAAAAUACUGGACUCGGACUAGGACUAGUGGCGGAGAUGAAUCUGGUGGAACUCAGACUGGUGGUGGAGAUGAAUCUGGUGGAACUCGGACUGGUGGCGGAUAUGUUGCAGAUGGACUCAGAUUGGCGUGAUGGCGGCGGCUAUGUGGUGGCGUAUAUUGACUCGGAUUGGCAGUGAAUAUGUGGUGGUGGUAUAUGGCAGCGGCGAUGAAGUUGGUGCGGUGGUAUAUGGCAGCAGCGAUGAUCAUGAUGCGGUGGUGAUAUAUGGCAGCGGCGACGUGACAACCUGUGAACAGAACUUGAAACUCUAAAGGACUAGACGCUAAGACCAGCUACUUGACACGACGAUGCAACCGCAAAUUCAACAAAGCAAAUACAGAAAAGAUUAUGCAAAGGCUCAAAUUGGUUCGGAUAGGAUGAACUAACCCUAAAUUUUUUUUGGCUUUUCGUGGACUAUAGGUAUGAAGAAGAACAGACUCGAUCUAAACUACGAAAAACUGUAAAAUCUCACCGAGCAACCUGUAAAUCUGAUACCACUUGAUAGAGGCAAAGGUGUCCCGUCUUUCGAUGAGAUGGUGGCUAUCGUUUUGGAGGAAGUUGACUUUGACGAUUUGACUACGAACGUGCGAGGACGUCGCGCCUUAGCAAUCGAUAAACCAACUCCGAGAGGUUAUUGACCACGCCGGAGCACGAUCAACCUGACCACGAAGGUUUGUUUCCUGUAGGCAAAGGAAGAACAAGCAAGAAUCUAAGAUUGCAAUCUGGAUAUUGUGAAUAUAAGAGGAAAGCUUUAUUGAUCAAGGUGGGGUUCUGUGACGUCUUGGUCUGGUCGUUGAACACAAACAAAGUACGCAAAGUUGCAGCUAUGGCGAACUUUUAAUCUAAACAAAACCCAAAGUCUAAACAACGCCCUAAGGGCUGUAUAUAUGGAGGAAGAGGGGGGAAUUUCGUGGCCCUUGGAGGAGGGGUCCGAAACCAACCCUAACUCUUGUUGCCAUAUAUUACUCUAUUUUUUCUUCUUCUCCUCUAUUCCUUCUUCUUCUCCUCUUUAUUUCAUCUUUUUCCUCUUCUUAUUUUUUUCUCCUCUUCUUCUCCUUCUUCUUCGCCUUCUUCCUCUUCUUCUUUUUCCUUUUUCCUCUAAACUAAAAUCUACUAACCUAAAAUGCACUAACAGUACAACUAACCUAAAAUGCACUAAAUCGACUAACAAAAAAUUGAUAUCUACUAACAACCUAAAUAAAAAAUUAAUACAUAUAUGAACAAAAAAAUGCUAUGAACAUUAUAUCCAUACAUACAUAGCCACAUCCAUUCAUCAUAUAGCUACCACAUACAUACAUACAUACAUUCAUACAUUAUAUAUAUAUGAAAAAAAGCCAUGAACAAAACGAGCAACAAAACGCUCAACAUCCCAUCUCAUCUUUGGCCAAAAGAAAUCUGUAGCAAAUAUAUCCUCCGUCUUCUUCACGCCAAAGUGUCCCAUUAAUCCUCCUCCAUGCGCCUCCUGCAAUAACAAAAGACGAACGGAACUAGCUGGAAUGCAUAGUUUGUUAGCACGAAACACAAAUUCAUCAUUAACGACGAACUUGUUCCAAGAUCUCCCUUCCUUACAAUUCUGCAAUACAUCGUUAAAUUCAGCAUCAUGCACAUAUUGAUCUUUGAUGGUCUCCAAACCAAAUAUUUUAAAGUCAAGUUGUGAAAGCAUAGUAUAACAACGAGACAAUGCAUCAGCAAUAACAUUUUCAUUACCCUUCUUGUGUUUAAUGACAUAAGGGAAAGUCUCAAUGAAUUCAACCCAUUUAGCAUGUCUACGGUUCAGUUUUGCUUGACUUUUAAUGUGUUUCAAAGAUUCAUGAUCAGAAUGUAUAACAAAUUCCUUGGGCCAUAAAUAAUGCGGCCAUGUUUCUAAGGUCCGAACAAGGGCAUAUAAUUCUUUAUCAUAAGUAGAAUAGUUCAGACUAGGCCCACUCAAUUUUUCAGAAAAGUAUGCAACAGGUUUGCCAUCUUGUAAUAACACACCUCCUAAUCCAAUUCCACUAGGAUCACAUUCAAGCUCAAAAGUCUUAUUAAAAUCAGGGAGUUGGAGUAAAGGAGCAUGUGUCAACUUAUCUUUCAACACCGUGAAGGCUUCUUCCUGUGCGGUACCCCAAACAAAAGGCACAUCCUUCUUUGUAAGCUCAUUGAGAGGUGCAGCAAUGGUGCUAAAAUCUCUCACAAAACGCCUAUAGAAUCCAGCGAGGCCAAGAAAACUCCUCACUUGUGUGACCGUUUUGGGCUGCGGCCAACUCUCAAUAGCUUCAACCUUUACUUUAUCAAUUUCAAUUCCCUGUGGAGUAACAACAUAGCCAAGAAAGGAUAUGCGGUCGGUGCAAAAGGUGCACUUCUCAAGGUUACCAAACAAACGUGCAUCACGUAGUGCAAUAAAAACAGCACGUAAAUGUUCUAAAUGUUCCUCCAAAGAUCUUCUAUAAAUCAGUAUAUCGUCAAAAUAGACUAUCAGAAAUCGUCCAAUGAAAGCACGUAAAACUUCGUUCAUUAAUCUCAUGAAAUUACUAGGUGCAUUAGUUAACCCAAAAGGCAUGACUAACCACUCAUAUAAUCCAAACUUAGUUUUAAAUGUUGUUUUCCAUUCAUCUCCCAAUUUUGUACGAACUUGAUGGUAUCCACUAUGCAAAUCAACUUUGGAGAAUAUUGUGGAGCCACUCAAUUCAUCAAGAAUAUCAUCUAGCCUAGGAAUAGGACGACGAUAACGAAUAGUAAUGUUAUUAAUGCCUCUAGCAUUCGAAUUCAACUAUAAUACAUCUUUAAUUAGGUUCCCAUCAAAAUUUAUACAUUAUAUCAAAAAUAUGAUUUUUUUUACCAAAUAUCUAGGAGCAACACUCGGCAAAUGCAAACAUUGCAAACUUUCAAUGAAUUUUGUGGAGUGUCUACCUGACGAGAAGGGGCACAUGGUGAUAUGUUUGCAGACUGUUGGGAUGCUCUAUACCGAGUGGUUUCCUUCUCACUCGGUCUAGGGCUCUAGAUUGACCAAGUGUCCAACAUAUUACAUUUUUCUAGGGCAUUUUCGCGGCUACUGCAGCCUUGCCACCGCCUUUCUUUGACGGUGUGGCGGCCCGGAACAAGUUUUUUUUGUCCCCAACCUCUCUCAUUGCGUGGGCAGUGGCGGAGAGGUUUAUCUCGACGGCGGCGAGCCGAGGACAAUGGCCGACGGGGUCACAGAGUGGACUUCCGCUUCCAUUCUGGAGCGAAUCGAGGGCAGCAGUGGCGGCGACGGUGAGGUUGGGUGGUGGUGGCGGGAACAGCUGGCGCCUCAGGCGAGAGAGAGAUGGAGCAACCAAAAUUUGUUCUUAAAAGUGGCGCCGAUCAAGUAUAUUUGAGAGAGUUGAGCCAUUUUUUAUGGAUAAGUCCUUGUAAUUUUACUCCUCGAACUUGUUGGGAGUUCGGCUUGGUGCAGUUAACUAUUUAGUUUGCUUCUCUAAAGCUUCUAUAUAAGAAUUUGACAAGUGUAGACUUAUUCAUUUGUUCGGCACACCACCGGGCUUGUCGCGACUCAACCUGGUCGCAUGCAAACCAACCCAUCAGUAGUACCACAUGAUAGAAUCAAGUAGUAAUCAUAGAAAUGAAGCCAUUGAUUGAGAAAAGGACAUAGCUUGUUGAUGCUUCAAAGUAACUCUUCGUCCCCCCGCGUCGCCUCCCCAAGUUUGGCGAUAGGGGGCUCCUCUCCCAUCCACCCAGCGCCCCUCCCCCUAACACCCCUCCCGCUGCCGGCAGCCGACGCCCUGGGCCAUGCCCGCGUGGUGCAGGUGGCGGCGGACUCGUCUUUCCCCACGUGCGGCGCCCCGGCUUGGGUGGUGGCAGCUGAUGGCAGUGCUCUUCGGUCCGCGGUGGCUCUGGUGGCGGCGACUGCCCCGGGCGGCGAUGCUCCGGGUAGUCAGUUGGUGGCGCUCCUGCGACGGCUCCGGGGAGCUGCUUGUGUGGGGGGUUGUGGAGACGGCGGCGCGCCUGCUGCACCCUGUGACGGGAGCUUCAUGAGUCCCUUUCGGGCUCGACCGGGCCUAUCGGGCCUAGUGUGCUCCUAUUGCUGCGUCUGGUUGGUGACCACCGAGGGCGGUGGAGGUUGUCCCCUCCCGCUAGGUUGUUGAUGAUGCCGCUCCUCAUUCCCGGCUGCUCCCUCUCGGCUUUGUCUCUCUCGCUUUGUUGACCAUGGCGAGGCAGCGGUGAUGAUGGCAAGAUCGUGGCGGCGCAUGUUGGUGGGUACCUAGAUUGGUGGGACACAACAGACCGUUCGGGGUUGUGGGUGUUUGGCGGACGGGAUAAAUCCUUGUCGGCUUGCCGGCACCUACAUGGUGAUGCCCGUGGGCGCCACCAUUCCUCCUAAAGGGCAUCGGGUAUUCCCCUUCCCCACGCCCCUCGGCGUACCGGGGGAAACCGUAGCUCCAGUCCGGGCAGCAGCGUCGUCGUCAUCUCGUCCCUUUGUGAAGGCGUUUCUUGGUAUGCGGAGGUUCGAGGUGCUUGGAGUGAGGUGGAAACUCUCAGGUGGGCGCGGCGGUUGCGGGUCAUCAUCGCUUUCGUCGAUCUGACGCUGUUGACAUUAGUUUCUCUCUUCUUUCUCAUUUUGUUUCUUUUAAACGUGCUUGUGCUGUUUGCCCCAGCAUUGGACUCAUUGUUGUGUCUGGUGGUUGCUAUAUCUAUAUAACGGGGCGCAAGCCUAUUUCGUCAUAGAUUCAAUCAGAUCGAUCGAUUCAGUCUAGUCGAGAAGAGCACAUACGGCACCAUGUUAUUGUCGUUGGAUUGCUUUGUACUACCGAAAAAUAUGUGAUACUGAUCCCAGAUUGCUUGGAUUUUGUUCUGAACAUUAAGCGAGGUGUUGGAUAUAUACUCCCUCCAUCCAGAAAUACGUGUCGCAGGAAUGGAUGUAUUUAGACAUAUUUUAGUUCUAGAUACAUCCAUCCAUUUCUCCAACAAGUAUUUUUGGAUAGAGGGAGUAAUUGAUAUGAAUUUGCACGAUGCAUUGCCAUUUACAUUUUUCGGCCGGCCCUGUAUAACACUUUUCCCUGGUUUUGGGCACAUGCCCAAAAUAGGCAUUCGUCUAGCUUCUUGGAAAUUUGCGGAGGCACGCAUCUACCAGCCGUGCAAACGUCUCGAUUGCCUCGCGAUCUGCAAAGUCGUUGGAUCCUGCACAAGGGCUAAACAAGUUUUUAGUUCUUGUUUCUGAAACUUACGAUUUUAUCACUCUCGUAGUUUCUGAAACUUAUGAUGUUGUUGGUCGCUCAUACUAAGUUUCAAAGCUGAUAGUGAAAACUUAUGAUUUUAUCAGUCGCAGGUUCUGAAACCUAUAGUUUUGUCAGUUGCUCCUACUAAGUUUCAAAAGUUAAAACUUAACGAAAAUUUAAAAUUCAUCAAAAUGUAAAAUGAAUCUUGUUUGAAAGCCCUCAUCACCAGGAACAUGAAUAUGCAAACGAAACUUAAUUUAGAAUUUUGAUACAAAAGAUAUAGAAGAUAAUCAAAAGCUAAAAGGAAAAGAGGGUUGGUUGCGUGCCCCGCCCCUUCGUGCUACAAAUCCUUUCCCUGUAGCUUCUCUGAUACUGUAGAAUUUGAUAUGCUCAAUCUCUCUCUCACACACACGCGUCAUAUCCGACAAAUUUGAUACAGUGGUAUUCUGACGGCAAUGUCAUGUUUUGCACAUGAUCGUCUCAAUAGCUAUGGUAGAUGAACAGUCUGUCUCUAACAUCACAAGCAAAUGUCUAGUCUCUUUCCCUCUCAUUUUCAUGGCUAUAGCUAUGGCAGGCGAGCAGUCCAUCUCUAACAUCACCCACAAGUCAGAAGCAAAAAGGCGUUUUGCUUCUUGGACUAAGCUGGUGUUUUUUGUUUGUUUUGAGAAUUGGACUAAGCUGGCGUGCUCAUCUUAUCAUUUUCAAGGCCAUUAAUGGCCUAUUCGACAGCCCAGGAAUAUGAGGAAUAGUCCUUGAUUAGAUUUUCUUGUUAUCUCUCUGUAUGAAGUUUUCCCCUUCCAAAUGGCGCUGUAUUCUUCCCAGAAAACAAAUUACUAAUUAUAAGUCCAGAAAAGAUUUUUAGGUCGCUGAUUUGACCAUUGAAAAAUAUGCAAUAUGUCACAAAAGUUAUACGUUUAGAAACUAGAUUUGACAAUGAAUCUAAUUAUAUAUUUUUAUACAAUAAAAUUAACGUCUUUCUAAUUAAAAUAAAGACCUAAAAACCAUGCCCAACUUGUAAAUCCAAGCGGAGAAAGUACCGCUGCAUGCUGAUGUAAAAAAUGUUGCCCAAUUGUCCUUGAGCUAUGGUUUAAUUCGGCCGGCCAAAUUAGCUGGACCAAGUGUACAUAGUUUAAUCCCAUCAAAUCAAAUGAUCGUCUUUUCCUUGACCUAUGGUUUCCUCCCACAUGUAUUGAUUUGGUGAAACUUCGUCCACCCGAUCGAUCGCACUAGAAAACAAACCAGUAGGAGACAUGACCAAACACGAUUGGGACGCCAUAGGACACGAAGUCCUUUUACCUAUACAAACUUGUAGGCCUCCUUGGUUAGUAGGAAUCUUGUAGGAAUUUAUAGGAUAGGAUUUUUAAAGGAAAAAUUUCUAUGUAGUCCUUUGGUUUGUUUGAAUGGAUUUCUAUUCCUAUGUAGGAUAGAAUUCAAUCCUUCACAUUUCAACGAAAACAAUAUUAAACUAGACGCUACUGAAAAUUUUCUAUCCUAUGCAUCAAAUGACAUCUCUUUCUCUAUAAGAAUUGAGAUGCAUGCGAUCUCACUUUCUAUGAAAUUUCUAUUCCUAUAAUAUUCCUAUCCUAUGAACCAAAGGAGGCCCACUUAGCCUAAACUAGUACCAUACGGACUCUAACCAGGACCUACACGGUACCAAUCCAAACUACAGCUAGCUUACAAUUUUUUUAACACCGACUCUCAAAACACUCUCAAACAUUCAGACAUAGUUAUCCGGACGAAGUUUAUCAUCUAAUGUGGUACCCAUCAUUCCGUGAAGGCGCUCGGUUGUCUGAAAUCCAGCAAAACGGACACAAACCAGGGGGUGUCUUUAUGGGCGUCAGCGAGGACCCGACCUUGCCGGCUCGCCAACACGUCAAGGCGGCACCGGCGCAAAAUUACGAGUCAGUAUCCCCCAUGUAGUUGUGGCAUGCAAAUCGGACGCCGCGUGAUGGACGAGUCGGCAUCGCCUCCUCACUUUGUCUGUCAUGGCAAAUCCGUGAGGGAAGAGCUAGCCCCAUUGAUCGUAAGGCGCGCGGGGGCCUCCUGCACGACCUCGGUGGCUGCAGCAACAACGGUUCCUCGUCGUCGUGGAGCAUCUUCACAGCGGACGAGAGGGCGCCCGGGAUGGUGGCGCAACCUGGCUCAUCGUUCGCGAUGAAUGAAGUGGUGUUGGCCUGGGUCAACGUUGAGGCUUGGCCCGCAAUCGGUUGGUGAGCACCGCGGACACGUCCGCAUGGUGGUUGUGCUGCCUGGACAAGGAGUUCACCAAGCUCGGCAAGGAGUGGUCACUCGGCAACACUUUCGCAUCCUCUAGCAGGGGCAAGGCCACGACACCCCGACCAGGGUCGGCAUCGGCCAACGUGGCCCUCUAUAUGACACAAGAGGAAUUUGGAGCGGAUCCUCCGCUAGCGCCAGGCGGUCGCUGAGCAGGGCGGCUACACCCUUCCGUCGCUAGAAGGACGAGUCCGACGACGACGACACAGACGGCGAUGGAGGUGCCGCCGGUCAGCCUGGCCAAUCGUACGGGGUCAUCAUCCGCAACAAGUUAGUUUAGUCUUUUUAGGUUUUAUAGUUGAAGGAACCAAAUAACGUCUCAUUUAUGUAAAUUAUCGGUAAACUUACGUCUUUUUGAAUGAAUUCCAUCUUGUUUGCAUGAUUUACAUUCAAAUUUGUUUGAAUUGUAGGCGGACGUUUACUGAUGUCGUUGGAUGGCCGGCUCCCGUAUCAGCACGGACUCGUCCAAACGUGUCCCUGUUUUAAGGGAUAGCGUUGGAGAUGCUCUUACAGCAUGUAGUCAAGCGAACCACAACGCCUACAUGUACUAGCUACUAGGACUGCCGGAAUCCUAACACGGAGGACAAAUUGCACCUAGACUAAUUUCGCAUCUAACUCAAACUAAGCUUAUCAAGAUUAUUUCUAACAUGGUUCACAUUUGGAAAUUAUAUUUGUUCCAACUGGUUUUUUUGUUCUAUUGCAAAAUUUUGAUACUAAAAUCGAGCCACCCUCAUUUGCGAACCACCCUUCUGCCCGGAGCUCAAUGCCUCCUAGAGUUUAGGAUACUAUCAUUUUCAUCGAGCCCCACUUCCCUGAACUUGCCGCCACCCACCCGUCUGCCCUGAGCCCAACGUCAUCCUCCGCCCACUAGGUACUCAUCUGAGGUAGCCGGUGAGGGAGUCCUGAAUUAGGGGGUCCUCGGACAGCCGGACUAUAUCCUUUGGCCGGACUGUUGGACUAUGAAGAUACAAGAUUGAAGACUCCGUCCCGUGUUCGGAUGGGACUCUCCUUGGCAUGGAAGGCAAGCUUGGCAAUACGGAUAUGAAGAUCUCCUCCCUUGUAACCGAUUCUGUGUAACCCUAGCCCCCUCCGGUGUCUAUAUAAACCGGAGGGUUUAGUCCGCAGGACAAGGACAACAAUCAUACCAUAGGCUAGCUUCUAGGGUUUAGGCUCUACAAUCUCGUGGUAGAUCAACUCUUGUAAUACUCAUAUCAUCAAGAUCAAUAAAGCAGGAAGUAGGGUAUUACCUCCAUCGAGAGGGCCCGAACCUGGGUAAACAUCGUGUCCCCCGCCUCCUGUUACCAUCCGCCUUAGACGCACAGUUCGGGACCCCCUACCCGAGAUCCGCCGGUUUUGACACCGACAUUGGUGCUUUCAUUGAGAGUUCCACUGUGCCAUCACGGUAAGGCUUCAUGGCUCCUUCGAUCAUCGGCGACGAUGCGAUCCAGGGCGAGGUUUUCCUCCCCGGACAGAUCUUCGUAUUCGGCGGCUUCGUACUGCGGCCCAACUCGCAUGGCCAUCUGGAGCAGAUCGAAAGCUACGCCCUGGCCAUUAGGUCAGGUUUGGAAGCUUAAACUACACUGCCGACAUCCGCGGAGACUUGAUCUUCGACGGAUUCGAGCCGAUGACAGGUGCGUCGCACGGUCACGACAAGCAUGACUUAACUCUGCCGCCGGACGGUGUUCGGGAGAUCGCACCUGUGGCUACUCCGGCUUUCAAUCCGGAAUGGAUUGCGCCGUCCGAGGACGGGUGGAUGGACCCCGCCACAAAGGCCACACACUCAACAGCGAUAGAGCCGAACACUGACUUCACCUCGUAUGAAACCCAUGUGGCCGGAUCCUUGGAUUCGUCCCCGGCCACGGGCUCUGAACCGCCUGCGUCCGUGCCUGUCGAAUUGGAUUGGGCACCGAUCAUGGAGUUUUCCUCCACGGAUAUCUUUCAGCACUCGCCACUGGCCGACAUGCUAAAUUCGUUAAGGUCUCUCUCCUUGUCUGGAGGACCUUGGCCGAACUAUGUCCGGCUCGAAUGGGAAGCAGACGAAGAGGAAAUUCGUUCCCCACCCACCACCCACUUAAUAGCCACUGUCGACGACUUAACCGACAUGCUUGAUUUCGGCUCCGAAGACAUCGACGAUAUAGACGACGAUGCAGGAGACGAACAGGAACCACCGCCCAUAGAGCGCUGGACUGCCACCUCAUCAUAUGAUGUAUACAUGGUGGACACUCCCAAAGAAGGCGAUGGCGACAAGGCAACGAAGGAUAAUCCCUCCAAGAAGCAAUUCAAGAGCCGGCGUUAGCGGCGCCGCACUAAGUCCCGCCAUAGCAAAAAUAGCGAUACCGGCACAAGAGACAAUACCGCUCCGGAUAGUGCCGAAGACGACGACAAUCCCCUCCAGCCAGACCUCGAGCGGGAGGAUGAACAAGCUAGCCCUCCGGAACAGGCAGCAGACGGAGAAUCAGAGGAUGACAGUUACAUGCCUCUCUCCGAAGACGAGAUGAACCUUGACGACGAAGAAUUAAUCGUACCUGAGGAACCCGUCGAGCAGGAACGCUUCAAGCGCCGGCUUAUAUAUAGCCACAACAAAAAGCCUGAAGAAAAAUUAGCAACAGCUUCAAGCUGAUCAGGAUCUGCUAGCGGACAGAUGGACCGAAGUCCUGUCCGCCGAGGAAUACAAACUCGAGCGCCCAACCAAAAGUCACCCAAAGCGCAGGUUGCUACCCCAACUCGAGGAGGAAGCACUGAAGCCUGCACUACAAGCGUAUGAUGCGGCUGACCGGCCACCUCGCGGCCGAGACAAAGCGGCGUAUCAGCCGGAAGUUCAGCCCGCACCCCGUCGCCAGUCAAACAAAAACACCAAGGCCCGGGGCAAUACGCAGGACCUGCGAGACGUAUUGAAAAACAAAGCAGGACAUACAAGAUCGAUCUACGGAUCACGGGGGCACGCCCCAACACGUGACGAUGAUCGUCACGCCGGAUACACUAAAAACAAAUCCGGCCGGGCCGAAUACAGCAGACAAGACUCGUAUGAACUGCGUCGCGACAUAGCCUGGCACAGAGGCGCCGCACACCCCCUAUGCUUCACCGAUAAAGUAAUGGAUCAUGAAUUCCCGGAAGGAUUCAAACCCGUGAACAUUGAGUCAUAUGAUGGCACAACUGACCCUGCCGUAUGGAUCGAGGAUUUCGUCCUCCACAUUCACAUGUCCCGCGGUGACGAUCUACAUGCCAUCAAGUACCUCCCACUAAAACUUAAAGGACCAGCUCGGCAUUGGCUGAAUAGCCUGCCAGCAGAUUCCAUUGGUAGUUGGGAGAAUCUGGAAGAUGCAUUCCUUGACAACUUCCAGGGCACUUACGUGCGACCACCAGAUGCUGACGACUUGAGCCAUAUAACUCAGCAGCCAGGGGAAUCGGCCAGGAAAUUCUGGACCCGGUUCCUAACUAAAAAGAACCAAAUUGUCGACUGUCCGGAUGCUGAGGCCUUAGCGGCAUUCAAGCAUUACAUCCGUGAUGAGUGGCUCGCCCGACACCUCGGCCAAGAGAAGCCAAAUUCCAUGGCAGCCCUCACAACACUGAUGACUCGCUUUUGCGCGGGCGAAGACAGCUGGCUGGCUCACAGCAAUAGCACAUCAAGAAAUACUGGCAAUUCAGAUGCAAAAGAUAGCAACAGCAGGCCACGCCGCAGCAAACACAAGCGCCGUAACAACGGCGACAACGCCGAGGACACGGCAGUCCAUGCCGGAUUCAGUGGCUCUAAAUCCGGUCAGCGGAAGAAGCCGUUCAAAAGAAGCAAUCCGGGCCCGUCCAGUUUGGACUGCAUACUCGAUCGCUCGUGCCAAAUUCACGGCACCCCCGAUGAGCUAGCCAAUCACACCAACAGAGAAUGCUGGGUGUUCAAGCAGGCCGGCAAGUUGAAUACCGAACACAAGGAAAAGGGGAUGCAUAGCGACGACGAACACAGGAGGACAGAAGAAAUUUCCUUCCCAAGUGAAAACGGUAAUCAUGAUAUACGCAACCCAUAUUCCCAAGCGGGAGCGGAAGCGUACACCAAGGGACGUCUAUGCGAUGGAGCCAGUCGCCCCGAAAUUCAACCCGUGGUCUUCUUGUCCGAUCACCUUCGAUCGCAGGGACCAUCCCACAAGUAUUCGUCAUGGCGGUUCUGCCGCAUUGGUCCUUGACCCCAUCAUUGACGGAUUUUACCUCACCCGAGUUCUUAUGGACGGUGGCAGCAGCCUGAACCUGCUUUAUAGGAUACAGUGCGCAAAAUGGGUAUAGACCCUUCGAGGAUCAAACCCACUAAAACCACC
rnacentral:lncRNA from 1 species